rnacentral:lncRNA from 1 species
AUAGCCUCGGGGCAAACCUCAAGGAACUUGAUCAAAAAAUCAACAUUUCCAUUUUGAACCACAUGAUGCAAAGGAGUGAAGCCCUCCCGCCCUUUGACACGAACAAGGCCUUCAUCAAACCUGAGAAGUCGAAGCACUGCUUGAGUGUGUUGAUUUUGCAGAGCCAAGUGCAUGGGGCUAAACCCAGCUUGGUUUAGCUUUCUUGCAAACGAUGGCUUUAAGUUGAUCAUCUCCAUCAUAAAAUCAAUAUGCCCUGCAGAGGCUGCUACAUGCAAAGGAGUAUGGAAAAAAGGUACAUCAUCGAUACGCUGAAAAACAUAUGGAUCAUUCAGAAUUAACUCAUACAAGAUGUUUAUGUCUCCUGUUUGUGCAGCACCUAUCAUCCUCUCAUCCAUAGCAAGGUGCGGAAAUUUGCAGAAUAUAGAAAUGGAGUGAAGAAAAAACGCUUUAGCAGACGAUGUGAUUAUGUUAAGGAUAUACUGAAGUGUUUUAUUAUUUUUUCCAGAUGGAGUGUGUGAUAUUUUAUAGCACUUAAUUAUUUUGGAUUUAUAUGUGAUGUCAGCCACUACACGUAUACAUGUGAAUGUCACCUAUUAGAAAGAAAUAGUAAUUAUAUUUAGUAAUUAAAUUCAUAUUUAAUAUAUAUUUUUAAUCUAAUUUUUUAACUCAAUUUAAUUUUAGUUAAAACGUUUAAAAACAUUUAUUUAAUUUAAUUUCUUUAAUAUAUUAAAUAAAUUGAAUUAGAGAAUAUAUUAAAUAUGGAUGAAUACUAUAUCAUACUAAUUUUAUGUCUCUAAAAAUUAAUAAGGUGUCAUUAUUUUAUUGGUGCUUAAAAAAUUAAAAUAUUUAGAAUCAUCCUAAUAUAAGUUAUUCUAUUAAUAAUAAUAUUUGGUACUUCCACGAGUAAGUUCAAUAGUUUGACAAAUGUCUUAUAAAAGUAUAGUAAAAUAUUAAAAAAAAUUAUUUAGUGACUUAAUUUUUUAAGAACAUUUGAUAAUUUAUAAAGAAAAUAAAUAAUAAUUUUUUUCAAUAAAAAAGUGUGAAAAAAUGAUAAGUAGAUAAUAACUAUUAUCACUUACAACAUGUUUGGAUUAAAAAGAUAGAAAAAAGGAGGGAAAAUUAAGUAAAAUGAGGGAAAGAAAAUUCGGUUUCUUUGUUUAAGUUAAGUAAAUAUCGUAUCAUUAGAUUUUAUAUUUUAGGGUCUGUUUGAUUGAAGGAAUUGAUUUUCCGAAAAAUCAUUUUUAACUUUUCCAGCGUUUGAUUGGCGGAAAAUAUUUUCCAUUUGGAAAAUGAACUCCAAAACAUGGAAAAAUGGGUUACAUUUUAGGGAAAAUGUCUUACCCUUUCAAUUUCCGUAAGACAUUUUCCGUGCUCUCCUCUCUAUCUCCUCCUUCAUUCCUUCCUUCAUUUCCGGUAAAAAAUUGUUACUGUUUAUCGAUUUUCUAGUAACUUGUUUUUUUAAUUAUUCAAUACUUAUUUUUUUAACACAAUUACAAAUAAUUUAUUUGAUACUAAUUUUUUUCAAUUUAUAAUGAUUAAUAUUGUAGCUUAAUAAUUGAGUAUUAUUAUAAAUAAAUCAUUGCAAUAUAUGUAAAAAUAAUUUAAAAUAUAAAAAUUUAUUAAUAUAUAUCAAUAUAUGUAAAAACAAUUUUUUCAAAAAAUAUUUACCAGAAAUCUGCCAAACAGCCGAAAAUAUUUUACACAGAUUCAAUCAAACACCAGAAAAUAUUUUCCAGUAAAUCAUUUUACAGAAAAGUAAAAUAUUUUCCCGAAAUCAAUUUACGGAAAAUAUUUUACUGGCAAUCAAACAGACCCUUAGAUUAUUAUCUCUUCUUCUUCUUCUUUUAACUUGUAACCAUCUUAUUUUUAUUUUCUAUUUGUUUAGGUUACUAGAAAUAUUUAAUUUUAAAUUUGUUUGAUAUAUAUUUUUAAAAAUUUUAACAAUAUUUUUUAUUAACUAUUUUGUUAAAUUAUUAGGAAUCCUUCAUUUGUAAUUUGGUUAAGAUAUAUUUUUUAGUUUGAUCAAAUAAGCUUAUUUAAAAAAAAAAGAGAGAAUAUACCAAUAUAUUAUUGGUUAACAUUUUAAUUAUUAUUUUAUAUAGACUAUUGAUAUUGUUCUAUAAUUUUAAUUUGCUGUGAUUUAAUUUUGUUAUUAUAUAUUAUUUAUGAACUGUUAAAAUUAAAAAAUAAAAGUAAAAUAAUUCAUUUUCUUUCCUUUUCACAGUUUAGCAAAACAAGUCCACAAGGUCGCCCCAUUCAACAAAAAUUAAAUUGUUUAAAUAUAUAUAUGUAUAUAGGGACUAGUUUUAACAAAUAAAAAAUAUAGAAAAACUACAUUAAAAAAAUAGAGAAUGGAGGAAAACAGAGGGAGAAGCAGAAGACAAUAAAAAAUAAAGGAAAGUUAAAAGAACAUAAAAAAAUUAAAUUGAAUUGCUCAAAACGAAAAAAAUAUGGGGAUCAGUUGUAUAAAUCACCCUAAAUUUUUUGUUUGAAAGAUGAUUUAACAUGUCACAUCAGCUUAUCGUUAUAUGGUUAACGGAAAUUAACAGCUCAGUGACUAAAAUGUUACAACGCGAUAACGUAAGUGACUAAAAUGUAACAUUUCAAACAUAAAUGACUAAAAUGUAAGCAAAAGUGACUAUUUUAAUAAUUUACCCUUACAUUUAUCCAAACAUACGCUUAAUGUAAACAUUUUUCAAUUAUUUUUAUUUUAUUUUAUUUUUAACCAUUAUCCUUUAUCCUUACUUUAAAAAGUAUAAUUAAUAAAUAGUAUAAUUAUUUUUCAAAAUUAAUUUUAAGUAAUACACCAAAUAGAUUUUAUAACUUAAAUUUAAUAUUUAAGUUUAUAAUAUUUUUUUAUCAAACAACAUUUACUCCUAAGUAAAUAAAUAAAUAAAGGCCUUGUGUAAUUAAGAAAGUUGAGAAAGGGUUAAUCCUCACAUGGAAAAAAUUGGCUACAAUAAUGAAGGAAAGAGAAAAACACUAAGGAAUAUCCAAUAAUUGGGAGGCAAUAUGUCAAUUAUGAGCAUACCCCAUACUGUCAAUGGUGAUGGAUGAAUUGUCUACUAUACAUGGAUUUUGUUUUCCUUUUUUUUUUCCUUUUUUUGUUCUUGUCCUGUAUUAUUUGGAUUUGAGAUCCCAAGCUAUGUAUGUCAUCACAUUUUAAAUAUAUAUAUAUUUAUUAUGUAUUGAGUAUCAGUUUUAUUGGUAUAAAUAUUAUUGUUAAUGUAUGAGAAUAUAGAUUCAAGUGUGCACUACACCAAAACAGGCUUUUAACGGCACUUUUAGCGGCGUUUUGAGCGAAGACGCUGCUAAAAAUCGAAAAAUAGCAGCGUUUUAGGAAAAGCGCCGCUAAAGAGUGAGCAUUAGCGGCGUUUAUAAAAAAUGCCGCAAAUAAUACACCCAAACAGUGCCGUUUUAUGUCCUUUCGGGGGAAUUAGUGGCGUUUUUUGUAAAGCGCCGCUAAGGCUAAGACUUUUAGUGGUGUUUUUUGAAAAUCGUCGCUAAUCUAGGUGUUUUAGCGGCGUUUUUUGUUUAUGCGCCGCAAAAAUAAUUUAUCUUAAUUGAACUAUUAUUUAUAUUGUUUAAAUCAAAUUAAACAUAUUUCUAAUAGAAUAUUUAAAAUCUUCAAUAAAAAAUAACAAGUAUAAAUAAUUCGAAAUAAAACACAUGGAAAAAUUAAAAUAGUAUUAUUUAAAAUAAUUUUAAAGUUUGUUGGGUACAUUACUGAUUGUUUUUUAAUUUAUAUAUUAAAAAUUUGAAAUUAUUAUCGUAAUUAAAAGAGAUAGUAUUAAUUUAAAUUUAAAAUAUUGAAUUAAGCGUAUCACUAUAGUUAAUAUAGGGUUUUAGGUUUUAGGGGUAUAUAUAUAUGAUAUUAUUAAUUUAAGAUUUUAAGUCGGUUUAGGGGUUACUAUUUUAAGGUUAUUAUUAUAAUUGAUCAGGAGUAUAUAUAUAAUAUUUGAUUUAAGGAUAUGGUUUAAGGGCUGAGAUAUAAUGUUUAGGGGUUAGGGUUGGGGUUAGCACUUAAGGGUUAUUAAUUAGGAGUUAAUUAAGGAUUUAGGGUUUAGCUAGGGGUUGGGUUAGGGAACGUAGGGUUUUAGAUUAAUUAGUAUUGCCAAAUUAUAUAUUAAAUAUGUUCUUAUAUAUAUAAUUGUAAAAGAGGUAAUAAUAAAUUUGUUUAGGAUUUUUCGGUUCGGUAUAUGAUUUGGUUUCGGUAUAUUAUUAAUUUAAAUACGAAUUUGAAUAGUAAUGCUCAAAUAUAUAAUUCAUGAAUAACACUUAAAUACUUAAAUAAAUUUGUGAAUUUGAAUUGAAAUCAUCCAAAAAUAUGCAUAUACCUGAGUCGGUAUCUUUCCUAUUUUGAUCACUUCAAUAAAAAAAAUCCCAUAUAUAUAUAUAUUUAGUACUCCUUAAUUAUUUGUUUUCAUUAAUUUAUCUAUUUGAUGAAGGUCAAUAUAAUAAAUUAGUUAAUUAGACAAAUUUAUUCAUUUAUCAAUAAAAUAAAAUAUUAUAAAUUUCAAAUUUUAUACAAAAAUAAAUAAAUAUUAUAAAGAUAAUAUUGUUUAUUGCUACUUUAUACAAAAAGUUUUUAGUAUUAAUUAUUCUUUAAUCAAUUAUAACUAUUUUAUGAUAUUUAUUAAAGAUUUAGGGAUUAUUUUGGAUGGCCGUGCUAUUUUAAAGAUUAGGGGUACAGAUUUAGGGUUUGGGAUAUAAGAGUUAUCUAGGGGUUUAGGGGUUACAAGUUACAAUUUAGGGGUUAAAGAUUUAGGGUUUAGGGGUUUAGGGGUCGGAUAAGGAUUUUAGGUUAGUUUAGAUUAAUUUCUUUAAAUAAUAUUUUAAAAAAUCAAUCUAAAGUAUCAAUUGAUAUAUUUAAAUAUUAUUUUAAAUAGAAUUCAUAAAUAAGUUAAAAAUAUAUAUUGAUAUAUAUUAUAUGGAUAUGGUUAUAUAUUUAGGUAUAAUUAUUUAUUUUGGAAAUAUAUAUAUAUAGGACCAAAUACAUAAGAAAUGAAGUAAAAAAAACAAAAAAUUUCAAAACGGCGCCAUUUUUGAAUGAAUAGUUAAACUUUUAGUGGCGUUUUAACUGUUAAACGCCGCAAAUAUGGGAAAGCAGUCAUGGCGUUUGUACAAGAAACGCCGCAAAAGUGUCUUUAAAAUUGAGUAAACGACACCGUUUGUCUACACGAUUUUUAACUUAUAAAAAGUUUAGAAUUAUUUACUUGAAACGUCACCAUUUGGCUUGUUGUACGUUAAGUAUUAGUGGCGUUUUUACAAAAACGCCACAAAAUGUACAAUUUGAGAACAAAAAAACAGCGUCGUUUCUGCAUACAGGUUUAAAUUUUUAUGGCGUUUUCGCAAAAACGCAGGAAAUUUAGGAAGCAAUAGCGGCGUUUUUCAGUAAACGCCGAAAAGGGUAUUAAAAUAAUGUCUAAACGGCGCCGUUUCUGUACAUGAUUUGUAACUUAGAAAAAUUUUAGAAUUAUUUAUUCAAAACAUCAAUUAAGUAUUCGUGGCAUUUUUACACAAAACGCAACUAAUAAUACAAUUUGAGACUAGCAAAACGGCGCCAUUUCUGUUUAAAACUUGAACUUUUAGUGGCGAUUUUAUAUCAAACGCCGCAAAUGGGUUUUAAAAAAAUGGGUAAACGACGUCGUUUCUAUACAGUAUAUUUUACUUUGACAAAUUUUAGUGGCAUUUGUGCUUAAAACGCCAGAAAUAAUGCAAUUCCAGACCACGAAAACGGUGUCGUUUCUGUUCACAGCUGUAAUACGUAGUGGCGUUUUUAGGAAAACGCCGGAAAUGUGGAAGAAGUUGCGGCGUUUGUACCUAAAACGCCGCAAAACGGUGUUAAUAUAAUGGCUAAACGACAUCGUUUCCGUAACCGAUUUUUAACUUAUAAAAAUCUUAGAAUAAUAUAUUUAAAACGUCACCGUUUGGCUUAAAAUAGAUUAAGCAUACAGGUUUAAAUUUUUAUGGCAUUUUCGUAAAAACACAGGAAAUUUAGGAAGCAAUAGCGGCGUUUUUCAGUAAACGCCGCAAAAGGGUAUUAAAAUAAUGUCUAAACGGCGCCGUUUCUGUACAUGAUUUGUAACUUAGAAAAAUUUUAGAAUUAUUUAUUCAAAACAUCAAUUAAGUAUUCAUGGCGUUUUUACACAAAACGUAACUAAUAAUACAAUUUGAGACUAGCAAAACGGCGCCAUUUCUGUUUAAAACUUGAACUUUUAGUGGCGAUUUUAUAUCAAACGCCGCAAAUGGGUUUUAAAAAAAUGGGUAAACGGCGUCGUUUCUGUACAGUAUAUUUUACUUUGACAAAUUUUAGUGGCAUUUGUGCUUAAAACGCCAGAAAUAAUGCAAUUCCAGACCACGAAAACGGUGUCGUUUCUAUUCACAGCUGUAAUAUGAAGUGGCGUUUUUAGGAAAACGCCGGAAAUAUGGAAGAAGUUGCGGCGUUUGUACCUAAAACGCCGCAAAACGAUGUUAAUAUAAUGGCUAAACGACAUCAUUUCCGUAACCGAUUUUUAACUUAUAAAAAUCUUAGAAUAAUAUAUUUAAAACGUCACCGUUUGGCUUAAAAUAGAUUAAGUAUAAGUGGCGGUUUUUAUUAAAUGCCACAAAAAAUGAAAUUUCAGAGUAACAGAACGGCGCCGUUUCUGUUAAAAGGUUUACUUUUUUGUGGCGUUUGGUCUAUAAACACCAGAAAUUUGGAAUAAGUAGUGGCAUUUUUUCAAGAAACGCCGCAAAGGUGUUUUAAUAUUUUUUCUCAACGAUGUCGUUUCCGCAGAUGUUCUUUAACUUAGCAUUUACACUCGACAAAGCACAGAAAGCAAAAGCCAAGUGCAGAGGCCGAUUGGGAAGGGGAAAAAACCUAAGAAAAAAAUCUAAGGAAGAGAGGGGAGGAGAAAUCAGAAAUCAUCAAAGAGGAAGCAACGAUUGCGUCAUUCUUGACAGUAGUUGCAGAAUUUCUGGUUAAAAGGUAUGCGUUUAAUCCUUCUGAAGAACAUCGUCUUGAUUUAGGGUAAUUUUAGGUGCAUUGUGUUUUGCGAAUUUGGGGUUUAGGAAAAAAAUUUAGAUUUUGAGGUUUGCGGUUUAGGUUAAAACACCAUUCUUGUUUGGGAAUUUGGGGAACUUGUAAAUUAUUUAUUUAGCAAUUUAAAUAGAAGGGUUUAUUUAGGAAAAUUUUGUGUAUUUAGGGGUUGCCUGAAUACAAAUAUGGGUCCUCAACACAGCCUGUUGUUUCUCCAUUACAGCGAUUUUUGGAGAAGCAUAAAAGGGUAAGGACAGCCCUUCUGGUUGUGGUAGUAUUUGGUGCUUCUAUGGUCAUCUUUAUGGCUGUGGAUUCUAGAGUUUAAUCUCGGUUCCUCUUAAACAUAUGUGGCAACUAGGACAAUAAACAAAACUAUUAAUCAUGACAGUAUAUAUGAUUGUGGAUGGUGCUGGUGAGCUUGAAAAUACAUUCCCUUUAAUAGCUCUACUAAUAUUUUGCAUAUGGACUAGACAAGAGAUACCAAUAAAUAACUCGUCUGGUCUUACACCUGAAAGACUCAAAUUAACACAGAUUUAAACCCAAGCUAGCUGGUGAAGGUUAAACAAACCAUUUUCCUAAAAUUUUCUUGGCUGAGCCAUUAUUCGGACCAUGCAAUCAUUGUUGCAAUAGUGCAUAAUUAUGUUUGAUUCGUUUAGUGUGCUUAUUUCUCAGCUGGACAUAGUUGAUCUCCCAUGACAGAGUUAUGGAUAAUGAUAUCAGAAGUUCUUUAAUGAACAUAGUGGUGUCAUCGUAACUUCCACAUUACUUUGAUAACUUUAAUUGGUUGCAUUAUUCCUCCUAUCUAUAGUAUAUUGUUUGUGGUGGAUGGUUUGACAUGUCUCAGUGCUGAUAUUUCAUUAUUCAAAUAAGAUUUUUAAUUUUGGAUUUUGUUAUAUUUAAGCUUUAUACUAAUUUUUUCCUAGUACUAACUUACUUAUGUUUUCCUUUUUAUUUUUAUUUUUUGCAGUAGUUUGCUUCGAAGUCCAGGAAAUUGAGGUAUUUAUUCCUAUGUUUCCCACCUUGGUUUUCUUAAAAAAACACCUCCAAAUGUUUAAAUUUUGGAUUUUGUUAUAUUUUAUCUAUGUACUUUAAUUAUUAUUUUUGAGUUUUAAAAGGGAGUUUUAAUUAAGAAUUUUUUUUUAAGUUGUGGGUAUCGGUUUUAAUUAUCAUUUUUGAUUUAUAUGUUGCUAGCUCAAUUUGCAUGUUACUUUGCCAAAUUUUUCCAUAACUGCAAGGUAUAAAUUAUGAUUGUAAAUCUUGUACGUAUUUUUUACCCAAGCAAAAACAAUUACGCAAAUUAUUAAAAUUCUUAAAUCACUUUAUAUAUUGGAGUAAGUGAAUAAAUUAUGGGCGAAUAGUGGAUUUGUUUUAAAGUGAACAAAUUAUCGAUUUUCAAUUUUAUGCCAAUUAAUAAAUUAUCGACGUUAGUUCUCAUUUAUGCGAUUGAAUGUUAAUGUUUAAUAAUAUAUGAUUAUUCAAUAAAUUGAUCGAUUAAUUGAUUGAAUGUCAAUGAAUUAUCAAUUUUUGUAAGUUAAUUUGGUUAAAUUUAUUACUUAAAUACAUUACUUACUAAAAUACAUUACUUACUAAAAUUUGUUUAAAUUUAUUACUUAAAUAUGUUACUUAAAUACAUUACUUACUAAAAUUUAAGUAUAUAUUACAUUACUUACAUAACUUGUUAAAAUAUAUUAUAAUUUUAAAAAUAAUUAUAAUUAAGAUACAUAAAAGUGCUAUACUUACAUCAUACAUUAUUUACACAACCAAAAAUUGAAAUUUACAAGAACUUACAUAACUUGUUAAUAUUUAUAUAAACUUACAUAACUAUCACAUAAACUUACAUAAUAUAUAACUUACAUGUUACCUUACAUAAUACAUAACUUAUAUAAAAUUUUUAUAUAAACUUACAUAAUACAUUAUUUACAUAUUAACUUACAUAAGUUAUCUACAAGCUUGUGGUUAAACUUGCAUAACUUACAUAAUAACAUAACAACUUACAUAAUAUAUAACUUACAUGUUACCUUACAUAAUACAUAACUUAUAUAAAAUUUUUAUAUAAACUUACAUAAUACAUUAUUUACAUAUUAACUUACAUAAGUUAUCUACAAGCUUGUGGUUAAACUGGCAUAACUUACAUAAUAACAUAACAACUUACAUAAUACAUAGCAUAGAUAACUUACAUAACUUACAUAAUACAAAACUUACAUAACUUAAAUAUCUUACACAACUUACAUAACGUACAUAAUACAUAACUUACAUAAUACAUAAUAACUUAUAACUUACAUAACAUACAUUACUUUGAUAACUUACAUAACUUACAUAAUACACAACUUGUUAAGCUUACUUAAUACAUAACUUACAUAAUACAUAAUAACUUAUAACUUACAUAACAUACAUUACUUUGAUAACUUACAUAACUUACAUAAUACACAACUUGUUAAGCUUACUUAAUACAUAACUUACAUAACUUAUACACGUACAUAACUUACAUAAUUUACUUAAUACAUAAAUAUAUAUCAUAUGAUAUACUUACAUAACUCAUUUAUACUUACCACUCAACAACUUACCCUUGUAAUUUCUGGUGAAAAUCAGACGUCAAGAAAUAAGAAAUGGACCGGUCUUGGAUGAAUUUAUCAAGGGUAAGCGACGAUUAUCGAAAUGGAGUACAGACUUUUCUAAAUUUUGCAUUUCAAUAUGCAAGCCAGGAGAACAUGAUUCUUUGCCCGUGUAAGAAGUGUGUCAACAUAAACUGGCAUUAUCGUGAAGUUGUAUACGAGCAUCUAAUUGUUGAUGGGUUUGUUCAGGGUUAUAAACAAUGGUUUUUUCAUGGAGAAUGCCCGCCUAGUACUUCCUCAUCAAGGAUGGAUGUAUCUUAUGACAGUACUACUUACCAUCAGUCUGUUAGAGGGGAUGACAUAGAAGGGAUGUUGCGGGAAGCAUUUAAUAUUCACAACCAUGGUUUACAGUCGUUCCCAGCCGACUUUGUGGCACCUGAUGAUUGUAAUAUCGAUGGAAAUGCUUUUACCGAACCCGGAAAAAGUGUACAUCAUGAAGAGCCGAAUGGAGAAGUGGCGAAGUUCUACGCGCUACUUAAUGACAUGAAUGAAGAACUGUUUGAGGGAUCAAAAUUCUCGAAAUUGUCUUUCUGUAUUCGUCUUUUUCAGUUAAAGUGUUUGGGAGGGUGGACCGGGAACUCUUUAACAAUGUUGUUAGAGUUUCUGAGAGAGAUGUUUCCGUUUGCAAAAAUCCCUCAAUCAUGCAAAGAUAUGAAGAAAAUGAUAAAAAAUUUAGGUCUUGGGUACAACAAAAUCCAUAGUUGCCCGAAUGACUGCAUGUUGUAUUGGGGCGAUCGAAGAAACCAGCAAUGCUGUCACAUAUGCGGCCAAUCACGUUGGAUAAAUAGAAACAUAGAAGAUGGGAACGAUGAUGAAUAUGAUGCACUGGUAAGAAAGAAGCCGGUCAAGAUUUUGCGGUAUUUUCCGCUCAUACCAAGGCUUCAAAGGCUUUUCAUGUCAUCGAAGACAGCGGAGUCUAUGACAUGGCACCAUGAUGGACGAACCGAUGAUGGGAAUAUGAGGCAUUCGGCAGAUUCUUUAGCUUGGAAAUCAUUUGACAAUAAAUUUCCAAGCUUUGCAAGUGAUCCUAGGAGUGUAAGGCUUGGCUUAGCAUCUGAUGGAUUUAAUCCGUACAAGAUCAUGAGUAUUGUGUACAGUACUUGGCCAGUAGUGCUUGUUCCUUACAAUCUGCCUCCGUGGAUUUGCAUGAAGCAAUCUUCCCUUAUCUUAUCUAUGAUUAUCCCUGGAGAGAAAGGGCCCGGGAAUGAUAUCGACAUUUAUUUACAGCCACUUAUUGAAGAGUUAAAACAAUUGUGGGCUGGUGUCGAGACAUACGAUGUGCUGAGAAAUGAGAACUUUAAUCUACGUGCAGCUUUGAUGUGGACCAUUAAUGACUUUCCCCCUUAUGCCAAUUUAUUCGGUUGGAGUACAAAGGGUCGUUAUGCGUGUCCUUGUUGUGCUGCACAAACAUGUUCGCAAUGGUUGUACAAUGGGAAGAAGUUCUCUUAUAUGGGGCAUCGUCGGUGGUUACCGAAAAAUCAUAGAUUUAGAUUUCAGAGUUCUGUAUUUAACGGUACUGAAGAGUUCAGAGAAGCUCCUUCGCAGACCAGUGGCUCUGAAAUCUUGUUCAUGUUGGAAGAUAUGAAUUUCAUUUAUGGAAAGAUGAACCAACCGCCAAACACGCAAAGAAAUAGAAGAUCAAACGAUGAAGCUGAUGAUGACUCUGAUGAAGAGGACGAUCCUAAUGAGGCGGACUUGUGGAAAAAAAGAAGUAUUUUUUUUGAGUUGCCUUAUUGGGAGCAUCACCUUUUACGACAUAAUCUUGAUGUUAUGCAGAUUGAGAAAAAUGUCUGCGAGAACAUUGUGGGUACAAUUUUGAAUGUCGACGGAAAAUCAAAAGACAAUCUUCAGAGUCGACUUGAUUUAGUACAAAUAGGAAUCCGACCUGAUCUUCAUCCCAAUCCACUUCCGAAUGGAAAAUAUCGGUUGCCGCCAUCUAUUUUUUCAAUGUCGAAGACGGAAAAAGAAGUGUUCUGCACAGUGUUGAAGGAUAUAAAGGUUCCAGAUGCGUAUGCAUCAAAUAUAUCUCGAUGUGUUAGUGUUAAAGAUCGAAGAUUAUAUUCGCUAAAAUCACAUGACUAUCACAUCUUGAUGCAAGAUUUACUGCCAGUGGCUCUACGAUGUUGUAUGUCCAAGAAGGUGACGUCUUGUAUAAUUGAACUAUCCAACAUAAUGAAAGCCAUUUGUGGCAAAGUUUUGGAUGUUCAAGAACUUCAGAAGGUACAGGAUCGAGCCGCUUUGACUUUAUGCAACAUGGAGAAAAUAUUCCCACCUUCCUUCUUCACCAUUAUGGUUCACUUGAUAAUCCAUCUCCCGCACAAAGCAAUUCUUGGCGGACCCGUUUUCUAUCGAUGGAUGUAUCCCAUAGAAAGGUGUUAAUUAAAAUUUUUAAAAUUUUCCUUCAUUCACCUCUAUGCCUUUAGUUUCAAUAAUUAAGAAAUGUUAUAUAUUGUGUUUAGGUUUCUAUCCAAAUUAAAGUCUUACUGCCGCAACAAGCGAUAUCCAAAAGGAUCAAUUGCAGAAGGCUACUUGGCAGAAGAAUGUAUGACCUUCUGCUCAAGAUAUUUGGAAGAUGUUGAAACAAGGUUAAACAGACCAAAUAGGAAUGCUGGACUCACGGACCAUAACUUAGCCGAUACUUAUUUGUUCCAAAGUUUUGGAAAACCAAUCGGUAAAGUUGAAAUUGCAGAAUUAGAUCAUUUAUCGUGGGUACAAGCACAUCGAUAUGUUCUGUUUCACCACGAAUCAUUGGAACCUUUACGGAAGUAAGUUCUACAAAUUUGAUAAAUAUUUAUCAAACUAAUAACUGUUUAUCUUCUAACAAAGUGAACAUUUUUUUAACAUAGUGAGUACAAACAAAUAUUGAGAUCUCGUUCGCGCUCCCGAAGAACACAACAUCGAGAUAUCAAUAAGUUAUUUAUAGAAUCUUUUUAUGAAUGGUUAAGCCAAACGGUAUGCAGUUCGAGCUUCCGUUUACAAAUAAUAAAAUCCGUUUUCUUAUAACAUUUUUAAUUACUCAGUUUACUUUCCAUUCAAUAGGUUUGGAGUGGGAAGAACGUAAAGACGAAGUUAAAUGGCUCUCCCAAGGUCCAAAUCGAGUGGUUAAAAGAUAUAGUGCGUUCCUCAUCAACGGAUUCAGAUUUCAUACAAAAUAUCGCGAGAGGUUGAGGAGAACGCAAAAUUGUGGAAUAGUUGUCAAUUCUGCAAUUACAAGUUAUGCUAGUGCAAGAGACAAUAAUCCUGUCGCGGGAAAUGUGGAAUAUUUCAGACAUCUUACUGACAUAAUUGAGUUGGAUUACUACGGCAAAUGGAAAGUUGUCUUAUUUCGUGGUGAUUGGGCCGAUGUUAAUACAGCUCGUGGAAUUAAGCAAGAUCAAUUUGGUUUUACAAUGGUGAACUUUGACCGAUUGAUUCACACAGGACAACAACUGAUAGAUGAGCCGUAUGUAUUCUCAUCUCAAGUCAAACAAGUUUUUUACUCAAAAGAUCCAACUGAUGAGAGUUGGUACGUUGUACUCCGUAACAUCCCAAGAGACUUGUUUGACAUGGGCAGUGGAAGUAGAGAUAACAUCGACGACAGAUCAGAAACUUUGCCCUUUCCAGAACAAAACUUAAACGAUAAUAUCCCUAGUACUAGUGCACAAUUUCAAUGUGUUCGUCAGGAUACCGAUGAAGAUAUUUACGAAUAAUGAUGUAGUAAGAUUUUACGAUUGUUUAAUUAUAAGUUUUUUUUCAUAAUUUAAAUAUUGGUCUUAUUAUAUAUUUCAACUGUUUUAUAUGUGAUGUUAUUGUUGUAAUUAGUUAUUAAGUUGUCAACUAUUUUAUGUGUAUUGUAGAUAAAAUGCCUAGAAGAAAAAUUCUAAGGGGAAGCAUUGUUCAAAAUGAUCCAAACACGAUAGAAACAAAUAGUACUGAACAACAGACAGCAAUUGGAUCUUCGAAUGUUCCGAUUACAGCUGAUGAUCCUACAGAAGUUCAAAGUAAUUUUACAUUUAAUUUACAUGCGUGUUGACUUAUAGUUGCUUUUUUUCAAAUUCUUAUAUUAUAAUAUACCAUUUGUAGCUGAAAAUGGUGGGACGCGCAGAGGUCGAGGACGUACGCUACUUAGAGAGUUAUACGAGUUAGAUCCAGUCGAGCGUGUCAAAGUUGGACGAAACAGUUUUGGUCAGCCUGUUAGAUCAGAAGCUCGACUUUUAGCAGGAUACAUGGGCAUUUUAGCACGAAAUCCGAAUAUGUUACCUAUCAACUACGACUCAUGGCAUCAAAUGCCCGGUAGCAAAAAAAACCAAGCCGUCGAUAAUAUUAAGGUAACAAAAUGUUAAUGUCAUCUGUAAUGCUUGGGAAAUAGUUUCAUUUAUAUUUACUUUAUUAACUUGUGUUUUUUGUUUUUUGUAGACGAGGUUUGCUUUAGAGGUCUCGGAUGCUUAUGUAAAGAAGGCAUUGGGAAAAAGAUGGAGAGACAAUAAAAGUACUUUGAAGAGAAAUUAUUAUAAGACAAAAACAACCCUCGAUGAGAAAUUGCAAAAUGUCCCGCCGGGUAUGUUGAGGUACCAAUGGGAAGAUACGGUUAGAUUUUGGCAUUCGAAGAAAGGCGAGGUAUGACGUACUUCCAAACUAUUGUAAUUAUUUUGGUAAAUAGUAUUUUCUAUUUACGUACUAAAAAGUUCAUAACGUAGGAUCGUGAACAAGUUGGAAAAAGUAGCAGGCAGAAACAAAAAUUCACCCACACAGCCGGGUCGAGAAGUUUUACAUGUGUAGCUGAGGCGGAGGUAUUUUUAAUUUUUUAAUAUUGUCGAAUAUGUAUAACUUUCUAUUAAAUAAUAUUUUUACUACUAUAUUGUAAGAACUGUCGUUCGGUCAAAAAGUUGGACGCCUUCAACUUUUUGAAAUUACACAUAGGAAGAAAGAUGGAUCUCCCAUGACUCCUGAAGCUGGUGAAAUAAUGAUACGUUUACUUAAUACGAUUUGACUUGUUUUAGUUAUUUAUAGUGUUUAUUUUCUAAUGGUUUAAUUCAUUGCUUGUAAUGCGACUAUUGUUAUGUUGCAUAUGUUUUUUAAUAUAUAAUAUUGCGUUCCUAACUAUGUGAUUUAUUUAUUAGGAAAAACUAAAGGAUAAAAAGGUUGAGUACGAAGCGAUUGCUUCUAGUGAUAGUUCUGUUCAUCUUGAAAACAUUGAUAAUCGGAUUAUUACUGAAGUUUUGGGUCCUAAAAGGUAUGGUCAGGUUCGAUUUCAAGGAUCUUUUGUUAGCCCAACCCAAUAUUUUGGAUCCAGCUCCCACCAAUACAUGGCUUUAGGGAGUCAGGCUCAAGCUGAAGUUCAGAGGUUAAAAGACCAGAUCGCUCAGAUGCAAGCGACCACAGUUGAGGUUCAAAGGAAAUAUGAAGAACUCCAGCUACAACUUAAAGCAGAGGCGGCAGCGAGGGAAGCAGCGGCUGCAGCGAGGGAAGCAGAGGCUGCAGCGAGAGAAGCAGAGCAGACCAAAAAGUACGACGAACUCCAGCAACAGCUUCAGAUUAUGAUGAAGAUGUUUCAGUCGCAACUUCCGCCUUCAUAGUGUAUGGCAUAAAUAUUUUUAUCAUUUUAACAUUUAACAUUUUUGCAAAAUAAUAUGAAUUCACUUUUAUUUAUUGAUAUUAAUAUUAUUUUAUUCGUUUAAUUUGAAAUAUUAUAUAAAUUUAUUGCUUUUGGCUGUUUUAGAUCUGGUUGCUUUUGAUUUGUUGUUACAGGAGGGCUGAAAAAAUGAAAAAUUUAAUAAAAAAAUCCCAAAAAUAGUGGCGUUUUUGUAUAAAAACGCCGCUAAAGAACAUGGUCUUUAGUGGCGUUUUUACCAAAGCGCCCCUAAAGAACAUGGUCUUUAGUGGCGUUUUUUACUAAGCGCCGCUAAAGAACAUGGUCUUUAGCGGCGUUUUUUUGUAAACGCUGCAAAUGUUUGCGAUGUUUUCCUUAGUGGCAUUUUUUGCGGCGCUUGUGGAAGCGCCGCAAAUACCUUUAGUGGCGUUAAAAAGCGCCGCUAAAGGCCUAAAAAAAUGCCGCUAAAGACUUGUUUUGGUGUAGUGGUGUUAAAACGCAUUAUCCUCUUAUUUAUGAAUUAGGAAGUAGUUAUUGGUAGUUCUAGACAUUGCGUAGAAAAUAAUAGAUAUGAUGAGAAUCUAUAUUGAAACUUUUCGAAAAAAUAUAUUUAUUACACAUGAACUAAAAGAAAUUUCUUUAUGGGUAGUUCAAGAAUAUUGUUGAAGCUAUAAAAUAAAAAUUCAAUUGGAUAAUAGAAAUCUCUUUUGUUUAACAAAAUAUUAAUCAUUGAUUGAGUUAAUAUUAUGAGUCAAUCGGACACCAAUUUAAUUAAGAAAUUACGAAAAUAUCAUUCCAUAAUUAAAAUAAAUUAUAUUAUUUGAGGAUAUUUUAAUAUUUUUAUGUCAAAAAAAUCAAUAAAAAUAUAUAUUUAUUUUUCACAAAUAUAUUAUUCUAUCAAUUUUCAUCAACCAAAAAAAAAGUAAUUAAAGUAAAAUUUACCUUUGAUAUACCAGAUGAUUUCAAAGAGAAUGAUUAUAUCAAUGAGUUUAACAAUUAAAAAAUAUAUUUUUUUCAAAGAUUUUAUAAUAUAAAAAAUUUUAAAAAUUUUAUAUAAAAAUUAAAUAAAUAUUUUAAAUGAUAUUUGGACCAAUUUUAAUAAUUAGUUUAUAAUUUAGAGUUGUAGAUAAUAUGGCUGAUAUAUAUAAUGUCUUGGUCAAGUCAUGGUUUUAUAUAUGUUUAUUUGUGAGCCCUACACUCGCAUCAAAUUUAGAUAUCACAAACAUGAUUUAAAACAUUACUAGCUGUGAGCAAUUUAAAGAAAUUUAAUUUCUUUUUUACAAUUUUAAGUUAAUCAAUUAUUUGAUUUUUUUAGGGGCGAAUUCAGAAAAGUUUUUUAGAGGCCGAAAUGAAUUUUUAAUUUUUAAUAGUCUAUAUCUUUAUAUUUUUAAAGGAUUAAAUUAAAAUUUUAUAAUUUUAAGGGGGGCAAAAUGUAAUUUUAUCUCUACUAAUUUAAAACUUUAAGAUUUUUUAAAGGACCUAAAUAAUAAUUUUUCAUUUUAAGGGGGCCGGGGCCCCUACCAACCCUUUAGAUUUGCCUCUGAUAUAUAUAUAUUAUUUAUGUUUUGUAACUCAAAAUUUAGUCAUAUUAUCAAUAAUAUUUUAAUAUGAAAAAUUUACUUUUUAAAAAAAACUUAUUUAACUUGUCUCAAUUAAAUUAAAAAAAUUAAAAUCAAAUUAGAAUAAUAAAAUAAUACCUAUUUACGCGAUUGAAUCUAAUACUCACCUCUCAAUAUUACACCUUUUGAAUCUUCCUAGAUCAUAAAAGGAGAAGUUAUCCUUGGCGUGUGUGUUUUAGUGCUCCUUAUUUCCUUUAAAAACAAAGUUUAUUUAUUCCUUUUUUAUAGAAAUGAAUUGAUAUUUAAACUGCAAAAGAAGAACCACUAUUUGAACAUGUAUAAAUUAAUAUUGUACGCAAAUAUAAACUUUAAUACCAAUUAGAGAAGUAAAAUAAGAUAUUGGUGAAUCAAAUUUAUUAAAUAAUUUAUAUACAGAAUGGAUGAUAUAAUAUUUCUGAAGUCUUCCCUUGGUUGACCAUAAAAGGAGAAGUCAUUGUUUUGUUUUUUGGUAUUUAUUUGUGACCCCUACACACACAUCAAAAUCACAUAUCAUAAACAUUGAUUUAGAAUUAAACUAUAUAAUAUUAGACCUUUUGUAAUCUUCCUAUUGUUGACCAUAAAAGGAGAAGUCAUCCUCUUCUGUCUUUUCUCCCCUUUAACUCUGUGGCUAAUUAUGUCAAAACAAGGUUUUUUUUUCCCUUCUUUGGUAGGAAUUAAAUUAAUAAAGAUUAUUGUAAUUUAAAAUCCAAUUAAAGUUACUAUUUGAACUGGUAUGAAUUAAUAUUGUUAUGUCUAACAUUUAUAUCCAAUAAUUUUUACUAUAGAGAAAAGAAGUAAGAAAAUAAUAUAUGAUGUAAAAUUGUUAAUUUGAGUCUUAACACAGUCGGUAUUUGUAUGUUGUUUAUGUAAUUUUUCUUUCUAGUUAAAGGUUGGAGAGGAGUUAGGGUGAAGCUAGAAAUUUCUUUUUUGGGAGACGAAAUUAAGCUGUAUAUUUUUACGAGAGUUAAAAUACAAUUUUACCAUUUCAAUAGCUUAUAUCUUUACAAUUUUUAAUGGACUAAAGCAAUAUUUUAUCAUUUUUAGGGCUAAAGUACAAUUUUACUAUUUAUUAACUUAAAAUUUUAUAAACUUAAUUUAAAGGGUUAAAUUUUAAAUUUCACAUUUUAAGGGAAGGGAUAAAAACCCUGCUAGGCUCCCCUCUUGCCGCCCCUGAGAGGAUAUAAAGUAAAGCCAUAAGGGUCUAAAAUAUAUGAAUUAUGAGUACUUAUUACACUUGACCAAUUGCUUUUCUUCAAACAAAACAAAAACUAAUGCACAUGAAAAUGCAAAUUCACAUGCAACCUAGAUAUGCAUUCUAUAUACAAUGCAAUGCAAUAAAUAAAUAAACAAAUAUUAUUUAACUAUGGAGUUGCCUCUCCGUAAGCACCUUUGUUUAACAUUUUUGGCUAGAUGUUUUUAAAUGUUAUUUCACCACAGAAUGAUUCGGAUAACAUCUUGACUUAAUAAAAUUGAACAUUAGGAACAACUUAAAAGUCGAGGGAACUUGAGAGUUUUGAUCCCCUUUUGGUUCUUUAACCAACCAUUCUCACCCCUAAUUAUAAUUCCAAUACAGUAAAAGUACGUGAUUGAGUUGAAUGGAUGGUGGUUGUUUGACAUAACAUGUAGAAAGUGAAAAAAUAGUUAAAAAUAAAUCAAGUAUUAAAACUAAAAGUUUAUGAAAGAAAUAAUUUUUUUUCGUUUCCAGGCUUUUACAAAAUCGUGUAGAUUAUUCAUUUUCUUUCUUUUGCUUUUCUUUUCUGACGAAUAAAAUUUAACAAAUGAUAAAAUUGAUCUAAUGUUAUAUAUUUGGUUUAAAAUUUAUGUAACAUAUUAGUAUUUUAAUUAUUUUUCAAAUGUUAUAUAUUUGUUUUAUAAUGGAAACUAAAGUUCGCAUUUAUUUUUUUUUAGGUUUUUUAGGGUGAGUUUAGAUAGGCGGUGCAUUUAUCUACGGUUAGUAUAAAAAUAAAAAUAACGGUAAUAUUAUAUAUUAUAGAGAUAUUAUGGUGUGAGACAAAAAAUAAAUUAAAUACACCGCACCCUACUAUCUAUCCAAACUUAAUUUUAUUAUUUAAAAAUAUAAAUAUUUAAGAUAAAUAGAUAAGUGGGAAAUAUUGAAUGGAAUAAAGUAAUUGAAGCAAUCAAUUGCUAUAUCAUUUCACACACUUUCCCAAAGCCACAUAAGGGGAGAGAAGGGGCCACGCAGCCCUCCUAAAUAGUUGAAAAUAAAUCAAGUAUUAAAACUAAAAGUUUAUGAAAGAAAUUCUAGUAUUAUCAAUUUUUCGUGAGGCUCAAAGCUAUUUGGAACAAAAAUAAAAUCAAUAUGUAUAGGCUUAACAAAAUAGCUAUUAUCUUGCAUUGUUAUUUCAUCCUAACCUCUUCCCUCAUAACUUCAUCUUCUAUUUUCUGUUCGACUUUAUCAAAAGUCUCAAGAAUUUCCUCCCCGUCCUUUUUAACUUCAACGAAACUUUCUAGGGAAGGAAGCUCUAUCGUGAAUGACUUCGGUUCUAGUCAAAGUAAAAUAUAGUUUUUUUAGGUUUUUCGACUAUUUAUGCAUCAAACUUUUAGGACAUUUUGGACAUCUUCCUAAUGUUUUUGGGCUUUAAUCUGUGAAAUAAAUUUAGAUAAAUCUUUCAAGUCACAUCAACAUUUUAUUAAUGAUUUAAUAAAUUAUUAAUAAAAAGAUUUAGGAUUAAUGUACAAAUUUGUCACUAUACUUCAAUUUGAUUGAUAUUUGAUAUUGAAUUUUAUUGCUUUACUUUAAUUUAAUUGAAUUUUGCCACUAAGAUUUUUUUAUUGAAUUUUCUAUUCAAUUUAAUUUUAAAAUAACUUGAAGGCUAAAUUGAAUAAAAAUAGUUUUAUAUUUCGCUUUUAUAUUUAAUAAUUAUCCUCUCAUCCAUGGCAAGGUGCGGAAAUUUGCAGAAUAUAGAAAUGGAGUGAAGAAAAACCGCUUUAGCAGAGGAUAUGAUUAUGUUAAGGAUAUACUGAAGUGUUUGAUUAUUUUUUCCAGAUGAAGUGUUUGACAUUUUAUAUCACUUAAUUAUUUUGGAUUUAUAUGUGAUGUCAGCCUCUACACGUAUACACGUGAAUGUCACCUAUUAGAAAGAAAUAGUAAUUAAAUUCAUAUUUAAUAUAUAUUUUUGAUCUAAUUUUUUUUAAUUCAAUUUAAUUUUAGUUAAAACGUUUAAAAACAUUUAUUUAAUCUAAUUUCUUUAAUAUAUUAAAUAAAUUGGAUUAGAAAAUAUAUUAAAUAUGAAUGAAUACUAUAUCUCUAAAAAUUAAUAUAUUAUUAUUUUAUUGGUGCUUAAAAAAAUUAAAAUAUUUAGAAUCAUUUUAAUAUAAGUUAUUCCCUUGAUAAUAAUAUUUGGUAUUUACACGAGUAAGUUCAAUAGUUGACAAAUAUUUUAUAUAAGUAUAAUAAAAUAUUUAAAAAAAUUAUUUAGUGACUUAAUUUUUUAAGAAUAUUUGAUAAUUCAUAAAGAAAAUAAAUAAUAUUUUAAAAAAAGAGUGAAAAAUGAUAAGUAGAUAAUAUCUAUUAUCACUUACAACAUGUUUGGAUUAAAAAGAAGAAAAAGGGAGGGAAAAUUAAGUAAAUUGAGGGAAAGAAAAUUCGGUUUCUUUGUUUAAGUUAAGUAAAGUUGUUAAUUUUUUAUUAGAUUUUAUAUUUUAGAUUAUUAUCUCUUCUUCUUCUUUUUUUAGCUUGUAACAGCCUUAUUUUUAUUUUCUAUUUGUUUAGGUUACUAGAAAUAUUUAAUUUUAAAUUUGUUUGAUAUAUAUUUUUAAAAAUUUUAACAAUAUUUUUUAUUAACUAUUUUGUUAAAUUAUUAGGAAUCCUUCAUUUGUAAUUUGGUUAAGAUAUUUUUUUUUUUAGUUUGAUAAAAUAAGCUUAUUAAAAAAAAAGAGAAUAUACCAAUAUAUUAUUGGUUAACAUUUUAAUUAUUAUUUUAUAUAGAAUAUUGAUAUUUUUCUAUAAUUUUAAUUUGCUGUGAUUUAAUUUUGUUAUUAUAUAUUAUUUAUGAACUGUUAAAAUUAAAAAAAAUAAAAGUAAAAUAAUUCAUUUUCUUUCCUUUUCAUAGUUUAGCAAAACAAGUCCACAAGCUCGCCUCAUUUGAAAAAAAAAUUAAAUUGUUUAAAUAUAUUUAUCUAUAUAUAUAUAGGGACUAGUUUUAACAAAUGAAAAACAUAAAAACUACAUUAGAAGAAAUGGGGAAGGGAAGAAAACAAAAGGAGAAGCAGAAGAGAAUGAAAUAUAAAGGAAAGUUAAAAGAACAUAAAAAAAUUAAAUUAAAUUGCUCAAAACGAAAAAAAUAUGGGGAUUAGUUGCAUAAAUCAUCCUAAAAUUUUUGUUUGAAAGAUGAUUUAACAUGUCACAUCAGCUUAUUGUUACACGGUUAACAAAAAUUAAUAGCUCAGUGACUAAAAUGUUAUAACGUGAUAACGUAAGUGACUAAAAUGUAACAUUUCAAACAUAAAUAACUAAAAUGUAAGCAAAAGUGGCUAUUUUAAUAGUUUACCCUAACAUUUAUCCAAACAUAAGCUUAAUGUAAACAUUUUUUCAAUUCUUUUUAUUUUAUUUUAUUUUUUACCAUUAUCCUUUAUCCUUAUUUUAGAAAAAAGUAGAAUUAUUUUUCAAAAUUAAUUUUAAGCAAUACAUCAAAUAGAUUUUAUAACUUAAAUGUAAUAUUUAAUUUUAUAAUAUUUUUUUAUCAAACAACAUUUACUCCUAAGUAAAUAAAUAAAUAAAGGCCUUGUGUAAUUAAGAAAGUUGAGAAAGGGCUAAUCCUCACAUGGUAAAAAUUGGCUACAAUAAUGAAGGAAAGAGAAAAACACUUAGGAAUGUGAAUGAGCAUACCCCACACACAUACUAUUUACUGUCAACGGUGAUGGAUGAAUUGUCUACUAUACAUGGAUUUUUUUUUUUUUUUGGUUCUUGUCCUGUAUUAUUUGGGUUUGUGAUCCCAUGUAAAAUUCCAGUCACUAUUUCAUAGCAUUUAAAAAAAAUUAUUUAUUAUCAAUUGAGUAUUAGCUUGAUUGGUAUAAGUAUUAUUGUCAAUGUAUGAGAACAUAGGUUCGAGUGUAUUAAAGCUUAUUAUCUUUUUAUUUAUGGAUUAGAAAGUGAUUAUUGGUAGUUCUAAACAUUGUGUUGAAAAGAAUAGACAUAAUCAGAAUUUAUGUUGAAAUUUUUCAAAAACAAUUAUUUAUUACACAUUAAUUAAAAGAAAUCUCUUUAUGGGCAGUUCAAGAUUGUGAAGUUAUAAAAUAAAAAAUUCGAUACGAAAACAAAAAUCUCUUUUGUUUAACAAAAUAUUAAUCAUUGAUUGAGUUAAUAUUAUGAGUCAAUCAAACAUCAAUUUAAUCAAGAAAUUACGAAAAUAUUAUUUUAUAAUUAAAAUAAAUUAUAUUAUUUGAGGAUAUUUUAAUAUUUUAUGUCAAAAAAAUCAAUAAAAAUAUGAAUAUGAUGGGAUUUGAAAUAAAAUCUUGAAUUUACCACUCAACCAAAACUUUAUUUUAUCAUAUUUUAUACAUUUUUAUUUUAAUACGCACAAUUUAUUAACUUCAUCAGUUGUAUAUAUAUUAAUAAAUUUAUUGAUUGAGUUAAUAUCACAAGUCAACUCGACACUAACUGACAAUUGACGACAACACUUUGAUAGACAGUUGUAUUGCGUUUAAUUAGUAUUUUUAAUUUGAUGUAUUUAUAUGUUUAAAUUUUAUUUUUGCUCCCAAAUUAAUUUAAUUUUUUAUUUUAAUGCCAUACAUAUUUUAUAUAUUCUUAUAAUUAAUUAUCUUGAAACCAUAUGUUUCAUUAUUUACUUCUUUCUUUUAAGCAUGCAUCUGUGUUUCAAAUCUAAACAUGGUUGAUUAUGUUAAUUAAUGUUACAAAUUGAGAAAUUUAUUAAAAGUAUUGAAAUCUUCACAUCUAACCUACUUUUAUCAUGUUUGGAAGAUGCUAUUGAUCUUCUUCAAGUGGUUUUUCACAAAUAUAUUAUUCUAUCAAUUUUCAUCAACCAAAAAAAAAAGUAAUUGAAGUAAAAUUUACCUUUGAUAUACCAGAUGAUUUCAAAGAGAAUGAUUAUAUCAAUGAGUUUAACAAUUAAAAAAUAUAUUUUUUCAAAGAUUUUAUAAUAUCAAAUAUUUUAAAAAUUUUAUAUAAACUUAAAUAAAUAUUUUAAAUGAUACAAUUCGACCAAUUUUAGUAAUUAGUUUAUAAUUUAGAGUUGUAGAUAAUAUGGCUGAUAUAUAUAAUGUCUUGGUCAAGUCAUGGUUUUAUAUAUGUUUAUUUGUGAGCCCUACACUCGCAUCAAAUUUAGAUAUCACAAACAUGAUUUAAAACAUUACUAGCUGUGAGCAAUUUAAAGAAAUUUAAUUUCUUUUUUACAAUUUUAAGUUAAUCAAUUAUUUGAUUUUUUUUAGGGGGCCGAAAUGAAUUUUUAAUUUUUAAUGGUCUAUAUCUUUAUAUUUUUUAAAGGAUUAAAUUAAAAUUUUUAUAAUUUUAGGGGGGUCAAAGUGUAAUUUUACCUCUACUAAUUUAAAACUUUAAAAUUUUUUAAAAGACCUAAAUAGUAAUUUUUCAUUUUAAGGGGGCCGGAGCCUUACCAACCCUUUAGAUUUGCCUCUGAUAUAUAUAUUAUGUAUGUUCUUUAAAUCAAAAUUCAGUCAUAUUAUCAAUAAUAUUUUAAUAUGGAAAAUUUACUUUUUAAAAAAUUUAUCUUGAACAAACUUAUUUAGCUUAACUCAAUUAAAUUAAAAAAAUUUAAAUCAAAUUAAAAUAAUAAAAUAAUACUCAUUUACUCGAUUCGAUCUAGUACUCACCUCUCAAUAUUACACCUUUUGAAUCUUCCAUGACAGAAGUUAUCCUUAGUGCUCCUUAUUUCCUUUAAAAACAAAGUUUAUUUUUUCCUUUUUUAUAGAAAUGAAUUGAGAUUUAAACUGCAAAAGAAGAACCACUAUUUGAACAUGUAUAAAUAAUUUAUAGUUGAUAGUUAUAUACAGAAUGGAUGAUAUAAUAUUUCUGAAGUUUUCCCUUGGGAGAAGUCAUUGUUUUAUGUUUUUUGGUAUUUAUUUGUGACUCCUACAAAUUAUAUAUAAGAAAUUCUAGUAUUAUCAAUUUUUUGGAGGCUCAAAGCUAUUUGGAUCAAAAAUAAAAUCAAUGUGUAUAGGCUUAACAAAAUAGCUAUCAUCUCAUCCUAACCUCUUCCCUCAUAACUCCAUCUUCUAUUUUCUGUUAGACUUUGAGAGUUCAAUUACGAAAAGGGAAGUGUUUUUUUCGGCUCUUAAUGUAAUUGAUAGUAGGCUAGGAAAUAAAGAUUAUUCGUUUGUUUGUUUAAGCCUGAUUUUGACUUGUUUACUAUAAUUAAAUUAUCACUUCAAUAUAUUUUUAUCAGUUUGAUUUAUGUACUUUCAUUCUAUGUACUUCGUUAUCUUAUUUAUAUUUUUUAGAAAAAAAAUUUUCUAUCUAAUUAAAUGCUGUCACCUAUGAAAAAAUUUAAAAUUCCACUGAAGUAUAUAAAAAUUCAUAAAAAUCGUAAAAAAAGCAUAGAACUCUAAAGAAAUUAAUAAAAUUUUAUAAGCACAAAUUUCCAAAAUUAAAAUUAAAAUAUUUUAUUAAAAUUUUUAAAUUUUUUAAAGUUUCAUAUAUUUAUUGUUUAAAAAUUAUAUCAUUUUCAAAAAAAGAUUAUGAAUUUUUUUAGGUAUUUUAAAAAUAUUUUUCUAAGUCUUAAGAUUUUAUUUUUUGCAUUUUAUGAUUUCUUUUUUGGAUUUUUAAUGGUUUUUAAAAUUUUAUAAUAUUUUCUAAAAUGUUUUAACUAUUUUGGUCGUCCAGGUUUUGUGAAUGAAGCGAAGGGUAUCUUUAUUGUGGUGAACUUUUAAUUUACUCAAAACGAAGUGAUUUAUUACGUUGUGUGAUUUGCAGAUAAGUGUUAAAUAUGAAAUGUGUAAGGCCCAAUAUUUGCCCGGCCCGUAAUAAAUAAACCAAAUCAAAAUUUAAAAAGUCCAAAGUCCAAAAUUACAAAAAUCUAUCAGACCCAAAAUAUAAAUCGAGCCCAUUUAUAAAUGGCCCAGUACAAACCCAAAUUACAGCUAGCCCAAUAGCCAAAAUCAGCCCAGAUUUUUUCAUUUUGCAGAAACCCUAAACAGUUUCAGAGGUACCAGGCGCCGCAGCCAAGCCCUCGCACAUGCCCCACGAACCACGCUUCCAGCGCCUCUCCCCACAUACACCUAGCCACGUCCCUGACACCGUACGGCCGUACCUGCAGCAAACGCAAACGAAAAACGCAGCAGAGAAAGAAAUUGUAUUUUUCAUUUUUAUUAUUUUAAAACGAAGGGAUAUAAAACAGGAGAAACCUUUUGUAUUUGAGGGGGGAUUGAUACGCAAUAUCAACACACGCAUAUUGUAUCAGAAAAACGAAAUCAAUACAGAAGAAAGGUUUUCUUUUUCUCUUUUCUCGAUUGGGUUCCUUUUUCUUUGGCUUUUCUUUUUUCUGUUUUGCUGUUAGCCCUAUACAUAAGCAUAUACAUAUAAUAAAAGGGAAAGGAAGUACUUACCUCGGUGACCCUGUCGUCGUUCUCAUCGGUUUCGUGGAUACCAAAGAGGCUAGGUAUGGUUUUAGCCUGAGAACGGCGCAAGGGGAGAGGGGAAAGGCAAAGUUUUUUUUCUGCUAUUUUUUUAGUGGCCGAAUAACCUUGUUUAGGGUUUUAAAAUUGGUUUUUUUUGGGUGUUGAAACGGUGUCGUUUGGGGCCUGAAUCAGUGGCCACCAAAACGACGUCGUAUUUGUAUACCCGCACGUCCAACCCGACCCGGACCAGCUAGAUUCGCGCGUUUUGGCCUCUGGUGGUAUAUUUUCGCACUUAGUCCCUUGCCUUUAAAGCGCAUCCAAAUCAAUCUUUUUAUUUUUUUAGAUUUUGCCUGAUAUGUCACUGUUGUUUCAUUUUGGUCCCUUCUGCCAAUAUGCGUUUUGAAGGGCAGGGAAUAUUUCCCAUUUAAUCCCUCAUGUAAUGCGCAGGCUUCAUUUUGCCUUUUAAUUUCCUUUUAAUUUAUUUUCUUUUUUCGAUUAAGCAUUAAAUCCAUUUUAAUCUCUAUUUUAGUUUGUUCAUAUUAAUUAAUUUAAAUAUUUUGGUUCUGUUUUCUUUAAUAUAUUUCAGUUUAAUCUAAUGUUAUUUUAAUAAUUCAACUUAUUAGUAUAAAUUCAUUAUUGGUAUUAUUUAAAUCUAUUGAACCAUUAUUCUAAAAGUUUUCUUUCGUGUGUUAUUUUAAGUUUUCAUAUAUUAUUAUUAAAAUUUAAUACUUAUUAUUUUUAUGAUAACUAAAUAUAAUUUGUACAAUUCUAUAGUUUUAUAAUAUUUAUUUUUAAAUUUAUUGGGAUACUAUUAUUUUAUGAAGUAUUUGUUUUUAACUAUAUUUUUCAUUUAUUUCAAACUUUCAUGUGUAUAUAUAUUAUUUUAAACUUAUUUUAAUAUAUAAUUUCCCUUCUUUUAUGUUACUUUUUUUGUUUUUGUUAUUUAAAAAAAAACUUGUUACAUUUUAUUUAAUUCGCUUGUUACCCUUUUUUAAUAUUAACUUUUUAAUUCAUUUUGCUUGCUAAUAUGGAUGUUAGUAUUUGCAUAAUGUAGGAUAUAAAAUUGUUGCUCUUUUGUAUAUGAUAUUGUUUAUUCAUAUAUUAAAUUUUUGUUAUUCAUUAGUGUAUGCUUUAGUUUACGAAUAAUCAAUUCGCAUAGUACAUUAUUAUACGAUCGUUUUUAUUUAUUCAAAAGAUUACAAAUUACAAAGUUAUUCUAUUCAAAAACUUUCAAAAAUACUCGAAGUUUGAAAUCCUCGAGAGAAUUGAGCCCUAACGUAUUGGGUUCCAAUUUUUUUCGUCGAGUCUAAAUAAUUGAACAUUUUUUAACAUACAAAUUUCAAAUAACCCAUUCUCGGGAAUUCAACACGUUGUGUCCUAACGUAUUGGAUAUGACAUGUUAUUUUCUCGAGACGAGGAUUUUAAAAAAAUAAUAAAUAAAGGCAAUGUUCGGUAUUUGGAAAUUUGGUGAAAUCGAACCCUAACUUACUGGGUUUUGAUCUUCUCUUUUGGCCCAAAUAAUUAGAUAUCCUUCUCAAAAUGCAUAGUUUUAAAAAUCAAAUUUAACUUCAAAAUAAAAGGAUUGUAUUUUAAAUUUUUUUUCAAAAUCUCGACAUUAAGACAUUGAACAAUCAAUUUGGUACCAAUUUUGGGCGUAUCGAGGGUGCUAAUCCUUCCUCGUGCGUAACCGACUCCCGAACCUAUUUUUUUGAAUUUCGUAGACCAAAACCGUUGUUUUAAUAAAAUCAAAUCGUUUAUUAAAAACAACCACUUUUUAAGGUGAUCCGAUCACACCUUAUCAAAAAAAGAUUGGUGGCGACUCCCUUUUUCCGUUUCCGUUUUCAAAAUCCAAGUCGACCCCGUUUUCAACAAAGAAAUGGUGUCUACAAAAUGAAUUGUUGAAUUUGAAAACAAUGGUUUAAUAUUGCAGGGAUUUCCAGCAUUAUCAUAAAUUUUAGUGAAUUUAGAGACGAAAUCAGAGUUCCACUGAGUUUUGUUCAAAUCUGGGGAUUUCAUCGUCAUAUAGGGUCGAUUUGGAUAUCUAGGAUACAAAGCUUCAUAUCAUUGAUGUUCGGUGGCCAUGGGUAUAUGUUGAUUUUGAGUUUAUCGUUGCCCCAUAAGUUGGUUGCACUAAAAAAAAAGGGUAUUACCAAUGCUAAAAAUUGUUACUAAAAUUUUAUUGUAGCAAUAAAAGUUGUUGCGGGAUUGUUGUGUAUAUUUUCGUUGUUUAAAGUAUACGCAACUCUACUCAAUUAUGUAAUAUCUACUCUUAAAUAUGGUCUAUUUAACUACAUAUUUAAGCACAUCAAACACAAAUUAAUAAUUUAGAAAUAUCAAACCAAGAAUUAAUCACACAUAAUUGGGAACAAUAAACUAAGUAUUUAUUGCAUAAAAUAAAAAAAAUGAUAGAAUCCAUCAUAGGGUUCAUUUCCCUAGGUAUUUAGAAAAUUAGUUCAAGCUUGAAAAUAAAAACAUCCAAGAUAUAGUAUAACCGAAAGAAAUAAAAAAAUUCAUGAUAAUCUCCUAGGAAAUCAACUGAGAAUCUUCAAUCUUGACGUAAAUUUGUUUUCAAGAUGGCUUCAAUGGCAUUUUUCGAGUUGCUUUCUUGAAUAUUUUAUGACGGCUCUCUCAUAUACUUUCUUAAUUUUUCACAUAUACGUUUCAUAAUGCCCCAAAAAUCUAAAAAUCUUGAUUUUACAUUGUUUGUGUGGCAAUUCCAUGAAAUUGACAUAGCCUACCACACACUCGUGUGGGUCACAUGACUAUGUGGUUUGCUCAUGUGAAAUUUAGAAAAUGUAAAAGAUUCCCUAUGCACCAUCUAUUAUGAGUCUACUAUAUGCUCAAAUAUGUAUGCAUCCGUAUAUUGCAUAUAUUGUUGGGAUGUUAGGCAAACAUUUAAGCAACUCUAGUAUAGGCCAUUAGAUAACAACCAAGAGGGUUAUGAGGUAUCUUUAGAAAACAAAAUAUUACAUGCUCACAUAUUGGAUGUUUGAUAAGUUAGAGAACAUCAAGUAUACAAACUCCAAUUUUGAUGAAAUAUUGAUGCAAAAUUUUGUCACUAGAGUGCAAAUUGUAACAAUAGUUAGUAGUCUUUUAUUCCAAUUGUACAAGCCCAAAUUUGCCCGAGGCCCAAAAACCCAAUACACCCAAACCUCAGCCUAAUUACAAAUUUAACUCAGCAGACCCAACCCAACACCGAUGACCAAACCUCAAUCCAAUAGCACCUAGCCCAACAAGAUUAAACCCAAACCCGAGGCCCAAUAUCCAACCCAAAAAAAAUGAAGGCCCAGUAGCCCAAAAUGUUUGAGACUUUUUCAGAAAAAAUGAAACCCUAGCCUACUGCCUAACCCUAGCCGCCUCUGCCUCCUCUGACAUCUUCUAGUCUGGCUGCCGCUCGUAGCCUCUGCCACCGCCACCUCUGACGCCGAGCCGCCCAUCAAUCACCUACUCCAUCAACGUCAACACCUGCAAACAAGAGAAAAAGCAAUAGCAAAUAAUAGCAAAAAUAUUGUAAAAAAAUGGCUAUAAAGCCAUAACCACCACUGUAAACGGGGUUCUUCCCCCCCCGAUUUUUGUAUAAAAAAAUAUUAGCAGGGAAAUAAAGGAAAAAAGAUUGAAGGUGAUUUUUUCUUUUCUUUUCUUUUCGGUUUUGUAGACCUGUUUUUCUGUUCUCUUUUCUUUUUUCGUUUACACGUAUGUAAAUAAAGGUAGUAAAUAAAAGGAUAGAAUGAAGACUUACCCAUUUCGCCUUUCGGUUACGCCGCCGUCGGGGUCUGCUCAUAAUUGAAAUCGGCCCGAAAGAUCGAGUUAGGGGGUCCUUUGUCUUAAUUUUUGGGCCAAACGAAUCUAGCCUUCGAUUGGGUCUUAAAACGGGGACUAGAAUGCCCAUUUUGCGCAACGCCGGCCACCGUCCACGGUGGCGCUAUGGCGGUGCUAAGAAGACCCAAAGGCCGAACGUUUGAGAGGGAUGAGGAAAGGUUUUUUUUUGUUUUUUUUUUAAAUUAGUGGCCGAAAUGUUUUUUUUGAAGAAAAUAUGGCUUAAAUACCAUUUUCGAAAUAACAUCGUUUCAAUUUGGCCCUCCAGAUGCCAAAACGGCGUCGUUUUGAAAGGGGCCGGUUCUACUCGACCCGUUUGGCCAGGAUCCGCGUGUUUUAGCCUUGAGGGGUUAUUUAUGCGGGGAGUCCCUCCGCUUUUGCAGCGUAGCCGAUAUGAUCCUUUUUGGUCUUUUUGUUAUUUGGCCCGCGAAUUUUACCUCUAUUUCGAUUUGGUCCUUAGACCAUGUGCUGCCCCUAGUCGAAACGCAGCAUUUUAGGACUGGGAAAUAUUUCCCCACAAGUCCCUCACGCUUUAAGCGCGUUUUACUUCAGUCCUGCACUAUUCCUUUUGUUUGUUUGCAUAUUUAAACCCCGAAGUUCGUUUCAAGUUUUAAUUUAGUCCUUUUGUAUUUUGUUUAUUUUCUUAUUAAGUAAUAAAUUUGAUGUUAUACUGUUAUUAUUAAUUAUAAUAAAUAUUAUUUGCUCAUUUUUACCUUUAGAAUUUCAAAAUUUAUCAUAUAUAUUUGUAUAUACUUAUUUUGAUAUUUUGAUAUUUUAUAAUUUAUAUCUAUAUAUCUAUAUACAUAUUUAUACAUAUAUACACAUACCUAUAUGUUUUAUAUUUUCAUAUAGUUUUUAUAUACAUAUAUAUUCUUAUAUGCACAUGCUUAUGUUUUUUUAUACUUUAUAUAUAUACACCUAAACAUGCAUAUUUUUUUAUAUGUACAUACAUUCAUAUAUUUUAUAAUUUAAGUACAUAUACAUAUAUAUGUACAUAAACUUUAUUAUUAUUAUUUUUUUUGUAAUUUAUAUUGUUAUUAAUUGUUUUAUUUGAUAUUUAUUUAUUUGCUCAUCUUUAUUUUUAUGAAAUGCUUUAGUUCUUUUUACAUUAUUUUUAUGAAAUGCUUUAGUUCUUUUUACUUACUCAUUAUUUCAUGUAUAAUUGUUUUUUUUAUAUAUGUGUCCUUUUUAUUGUUGCUCGUAUUAUUUUACUUACAUUAUCAUAAUUGUCAUUCCAUUACGUCAAUUUUCACCCAAAUUCAAAAAAAGAAAUUUUAAAAAUAUAAAUAAUACUCGGUAUUUGGGAUCUUCGAGAGAAUCGAGCCCUAACGUAUUGGGUUCCGAUUUUCUUCGUUGAAUCUAAAUAAUCGAGACUACUCUUUUUUAUAUAUAAAAAAACAUAAAUAAAAGCUCAUUAUCGGGAAUUCAAUACGUUGUGUCCUAACGCAUUGGAUAUGAUACAUUGUUUUCUCGAGAUGAGGAUUUUUCUAAAAAAAUAAAAAUAAGGCAAUGUUUUGAGUUUGGGAAAUUCAAGAAAACGUGCCCUAAUGUGCUGGGUUUCGAUUUCUCGUUUAGCCAAAUAUUCUCUUAAAUCUUAAUCUAUGUCAUUUAAGUUUUUUUAGGAUCGUAUUUUAAAUCUCUUUAAAAUUUUCAGUUUUUCGACACUAAGAUAUUAAGUGAUCAACUAGGUACCAAUUUUGGGCGUAUUGAGGGUGCUAAUCCUUCCUCGUGCAUAACCGACUCCCGAACCCAUUUUUCUGAAUUUCGUGGACCAAACUUGUUGUUUUAAUAAAAUCAAAUCAUUUAUUAAAACAACCACUUUUUGAGGUGAUCCGAUCACACCUUAUCAAAAAAGAUUGGUGGCGACUCCCACUUUCGUUUUCAUUUUUCAAAACCCAAGUCGACCCCGUUUUAUCAAAAAAAUGGUGCCAACAGCUUGGCGACUCCACUGGGGACCCAAGAACGAGAGUCAAGCCACGAGUUGAUUAUUUUUUUAUUUUUUUGUCGAAAAUCAAAAAAUUAGUUUAAACAUACGAUCCUUUCGUUGCAUUUCAUUCGUCUUUAUUAUGAUCUUCAUCAUUAUAGUUUAUAAUUGUUGUGUUAGUUUAAGUUUUGGUAUCAAUUUGUACAUUGCAUUGCAUAACCGUUGGUCACACCCUUCUUAGUGGGAGUGAGAAACUACGCUUUCGUGAGGUUUUCACCUCUGCAUAGGAUAGUGAAUCGCUUCUGGUAUAUAUCCGUACCUAUGUUUUCGUGAGAUUUUCAUCUCCGCAUGGCCAUAGGGAAAUGUAUUCCCCUGAACUGAACUCAGUCUGCAUGAGCCUAUAAUGGGUCAGGACCGAGGAAUCUGCUGGUUCAAGUACCCCUUACUUUAGAGCCGAACCGCAUGUAAUGAGCCCUAGGAGCCUACCCUAGGUAGAACCACACCAAAUACCUAGAGGUCACCUGAAAACUUGGUUUAAAUUUACGAUCAUUUUGUUGUAUUUCGUCCGUUUUGGUAUGAUUUUCAUUACUUCGAUUUGUAAUUACUCUAUUGGUUUGAAUUCUCGAUAUGUUUCUGCGCAUUGCAUUACAUGACCACUCAGUUACACCCUUUUAAGUUGGAGUGAGAAGCUACUCCUUUGUGAGGUUUUCACCUCCGUGCAGGAUAGUGGAUCACUUUUGGGAUACAUCUGUACCUAUGUCUUCGUGAGAUUUUCAUCUCCGUGCAGCCAUAGGGAAAUGUAUUCCCCUGAACCGAACUCGGUCCGUAUGAGCCUAUAAUGGGUGAAGAUCGAGGAAUCGGCUGGUUUGGGUACCCUUUCUUUAGAACCAAACCACAUGUAGAAGACCUUAGGAGCCCACCCUAGGUAUAACUACUUUGAACCCCUAGUAGUUACCCGAAUAGGUGCUCUUUUUGUUUUUUUUUCUUGUUUACUUUUGCUUUGUACUAACCUGUUUUGUUUUGGUUAUAACUGCAUUGCAUUUUCAUCAUAGAAAAGAGGUGUUGAUUCAAAUUUGAUUGCUAAAUAGAAAAGCUUGUCAUGGAAAACGAAUUUCUUGAUAAAGUAGAAUAUGAUGCGACUGUCUGAUUAUGGACUAAUUAAACACAACAAGAGAAGGUUAGAAGUUUGUGGAGGAAUAUACGACUAUGCUUCACUGCCUGAGGAUUCAAACCGACAAAGAUCAUUCGAGAGUGGUCACGAAACUAAAGAGCAUCGUAAGGGAGCAAUGGGUCGUGGCUCAGAUCAAUCAAAAAAGAAGAUAGUAAAGGUAAAUUUUGGGAAAUUCGCAAGAUUUGAUCCUAACAUCUGGAUAUGAAGAAAAGAUCAAUGUCUUCGCCAGGAAUAUGGGGGCAAAGCAGCAGAUGUAAUCUAUUUUAUGUAAAGAAAUUUAUUCUCUAGAAAAGUUGUUCUAAUGGAAUUGAAUUAGGAAUCAAUGCCUCUCUUUCUUUUUGCAUUCAUUUCACGCAUUUGUAUUAUAUAACAUCACAUGCAUUAAGGACCAUCAAAAGACUCUAAUUGAGUAAAAUGAUUUCAGCUAAUCUAGAGAACCAACACCCUUACGGAAUCCGAGCAAAAACUAAAAGAAUGGACCAAAGAUUGGAGAGAUUAAAACAAAGGCAAAUACAGAUGCAAGAGCAAUUUACCAAAUUUCAACAAGAUAUGAAGGAUCAGAUGCUAGAAGUCCAAAGAAAUCUGAUGAGUCAGUUAACCCAGUUAUUGGAUAGAGGGUUAGAAAAAGGAAAAAACCCAGUGGUCCAUUUUGGAGAUAAUGAUGAAGACCCUGCUCAUUUUCUAGGUUUUACCCCAACAAACAUCCAAGCACAACUAAAUGCAUGUCCACAAAAGGUAAAUGUUAACAUCUGACCACAAUACCAGACCAGUACCUCGACACCGGUGAAUUUCACGACAGGCUCAGGUUACAACCUUAGGGGAAAUCUAACUAGUCCCGUUGUCCUUGAUGAUCUAGCGGGAACAAAACAGGUGAGAGUAGAGCUCUCAAAACCAUUUGGAGAUCGUUACAAACAGAAAGGGCAAGAGUGGAAUCCUCAAAUCAAUACUUCGAGGGCCCCGAGGAAGAGGAAAGAUGACGUGAAUGAUGUGAGUAGGUAUAAUGAGGGUUAUUCAAAGCUGAUUACAACAAGCCAGAAAAGGACGGUUGAUUCUAGCCAUCAGAUCUCCCAGAGCAAGAAUUCGGCACAAAGUAAAACAUUGAGAAGUCCAAAUUUGUACCAAUCUCAAUGUCAUUUCGGGAGCUGUAUCAUAAUUUAUUUAACGCACACAUUGCCUCCCCUUUCUACUUGAAGCCUUUACAACCUCCGUACCCCAAAUGGUACGACACGAAUGCACAAUGUGACUAUCAUGCAGGAAUUACGGGGCAUUCAAUAAAAGAUUGCGUUGCCUUUAAAAAGGUGGUUGAAAGGCUCAUCAGUAUAGGCAUUGUCAAGUUCGAUACAAAAAAAUCUGCUGCCUAAUCAUAUUGAUAAUCGGGGUGAAUGCGAUGAAUGAGGAAAUAUUGGGAAACGUUCAAAUUAACGCUGUGCGAAGAAACAACUGAAGAAGGGACCUUGUUAGAUAUUUACCCGUACAUACUUAGGGGUGUUUUGAGCAAUGAGACUGUGGAAGAGAUCCCUGUAUUUUGUAGAGCUAAUUCGGAGUAAUAUCCAAAACACGCUUAUUGCUUUAAGCCUAGGGGCAAUAAGAAUCCUUUUGUGAGAUAGGCUUAUGUCCAACAUCUUUAUUUCAAUAAAAUGCAUCUUUGUUUCUCACUUCGAGCAAAUUUUUAUUCUUAGAUUCUUUUAUUCUUUGGAUAUACUUUCGUCCCUAUAAUAGGUCUUCAGAUAUCAAUGAUAUGAGCGACACUGCUAUUGACUCAGAACCUCCUUUUGAGCAAGAUAUGUGUCCAGAUUAAACUUCAAAACUUUGGAGAUAACUAAGACUGUAGCUUAUCUCUUAGUUUGUUAAGGACGGGAGAACAAGAUCCUACCUUACAAAGAAUCAAUGGAAGCCAUGGCCUUUCUCUAGAUGGGGCACGGAUGUCAUUAGGCCAAUCUCGUCUAAGGUUUUUGACGGCUAUCUUUAUAGUCAUCGAUUACUUAACUAAGUGGGCAGAAGUUGCUUCAUAUGUCAAUGUCGCAAAGUUAACAGUCUGUAAAUUCUUGAAAAAUCAUAUGUUAGUAUGGAAUGUCAAAAAGGAACAUAUCUGACAAUACACUAAAAGUGAACAACGACACAAUAUCAGAAGUUUGCAGUCUGUUCAAGGUUAACACAUUUUGCCCUAGAAUGUACGGUGCAGUGGGAGCAAAAACAAAACAAAAAAGAGGAAAAAUUACUGCAGGGGCAACACAUUGGCUUAGCGCAGUUUUGCUCAUUGAGGUCAAGAUUCCUUCCCUCCGAGUGUUGGAUCAGAUCCCGAUUGAAGAGAAAUGUUCAAAGUUAUCCGUCUGGGUCAAAUACACCAAAAAUAAAAGAUGCGAGCUCAUCAAAGAAGGUUCACCCUAAAGAGUUCCAUGAAUAGAACCUAACAUCGAAGAAAAUCCUCCCCAUACAAAAGGGACUUUAUAAGAAAGAGGAUCUGGAAAAGUGUUGAUUUCGACCAGAAAGGAUAGCAAGGACUUACCUAAUCCUACGAGUGCGGAUUCAAUCAAAGAAUGUAAAAAAAACAAACAAACAAACGAAAAGAAAAAGAAAAGAAAAGAAGAAUGAAAAAAGAAAAAGGAGAGGCCAAGAUGAAAACCCGCAAAGGGCGCCUUGAGACCAAAGGGGUUUUGAAUUGAAAACCCAGGAAUGGGUAGUUCAAAUUUUGAUCAAAGGUGGGGCAUGCGGUGGCCUUGUCCUCUCUGAAUUAGCAAGAAGGUGAGACGCUACAUCUCAGGCUAUCAACAAAGUCUUUUAGGACUUCUAGACACAUAUCAAGUUCAAAAGAGUCCUCAAGAAGCUUAUACAGAAAAGCUCAUGUUGCGAUAUCUGGGGCACCUGUUUCCAUUUUAUUCAUUUUUAUUUUGGCAAAAUAUGCCAUCUUGAUUAAUUUAUUCUCAUUUCGUAUCUUAGCAAAUUUACUAUCUUGAUUAUUUAUUUCGAGCUUUGUUCUCAAUAAAAUUUCAUCUUGUCCAUUGUGAUAAUCCUUUUCAUCUUAUUCAUUUUGAAUCUUAGCAAAAUUCGCUGUUCUGCUUAAUUUAUUUGUUUAGAGCUCUGCUCUCAAUAAAAUUUCAUCUUUCCCACUAUGAUAAUCUUUUUCAUCUUAUCUUAGCAAAAUUUGUUAUCUUGAUUAAUUUAUUCAUUUUGAGCUUUGUUCUUAAUAAAAUUUCAUCUUAUCCAUAUUGAUAAUCUUUUUCAAGCAUUUUACAUUGAAAUAACGAUUAAUUGACUGAAUAUUCAAGCAAAAGAAGUUUUGCAUAUUACUCUGAAAGUUUCUAAAUAAUACAGGAACCUGAAAUAGGACUAUUGUUUAGAGCAUACCAAUAAAGGGUGAAAUGUCUAAGAAGGAAAAGUCUAAAUUAAGACUAUCCUUUCGAAUUUUGUUGUCCAAGCAUGAAUUGAACAAAACGAAAAAAUGUCGAGAUGGUGACAAAGUUUCAAUGAACAAACGAGCAAUGAUCACCGAGUUAUAAAAAGAGGUUUUUGGAAGAAAAAAUUCCACAAUCGUGCAUAAACAUUUGGUAUGACACCUUGGGAAUGGUGUAGAAGACUAAAGAGAUUCAGAUACUGUAUCCCUGAAUUACAGUGGGAGAGGAUUGAGAAAAGUCAGAUCUUAUACUCAGUGGGAGGAAGAUGGCUCGAAUUUUAUGCCCCAAAAUUACCAUGGACUUAACCUUGAAGAUUACAACGGAUUGAACUCUGAAGAUUACAGUAGGGGGCAAUCUGGCUAAGUAAGAGAUGAGUGUUACCAGUCGAGCAAGAUAGCAUUCUGAUAUGUUGGUAAUAAAACCUUAUUGAAUAACGAGCAAUAACAACCCUAACAUUAAAAAGGGAUCAUUCUCAUGACAUUCUGCAUUCAUGCAAAUAUAAUUCACAUACACACCUAGUUAGGAGCAUUUGAUUCGUUCUGAUCAUAAUAUCCUAAUCAUUAGGCAUAAAUAGAUUCAUAAAAUGGACUUUACAGGUCAUGUUCCCCAGAGAACAUAUUAAUAAAGUUACCCAUACCCCUGAAGUUGCAAUGGGAUGAAUUGAAGUUGUCAUGUCAAGUCUUAUCUCUCAGAAAUUAUAGAGGAGUGGACUAGAGAUAGCAGAUCUUAUCUUCCUGUAUUUGGCAGCGAAGUAGAUCGUAGAUAGCAGAUCUUGUCUUCCUGUAUUUGGCAGCGAAGUAGAUCGUAGAUAGCGGAUCUUGUUUUCCUGUAUUUGGCAGCAGAGUAGAUCAUAGAUAGCAGAUCUUGUCUUCUUAUAUUUGGCAGCGGAGUAGAUCGAAGAUAGCAGAUCUUGCCUUCCUGUAUUUGGCAGCGAAGCGUAGAUAGCAGAUCUUGUCUUUUUGUAUUUAGCAGCGAAGUAGAUCGUAGAUAGCAGAUCUUGUCUUCCUGUAUUUGGUAGAGGAGUAGAUCAUAGAUGGCAGAUCUUGUCUUCCUGUAUUUGGCAGUAGAGUAGAUCGAAGAUAGCAGAUAUUGUCUUCCUAUAUUUGGCAGCGAAGUAGAUUGAAGAUAGCAGAUCUUGUCUUCCUGUAUUUGGCAAUAGAGUAGAUCGUAGAUAGUAGAUCUUGUCUUCCUGUAUUUGGCAGUGGAGUUGGUUAAAAAUUACAGAUUCUAUCACCUUAAGCAGUAGUGGAGCAGAUUAAAAGGAUGGAUCUUAUCUCUUCGAAGUUGUAGUAGAGCAGAUCGCAUCAAACUUUAUUGAAGCUACAAGUCUUAUCUCACUGAGGUUGCAGUAGAAUAGACUGAAGAUAGCAUAUAUUAUCUCUCUGGAGUUACAGUAGAGCAGACCACGAUGAUUUUAUCUCCCUAAAGUUGCAAUGGAGUGUACCAAAAUAAUAAAUCCUAUACCUCUGAAGUUGCAGUAGGUCGGACUAAAUCUACCAUAACAAAUCCUAUCUCCCUGAAGAUGCAGUGGAGCAAAUUGAAGACCGACUACAAGUCUUAUCUCCCUGAAGUUGUAGUGGAGCAGACUGUCGAUAACGGAUCUUAUCAUAUUAAAACCUUAUCUUCUUGAAGUUACGUGAAGCAGGUUGAAGCAACAAGUCUUAUCUCCCUGACGUUGCAGUAGAGUAGAUUAAAACCACGAAUCUCGUCCCCCUGAAGUUGCAAUAGAAUGGAUUGAAGCUACGAGCUGUAUCUCUCUGAAGUGCAGUGGAGUGGAUUGAAGCAACAAGACACAGUGGAUUGGAAUGAGGCUACCUGAAGAAGAGAAGCACUAGAAGAAGUCAAGACUCGGCGAGACCGGGUAAAUUUGGUCUUUCUUGGUCUUUGCUCUAUUCUCGUUAUACGACAACGAGGAAAGAGGGGCAGCUGUACAAGCCCAAAUUUGCCCGGGGCCCAAGAACCCAAUGCACCCAAACCUCAGCCUAAUUACAAAUUUAAAUCAGCAGACCCAACCCACCUAAACACCAACCCAACACCCAUAACCCAAACCUCAAUCCAAUAACACCUAGCCCAACAAGAUUAAACCCAAACCCGAGGCCCAAUAUCCAACCAAAAAAAAAUGAAGGCCCAGUAGCCCAAAAUGUUUGAGACUUUUUCAGAAAAAAUGAAACCCUAGCCUACUGCCUAACCCUAGCCGCCUCUGCCUCCUCUAACAUCUUCUAGUAUGGCCGCCGCUCGUAGCCUCUGCCACCACCACCUCUGACGCCGAGCCACCCGUCAAUCACCUACUCCAUCAACGUCAACACCUGCAAACAAGAGAAAAAGCAAUAGCAAAUAAUAGCAAAAAUAUUGUAAAAAAUGGCUAUAAAGCCAUAACCACCACUGUAAAUGGGGUACUCCCUCCCCCCCCCCCCCCCCGAUUUUUGUAUAAAAAAAUAUUAGCAGGGAAAUAAAGAAAAAAAGAUUGAAGGUGAUUUUUUCUUUUCUUUUCUUUUCGGUUUUGUAGACCCGUUUUUCUGUUCUCUUUUCUUUUUUCGUUUACACGUAUGUAAAUAAAGGUAGUAAAUAAAAGGAAAGAAUGAAGACUUACCCAUUUCGCUUUUCAGUUGCGCCGCCGUCGGGGUCUACUCAUCGUUGAAAUCGACCCCGAAAGGUCGAGUUAGGGGGUCCUUCGUCUUGAUUUUUGGGCCAAACGAAUAUAGCCUUCGAUUGGGUCUUAAAACGGGGACUAGAAUGCCCAUUUUGCGCAACGCCGGCCACCGUCCACGGUGGCGCUAUGGCGGCGCUAAGAAGACCCAAAGGCCGAACGUUUGAGAGGGAUGAGGAAAGGUUUUUUUUUGUUUUUUUUAAAUUAGUGGCUGAAAUGUUUUAUAUUUUCAUAUAGUUUUUAUAUACAUAUAUAUAUUCUUAUAUGCACAUACUUAUGUUUUUUUAUACUUUAUAUAUAUAUACACCUAAACAUGCAUAUUUUUUUAUAUGUACAUACAUUCAUAUAUUUUAUAAUUUAUAAUUUAAGUACAUAUAUAUAUAUACAUAAACAUUAUUUUUUUUUGUAAUUUAUAUUUUUAUUAAUUGUUUUAUUUGAUAUUUAUUUAUUUGCUUAUCAUUAUUUUUAUGAAAUGCUUUAGUUCUUUUUACUUCUCAUUAUUUCAUGUAUAAUUUUUUUUAUAUAUGUGUCCUUUUUAUUGUUGCUCGUAUUAUUUUACUUACAUUAUCAUAAUUGUCAUUCCAUUACGUUAAUUUUCACCCAGAUUCAAAAAAAGAAAUUUUAAAAAUAUAAGUAAUACUCGGUAUUUGGGAUCUUCGAGAGAAUCGAGUCCUAACGUAUUGGGUUCCGAUUUUCUUCGUUGAAUCUAAAUAAUUGAGACUACUCUUUUUAUAUAUAUAUAAAAAAAACAUAAAUAAAAGCUCAUUAUUGGGAAUUCAAUACGUUGUGUCCUAACGCAUUGGAUAUGAUACAUUGUUUUCUCGAGAUGAGGAUUUUUCUAAAAAAAUAAAAAUAAGGCAAUGUUUUGAGUUUGGGAAAUUCGAGAAAACGUGCCCUAAUGUGCUGGGUUUCGAUUUCUCGUUUAGCCAAAUAUUCUCUUAAAUCUUAAUCUAUGUCAUUUAAGUUUUUUUAGGAUCGUAUUUUAAAUCUCUUUAAAGUUUUCAGUUUUUCGACGCUAAGACAUUAAGUAAUCAACUAGGUACCAAUUUUGGGCGUAUCGAGGGUGCUAAUCCUCCUCGUGCGUAACCGACUCCCAAACCCGUUUUUCUGAAUUUCGUGGACCAAACUUGUUGUUUUAAUAAAAUCAAAUCAUUUAUUAAAACAACCACUUUUUGAGGUGAUCCGAUCACACCUUAUCAAAAAAGAUUGGUGGCGACUCCCACUUUCGUUUUCAUUUUUCAAAACCCAAGUCGACCCCUUUUUAUCAAAAAAAUGGUGUCAACAACAAUAACAAUAGAAGCACAUCAAAGUCAAAGCACAUAGGCUUUAAGUUCAUUGUUAUUAUAAUAAAAGUUCAGGGUGGUUAGAUGUCUAUAAAGUAUAUUGAGACGAACUCCAUGAUUACGGAUUCGCUUAUUAAGUGACUACCACCCAAAGUUUUUUUCCUGAGCACACUGUUGAUAUGGGUGUAAUGUCAUUUAAGGAUAUUUGAUUUUAGUAGGAGUUUGUACUUUUAAAUGUUUUUAUGUUAUAAACACAUUUUCAAUUAUUUUAGUUUACGAAUAUUAAGUUUAUUUUUUAUAGAAAUAAAGUUUAUUUGGUAAAGUUUGAUCUCACUAAGGUUAAUAAGGACCAGUUAGAAUAUGCAUGUUUGAAUCAUAUUACAUAUAAUUUUCAUGUUACACAUCCAUACUUGAUCUAUGUCAUUUGGUUGUGCUAAUAUAUGUGAUUAGGGAUGGAUUUAAUUAUGAUAUAUGUAACAAAAGUUGCAUUCGUUCUAUGUUAACAUAAUUAAUGGACGAGAUUGUUCGAAAUAUCUUUUGGAUAUGAUAGUAAAAUUUUGAGCUCAUAAGAUUAUAUAAUGACAUGUAAUUAUAAAGUAAUCGGUAUAUAUCAAAAGUCUUUCCCACAUUCAUCAACUAGAAAUCAGAGCUCACCAAAUGUCUAUUCUUUUCAAUCUGAACCGACUCUACAAUCACUUAUUGCUCAUGGUCAUCAGCCUAUAAACCCAGGAGCAUUGUUAACUUCUAAAUCCAAAACACUAAUAUCAGCAUCCAACCCUACAAUGAUAGUAUUAUUGACUCAUUUAAACAAGUUUCCUUUGUCAAUCUAUAUUCCGUAUUUGGUAAUCUCCAGUAUGAAUUCAGAAUUUAGGAUAGCUGGAAUAAGAAUAGCAGCAAAGAUGCAAAGGGAAACGACUUGUAGGAGGAGGAAGAACCUUCUUUUGGGUACAGACCUGUAUAGCAUAUAAUAGGAUGUCCUGUAUAAUGUCACGAGAGCUAGUACCGUUGCCAAGCAGUAAUUAGUAAUGCUGAGUCUAGAAUAGGAAACGGAUCCAGGAGUCGAAAGAGAGAAAAAAUACUGAAGUUCGAGUGUCCGUAUGGAAACAGCAACUAAAAGCAUGUAACAGGUCCCAAACAAGGAAAGUGUUAUGAGAAUAAACAAGCAGAUUGAACGGCUGGGUAGGAGAUAGGCAGUUAAAACAGUUGCUGCCCAAAAGGUUAAAGUGUUGUAUAACCAAAACAUUGUGGACACGUCUAGUAUAUUUUUUAAAUCUUCUUUUUCAGCGGGUGGAGGACUUGGUACGGGUCCAGUGCUGGUUGAACCUAAAGAUGCGUCAUACAUGAGAUGGAAAUUCUGGGAAUUUGAAAUGGUAUCAGGCUGCUUUGGAGGGUUCAAAGUGGCAGUAUAUGUGGCUGUUAUAAUUAGCACUGUGACUACUAAAAAUGUGUUACGCAUCUCAUAUGGGAUUCCCUUCUUUCCACGACUUGCUAUUGUUGCAAAAUUUUGAAGAACUGACACCUUUCCUUUUAAAUAUGCGAUGUGGAAUGAAGAGAUGGAGGUUUUGGGAAGCGAGGAAGAGGAACCACUCAAACCUCCUGCUUUGCUUAUCAUGUCUUUAAUGGACUCCUUAUAGUCCACUUUCUCUUCAUCCAAUGUGUAUUGUGAUGGGAUAUCAAGUGCAGUCAAUCCCUCCGCAUUUUUGGCAUUGAUAUGGUCACCACACAAGCGUUCCAGCAGUACUUUUACCACCUGUUAAUUAGAAUAUUCAUACAAGUAACCUUUGAGUAUAUAUAUACAUAAAAAAUUUCACUAGCAAAAUUAUCAUACCUGAGGUCUAUUUCUGAUAGCAGCAACAUGUAAAACAGUGUUGCCAUCAAUGUCUGCCCAACUCAGUAGUUCUUUCUCCCAACGGCUGGCAGCUUUAUGGCGGCUCCUUAUAAGCCACCCCACCAAGACUUGGAAAGCUUCAAACCUGUCAUUUUUUACGGCAAGAUGGAAAACCGUCUCAUCUCGAACAGUCAUAUCUUCAAUAGCCUCGGGGCAAACCUCAAGGAACUUGAUCAAAAAAUCAACAUUUCCAUUUUGAACCACAUCAUGCAAAGGAGUCAAGCCCUCCCGCCCUUUGACACGAACAAGGCCUUCAUCAAACCUGAGGAGUCGAAGCACUGUUUGAGUUUUUUGAUUUUGCAGAGCCAAGUGCAUGGGGCUAAACCCAGCUUGGUUUAGCUUUCUUGCAAACGAUGGCUUUAAGUUGAUCAUCUCCAUCAUAAAAUCAAUAUGCCCUGCAGAGGCUGCUACAUGCAAAGGAGUAUGGAAAAAAGGUACAUCAUCGAUACGCUGUAAAGCAUAUGGAUCAUUCAGAAUUAACUCAUACAAGAUGUUUAUGUCUCCUGUUUGUGCAGCCCCCUUCAUCUUCUCAUCCAUAGCAAGGUGCGGAAAUUUGCAGAAUAUAGAAAUGGAGUGAAGAAAAAACGCUUUAGCAGAGGAUAUGAUUAUGUUAAGGAUACAAUGAAGUGUUUGAUUAUUUUUUCCAGAUGAAGUGUUUGACAUUUUAUAGCACUUUAAUGAUUUUGGAUUUAUAUGUGAUGUCAGCCUCUACACGUAUACAGGUGAAUUGUUGCCUAUUAGAAAGAAAUAGUAAUUAAAUUCAUAUUUAAUAUAUAUUUUUAAUCUAAUUUUUUUAAUUCAAUUUAAUUUUAGUUAAAACGUUUAAAAACAUUUAUUUAAUCUAAUUUCUUUAAUAUAUUAAAUAAAAUGGAUUAGAGAAUAUAUUGAAUAUGGAUGAAUACUAUAUCAUACUAAUUUUAUGUCUCUAAAAAUUAAUAAGGUGUUAUUAUUUUAUUGGUGCUUAAAAAUUUAAAAUAUUUAGAAUCAUUCUAAUAUAAGUUAUUCUUUUAAUAAUAAUAUUUGGUACUUCCACGACAAGUUCAAUGGUUGACAAAUAUCUUAUAAAAGUAUUAUAAAAUAUUUAAAAAAUAUAUUAUUUAGUGACUUAAUUUUUUAAGAACAUUUGAUAAUUCAUAAAGAAAAUAAAUAAUAUUUUUUUCCAAUAAAAAAGGUGGGAAAAAUGAUAAGUAGAUAAGAGCUACCAUCACUUACAACAUGUUUGGACUAAAAAGAAGAAAAAAGGAGGGAAAAUUAAGUAAAAUGAGUAAAGAAAAUUUGGUUUUUUUUGUUUAAGUUAAGUAAAGUUGUUUAUUUUUUAUCGUAUUAUUAGAUUUUAUUUUUUAGAUUAUUAUCUCUUUUUCUUCUUUUGUUGACUCUUUUUCAUUAGUUUGUUAUUUCUCUAUGAAUCAGUAUCCCAACCAACUCAAUUUUGUUCAGGUAACCAUGUCUAUAUGUUUAAAAGCAUUAAUGCACUAAUCGAAAUCUGAACGUAAUAACUGUUCUCACAUUGAGGUAUAGAAGGUUCUUUUGGUGAAAAGAUGAAGCAUUGCAAAAAAAAAAAAAAAUUGAAUAAGAUAUUUUGAAAGAAAGCGGAGAGGAAGACUAAAAUAUAUUUAGUAACAUUAAGCAUCGUACAAGUAAAAAAAAAAUAAAGUAAAUAAUUUUAAAACACAAAAUUAUAACUUUAAAAAAGAUAAAACUCACAAUAAAAUAACAAGAUUAUAAAGUAAACUUUAAAAUGCACUAAUUAAUUAAAUUAAAUUACUUAUUAUAAAAAAAUCAAAGUAAAUUACUAGUAGUAAUUUUUUAAUCUUAGGUAUGUUGCAUAUAAUUUUAUAUUUUUUAUUUUUUAAAUAAUAUAUUUUUAUAAUUUUAAAUAUAUAUUUAUGCUAAUUAAACGAGGAUUCUCGUCGUGACAUCGCUAGCUAACUUUUGUAAGUGCCUAUAAACUGAUAAGUGCUAGCUAAAAGUGACAUAUUUUAACAUCAUUCUUAAUACAUUUUGGGUGAUUAUUUGAUGUUAAUUGUGAAUUUUAUACUCCUAAUACUUUAAAUUCAUGUAUUAAUGCUUAAUAGAGCACUUGAGAGCAAAAGGAGUAAAAAAUGAGCGAAAAAUGAAAUUUCGAAGCAAGUUACAGGAGCCACACGAGCUAGACCAUUCCACACAGCCAUGUAAGCCACACGGGCGUGUAGUAGGCCAUUUAGUUUUUACAGGACUUGUGACAUUUAGAUUGAUAGUGAUAGAUGAAAUCUAGGUGGAUUCUUUCCUGUGUAUUGUUUUGCUUCUUGGUUGUUAAUCGAUUAUUUUCUUAUUUUUUUCUUUAUUGCGUUCAUUGGUAAUUAAAUUAGUUAAUUUUAGUUUUAAUAAAUCACUCAAAUUAUUCGAUUAAAUAAUGGAAAAAAGAGUAAUUACCAGUACUUUUAGUCUUCUUGGAAUGAUAUCUUUGCUCCCCAUAGCUAUACUAUUAAUUGAUAGGUGCGCAUGCCUUAGUCAAAUUUUAGUUAGUUUCACGAAACAUUACAAAUUGUCUGAUAAAUGCGAGGCACAUCCCACACUUUCCAUUAUCAAUUUAACGAAUUCAAAUGUUGGUGCCUAAUUAAAAACUUUUCAAAUUGGGUGACUAAAUCAGGAACGAGGGCAUAGUUGAGUGACAUUUUGUAUAGUUUACCCUUAAUUUUUUUAAAAAUUUAAAAAAAUAUUUUUUUUAUAAUUUUUAUACUGUUUAAUAUAACUUUAAUAGUUUUUAAUUUUUAAAAAUAAUUUUAUAUUUUUUGAAUUUUUUAAAUUAAAAAAUAAAUUAAUUGCUUACAUGACAAUUUAAUGUAUGUCAUGUCAACAAAGUUAACAAACGUUAACUUUUCUAUUCAUUUUGGGGCGAUUUGAUAAACCAGCUUAGUUUAGCUUUCUAGCAAACGACGACUUUAAGUUCAUCUCCAUCAUAAACUCAAAAUGCCCUGCAAAGGCUGCUACGUGCAAUGGGGUAUCAAGAAAAGGAACAUGAUCAAUACGCUCUAAAACAUAUUGAUCAUUCUGAGUCAACUCAUAUAAGACGUUAAUAUGUCCUUGUGCAGUCUUUCUCAUCGUGUCAUCCACGGCAAGGUGUGUGUGUGUUGGGGGGAGAGGAUGAAAUAUGCCGGAACAUAAGAGUCCAACCAAUUGAGAAGGUACACAUAUAUUGAAAGGACCGAUGAAAUCUUAGACCGCACAAAACGGAAGCUAAAGGAUUGAUGAAAGAACGCUUUAGCAGAAGGAUAAUAUUGAAGUGUUUGAUUUUUCUUCUUCCUGUUGUAAUGUUUGACGUUUUGUUUGAUACCAAAUCCCACUUGUUAAAAAAUAUACAAUAAUUAUAUAUUUUUUAAUGAUUUUUUAGAUAUUAAAUAAAUGGUAACACGUCAUAAUAAAACUCUAAAACUAGAUGCAUUUAAUUUUAAUAUAAAUAUUAUAUCAAUGUAUCAAUAUGGUUGACCUAAAUACAAAUAGUUGAUUAAUUAAUAAAAAAAUAUUUAUUGAAUUAUUUAAAUAUUAUCUAAACUAAUUUAAUUUUUAAUUUUCAACCCUAUAAAACAUUUCACCAUCAUUUUUAACAAUAAUACCUAAUAUUUUAAAUUAACAAACCACAACCUUUUAAAUAUUAAUUAUCUUGAAAUUCAACUUUUUAGAAGUUAUUUUUUAACCGUCAACAACGUCAAACUGGCACUAAAAUCUUCCACUCACACUUGUAAAUUAAUAAAAGGACUCCGGUAAUCAAGGGACUUGAGAAUUUAAUCCAGUAUGAAUCUCCGUCACUCACGUAUUUGCUGUCAAUAGUGAUGGAUGAAUACGAAUUUUGUCCCAUAUACUGCUUGGAUUUAUAACCCCAAGCAAUGCAAGUGGUAAUAUUGUAGGGAUUUUCAACAUUAUCAUAAAUUUUAGGGAGGAAUUAAGUGAAUUCAGAGACGAAAUUAGAUGCCCAUUGAGUUUUGUUCAAAUCUAGGGAUUUCAUCGUCAUAUAGGGUCGAUUUUGAUAGCUAUUUUUAGCAACAACUUGAUUUAAUUAAUUAAAUUAAUUAUGAUUAGUUAAGUUUAAUUUAAGUAUAAAAGUUAAAAUUAAAUGAAAAACAAAACAUUUUUCUCUUCAUCUUCUUCUCCACUGUUUCUAGGGUUUUGGAGCUUUCUACUUUAGCCCUCAAUUUGGUAAAUAAUUUCAAGUUUUUUUUAUUAUAAAUUUUACAUUUUUGAAAUCGUAAGAGCUUGAUUUGAUUUAACUAAACCAUAUUCUAUUUUUGCAAAACCGUUAAAAUUUUCAAACAGGAAAUGUUGAUCUUUUGAUCAAGUUACUUAAGGUUUGUCCUGAGGCUAUUGCAGAUGUGACUGUUCGAGAUGAGACAAUAUUCCAUCUUGCUGUGAAAAACGACAUGUUUGAAGCUUCCAAGUCUUGGUGGGGUGCUUAUGAGAAGCUUCCAUGAGCCUGCCCAAUGGAAGAAACAACUGCUGAGUUGGCCAGACAUCGAUGGCAACACUGUUUUACACAUUGCAACUAUUAGAAACAGACCUUGGGUAUAUGCUCAUUUUUGUCAUUAAGUCAGUUACUGAUGUGCAUAUAUGCAUGAUAAAAGGGUUACUUAUAGGAAUAUUCUAAUUGAUAGGUGGCAAAACUAUUGCUGAAACACAUGCCGUGACCAAAUCAAUGCCAAAUAUUUGGAGGGAUUGACAGCACUAGAUAUCCAAUCUCAGUACCCAUCGAAUGAAAGGCAAGCAGAUAGGAUUAUAGAUGCUAAGAAAAGCAGGAGGUUUGAGUGGUUCCUCUUCCUCACUUCCAAUACCUUCAUCCCUUCAUUCCUAAUCGAAUCUUUAAAAGACAAGAUGCACGGUCUCAAAAAUGGGCAACUUCUGAAUUUCCACAAUACUUACAUUAAGAGUACUUAUCAGAAUUUCCAGCACCACUACCACCACUACCUUUUGCAGCAACUUCUGAUCCACUACUGGCACCACUCUUCUUCCCUUUCCACUUCUAGUCCUUUCCUUCUUCACCCUGCUACAUCUUAGCCUUCAAUGCUUCCUUCCUGCCUCAUUAGUCUCUUCUACUACUGUGCUUGUAAAGCACUGAUCAACUCGACUACUCUCAGUUGAGUCAAGUCAUUUGUGUUCUCCAAAGAAGUAAUUGUUCCUUCAUACUUCUCAAGCACAGAGAUUAGUAUUUUCUACAUUAGUCUACAAUCAGAGAGAUUAGUCACUACAAUAAAAUAGACUUUUAGCGGCAUUUUUAAGCGCCGCUAAAAGUAUUAGCAGCGCUUUAACAAGUGCCGCAAAAAAUGCCGCUAUAGACAACGCCGCUAAUUUUAGCGGUGUUUAUGUGAAAAAACACUGCUAAAGAUCAUGACCUUUAGCGGCGCUUCUACCACAAACGCCACUAUAAAGAAUGACUUUCAUGAUUUUUUUAAAAAAAUAUUUUAAUUAAAUAAUAUUUAUUUCUAUGAUAAAUAUUAUAUUAUGUUUUAUUUUUGAAAUUUAAACUUUAAACUAUAUGCUUUUAAGGAUAAAAAACAAAAUUUCUAUUAAAAUUUUAACUUUAAAAAACAAAAUUUCUAUUAAAAUUUUAACUUUAAAGCUAAAUAUAAAAAUUAAUGAAUUUAAAUUUAGAAUUAAAAUAUUAUGUUUAAAUAAAUGAGCAAUCUACCUCACAGCUCAUCUGAUCUAUAUUAACUCGGCCAAAUAUAAAAGAAGCUACAAAACACGUAAUAAUUAACAAUCAUGGUUAAAGAAGCUAGUACACAAGGUAGCUACAAAACCCUGUUUCAAUAACACCAAAUUCAAGUUCCGACUAAGAUAAAAGACCAUGACGAUGUGCUUGUUUCCUUCUAUAUAUCUUUGGGAAGAAUUCCUUCAAGAAAUCAUCCAUGGAAGUCACUCCACCUGCAGUCAAUAUUAAAAGAUAAACAGUGUCAUCAUCUUGAAAUAAGUAUCUUAUUGAGCUCUUUUGAAUCAAAUAACAUAAAUCUUCUAACAAAAAGAAACAAAUACAUAAUCUAUAAUGCAAAUAGCUUAGGAAUCAUUGAUAAUUCCCAAAUACCAAAUAAUAUAUGAAGAUUAUAUUUUGACGAUUAAAGAAAAUAUGUAGAGAGGGUUCUUCUCAAGACAUCAUUUUGAUUGAAAAGCAAAUCAGUAAAUCUGGAAGAUAGGAUACAAAUCUAAAAAGAUUUCAGCAAUUGCUAAUACUUAAUAUAAAUGAAUAGAAUUCAUAAACAGGCUGAAAAAAAUGCCACGAAUGCUCAUUUUUAGCGGCGUUUUUUCAAAAAUCGCCGCAAAUGCUCAAUCUUUAGUGGCGAUUUCCAUAAAGCGCUGCUAAUGCUCAAUUUUUAUCGGUGUUUUUUGUCCAAGUGCUGCUAAAAGCCUGUUUUGGUGUAGUGAGUCCCGAAACCCUUACCUUAUUAGCAAUAUCUAUCAACUUGUUUGAGUAUUCUUUGAUUGACUCAAAAUCUUUUAUUUGUAGCCUAUCGAAUUCCCUGGUCAAGUUCAACACCUUCAUGAUCUAGAACCUCUUAUCUCCUUGAUACUCAACCUUGAGGUAGUAUCUCCUUUAUUGAUCCAAAAAUAAUAAUUCUAUUGAAUAUGGCUAGUGAAACAACAACAUAAAGGCAAACCUUUACAUUUGCUUUCCAAGUGGUUCUUUCUUUGUGCAGUUUGAUCUGGUUCAUAGUUGGAUUUUUGGAAAGUGGAACCACCUCAUAGUCUUCCUCGAUAACUUCCCAAUAAUCACAACCCUCCAUGUAUGCUUGCAUUCUCAUAGCCUAUGCUUGAUAGUUCUUUCCAUCAAACACAUGUGGGGUUAAGACAGACAUAUUGCUUGAUCUUGAUUCCAUUUUUCUCAAUUCCUUACAAGUGUAUCUCUCAAUUUUUGUCUUAGGAUUCUCAUAAGGCCUCUCUCACAGGUCCCUCAAGAAAAAGAGGCUCUCGAUACCACUAUUGUUUCAAUGGAGAACUAACUAAAGGCACAAAAAUUGAAAAUGGAGAAAGUUGAUUAAAAUUUAUUAACCAAGCAAUGCUUAUUUACAUGACUCAAGCAAUGCUUAUUAAAUCAAUUUUUUAUUAUUUUUAGGGGCCAAAGUGUAAUUUUACCAUUACUAAUUUAGAAUUUUAUAAAUUAUAAAGGGUCUAACUGAAAAUUUUUCCAUUUCAGGAGGGCUGAGGGCCCUGCCACCCCCCUUGGCUUCGCCACUGAUAUUAGUUCUCGUGGUAUUAUACUAGAUAGCCAGUUAUAUACUAUAUAGGUUUGUACCCAAAAGAAAAAUAUCUUCCUCCUUAUGGCAUACUAGUUCAUAUGCUUUUAUUUUUAAGAAUUUAAACUAUCCUUAAUCAUAUAGUCCGCUAUAUCAUUCAGUCAUCACUCUCUUCACCGCUCAUUUAUCUUAUUUUUUAUUUGAUUUAAGAUUUCGUACAUCGAAAUUUCCUUUGACCUUUCAAGAAGUUUUAUUUUCUAAAAUUAGUGCGUUUUAAUCACCUAUAAAAUCAAAAUUUUUAUUCAAGUUGCAGUUGAUUUGGACUGGAUGUACAUUAUCUAUGGCUUUGGGAUACUUGGAAGUUUCCUACGACCUUCGAAGAAAUCUGUUUUUUGAGACAAGAGUGAUCGAGUCAUGUAUAAAUUUUGGUCAGGUUCCUGUGUUUUGCAAAUUUCCUUUCCUACAUUCUCUUCUGGUUCUUUUUUCUGUGUUUCGUUGCAAAUUUCCUUAGUUUUCAAUUUUCAAUUAUCUGAAGAUUAACUGCUCAAUUUAUUACCCCCAAAAGAAAAGUUAUGGAUGAGAGGAUGAUAGAGGCUGCCCAAACAGGAGAUUUUAACCUCUUGUAUGAGUUGAUUCUGAAUGAUCCAUAUGUUUUAGAGCGUAUUGAUGAUGUGCCUUUUUUCCAUACACCAUUGCAUGUAGCUGCCUCUGUUGGGCAUAUUGAGUUUAUGAUGGAGAUGAUCAAAUUAAAGCCAACGUUUGCAAGAAAGCUAUGUAGGAACAAUGGCAGCAGCAAGCAUCAAACAAAGUUUCAAAUCUGUAUUUGUAAGACUGAAGCAAGAAGAAUCGAAGCAAAGAAAAAGCAAAGCAAUGAACACAAUUGAAUACUCAGCAAAGUUGUAACUGAACAUUACAUUUUUCAUUCAAGAUUUGAAUAUAUAAAAGAGCUACAAAUUUUGGUUCAUUUGACAGAUACCUAAUGACAUAACUAUUCCCACUUAAACUAAACUAAUACAAGCUUAAGUCAAAUACAAAAUAAGCUGACAUAUCAGCUUUUACAUCAUCAAUCCAAUCAUAAACUUAAUCCAACUAACUAUUAAAGCUAGUUACAAUCAAACUAAACUAAGUUACAUCAAAACAAAACAGCAAUAUCAGUUGCUUCAUUUGGUCUGAAAACCAUUCGUGCAUACCAAGCAAAAUGAGCUGAGCUCGAUAGCUGCUGGUCUCGAUAGUAGCAUGCUUCCGGCUCCAUGUUGCAUUGCAGUCCAGCUUUCAACACUCCUCCUUGGACUGUAUGCAACACAUUCCAAUUGCAUUUCUCAAAGAUUCAAAUCGAGCAGCCCCCAAGGACUUGGUCAUUAUGUCAGCCAAUUGUGUCCCUGAGCUGCAAUGCACAAGGCUGACUUCCUUUGCUUGUUCAGCCUCUCUAACAAAAUGCAGCUUGAUUUUAAAAUGCUUUGUCUUACCAUGGAACACAGGGUUCUUGGCUAUUGCAACUGCAGACUGAUUAUCCACCCAAAUUUCAGUUGCUUCAUCUUGAGUUUCAUUAAGGUCAUGAAGCAGCUUCCUUAGCCAAAUGGCCUGAUUAACUGCUCCUGCUGCAGCAAUGUAUUCUACUUCAGCUGUGGACUGAGCAACAGUUUGCUGCUUUUUUGAACUCCAGCAAAACAUCCCCGAUCCAAGUGUAAAGAAGUGUCCUGAGGUACUCUUCAUGUCAUCGAGGGAUCCUGCCCAGUCACUAUCAGAGUAGCCUUCUAGUUUCAGUUGGUUCCCACUUUCAAACAUUACACCAAAACUAGCAGUGCCCUUGAUGUAUCUAAGGACCCUCUUUGCUGCCUUCAAAUGUGCCUCAUUGCAACAAUGCAUAAAUCUCGAUAACAGACUGACACCAAACAUGAUGUCUGGCCUGGUUGCUGUUAGAUACAACAGACAACCAACUAGGCUUCGAUAGUGCCUCUCAUCAACCCUCUGCUGAUCACCACUGCUAGUCAGCUUUUCUCCUUGGGCCACAGGUGUGCUGACUGCUUUACAAUUAUGCAUGCAGAAUUUGUCUAGGAUCUUCAAAGCAAAUGAGUGUUGGCUGAUGAAGAUACCUCGAUCAGACUGGUGAACUUCCAUGCCAAGGAAGUAAGUCAUGAUCCCCAAGUCUGUCAUUUCAAACACUUGCUGCAUUUGGACUUUGAACUCAUCAAUGAGCUCAAUUUUGCUCCCUGUCACAAGCAAAUCAUCCACAUACAAGGAGACAAUCAGCAAGGUUUCAUGUUUUGACCUUUUAACAUACAGAGUAGGCUCACUAAGGCUCUUUACAAAUCCAAGUUUGGUCAGGUAAGCAUCAACUCUGUCAUACCAGGCCCUUGGUGCCUGUUUCAGGCCAUAGAGGGCCUUUCUCAACUUAUACACUUUGUCUUCAUGUCCAACAACUUCAAAACCUUCAGGUUGUUCGAUGAAGAUCUCCUGACUGUAGCAAAAGUUUGUAUCCAGUCUUGCCACUGGAGCAAAAGUUUCUAGGUAGUCAACACCAUACUGCUGACUGUAGCCCUUCACCACAAGCCUGGCCUUGUGCUUGUUCAGUGAGCCAUCAGCAUUGUACUUGGCCCGGUACACCCAUUUAACUCCUAUGACCCUCUUGUGUUCUGGUCUGCUCACCAACUCCCAAGUCUGAUUUUUGUUGAUCAUUUCCAACUCAGCUUCCAUAGCUUUCAUCCAGCUUCUGUUCUUAGCAGCCUCUUCAAAGUCUGAGGGCUCAAUCACAGCAACAUUGCACCUCUGAUAGACAUCAGCCAAAGUUCUGGUGCCCCUCACUGGUAUAUCAUCGACAGCAUCAUUACUUGGUCCUUUUACUGCAGGUUCAGCAACCAAGUCUAACUGGUCCAAUUCAGACAAGUCAGCCUCAACACCAUUCCAAUUCCACACCUUUUCCUCAUCAAACUUUACAUCCCUGCUGACUAAAACCUUCUUUGCUGUAGGAUCAUACACUCUAUAGCCUUUCUUGUUGCUGCUGUAGCCAACAAAGAUUCCUGGAGUUGCUCUGCUCUCAAGCUUGGUCCUUUUCUCUACUGGAAUAAGUGCAUAACAUACACAGCCAAACACUUUUAAGUGUGUUACCACAGGUUUGACUCCAUGCCAAGCCUCAAAAGGAGUCUUAUCCUUGACUGCUCUAGUUGGCAGUCUGUUGAGCAGAUACACUGAGGUGUUGACUGCCUCAGCCCAAAACUGACUUGGAAGCUUGCCUUGAAACAAGAGGCACCUGGCCAUGUUCAGUACAGUCUUAUUCUUUCUCUCACAGACUUCAUUCUGUUGAGGAGUAUAGACUGUUGUGAGCUGAUGGUAAAUCCCAGCACUGUCACAAAGCUUCUGAAAUCUCUCAGACACAUAUUCAGAACCAUUAUCAGUCCUCAAGGCUCUAAUUUUGCAGCCUGACUGAUUUUCAGCAUAAGCCUUGAAUUUACAGAAGGCUUCAAACACUUCUGACUUUUGCUUCAAGAAGUAGACCCAACACAACCUUGUUAAAUCAUCUAUAAACAGGGCAAAGUACCUGUUCUCACUGAUUGAAGGUGUUCUCAUAGGGCCACAAACAUCAGAGUGCACCAAUUCGAGCUUGUCUUGAGCUCUCCAAGCACUGUCAGCAGGAAAAGGCAGUCUAGCCUGCUUACCAAGCUGACAAACCUCACAAACAUUCCCACUAACUUCAAAUUUUGUAAUGUCAUCAACCAAAUUCAGCCUAUGUAACAGAUCGAUGGAUCUAAAAUUUGCAUGGCCUAGUCUCCUAUGCCACAAGUCAGUGCUUUCAACAAGGCUGGUGUAUGCCUUUCUUUCUAUUUGGCUAACAUCCAGCAUGAAGCACCUAUCAGUCAUAGAGACUGUGACUAACUCCAGACCAUUCAUGUCUUGAACAAUACAGCAACCAUCCUUAAAAACCAAUGUAUAGCCCUUUUCAACUAAUUGGCCUACACUAAGUAAAUUCUGGUCUAAGUCAGGUACAAAAAACACAUCUGAGAUCAGCUUGUUACCUGAACCAGUGCUAAUCAACACACUGCCCUUGCCUUUAGCCUCAAUCAGUCUACCAUCUCCAAUUCUAAUCCUCGAGUGGAAGCUUCUGUCUAGGCUUUUGAACAGCUUCUCAUCUGCUGCAAUAUGGUGUGAGCAGCCACUGUCUAGUAGCCAAUCAUUGCUGGCCUUGGUUGUGCCAACAAAACAAGUUACUGUGAACACUUGCUCCUCCUGAGCUUGAAUGUCCUCAGCAGGUCUAGCUUGUUGCAGAGCAGCCUCCCUUGGUUUGCCCUUGCACACCUUCUCCACAUGGCCAAACUGCUUGCAUUUUCUACACUGAAUAUCUGGCCUAAACCAGCAAUACUUUUCUGAAUGUGUUGUCUUCUUGCAAUGAACACAUGGUGGGAACACCCUUUUUGCUUCAUCUAUUCCUGACUUGACCCUUCUAUUGUGCCAAUGCUGCUUGCCUUUUGCACUCACACUCGAGCCUUCACUGGCUUUAGCCUGGAAAGCAGCUUCAGGAUUCUCCUCCUGCCUAUUUGCCCUCCUUUGCUCAAGUGCAUACAGGAAGUUUAUCAGCUCAGACAAAGAAAUGGCUGAUAAGUCCCUCGAGUCCUCAAGUGAAGAGAUUUUAGACUCAAAUUUCUCAGGGAGAGUUGUAAUAACCUUUUCAACAACUCUGCUCUCUGUGAAGUCCACUCCCAGGAGCCUAAUGCUGUUGAAAAUGGCCAUUAUCCUGUCUGAGUACUGCUUGAUGGUCUCAGACUCCUUCAUCCUCAAAUUUUCAAAGUCUCUCCUGAGGUUGAUCACUUGCUGUUGCCUUGUCUUAUCAGUCCCCAUGAACUCCUCCUUCAGCUUCUCCCAAGCCUGCUUUGGUGAGUCACAGGCCAUGAUGCGAGUAAAUAUCACAUCAGAGACUCCAUUUUGCAAGCAGGCCAUAGCCUUAUGCUUCUUGGCUCGCUCCUCAGUAUGUUGCCUCAUCUGUGCAAUGGUGGGAUUGGCUCUCAAUGGAGGUGGUUCAGCAUCAUUCUCGAUCACACUCCAAAGAUCAUGUGCUUGGAGAUAAGUCUUCAUUUUAACUAUCCAAAUGUGAUAGUUUUCUCCAGUGAACACUGGUGGAGGUGGUAGAGUGAAACUCAUUCUGCUAGACUGAAUCCAAAUGCUUCGAUCUUACCAAAUUUUGAACUUGCUGUUGGUUUUGAUUCAAACACAACAGAUUGCAUACAAAGGCCCCUCAAAGACUCGGGCUCAUGAUACCAUUUGUACGAACAAUGGCAACAGCAAGCAUCAAACAAAGUUUCAAAUCUGUAUUUGUAAGACUGAAGCAAGAAGAAUCGAAGCAAAGAAAAAGCAAAGAAAUGAACACAAUUGAAUACUCAGCAAAGUUGUAACUGAACAUUACAUUUUUCAUUCAAGAUUUGAAUAUAUAAAAGAGCUACAAAUUUUGGUUCAUUUGACAGAUACCUAAUGACAUAACUACUCCCACUUAAACUAAACUAAUACAAGCUUAAGUCAAAUACAAAAUAAGCUGACAUAUCAGCUUUUACAUCAUCAAUCCAAUCACAAACUUAAUCCAACUAACUAUUAAAGCUAGUUACAAUCAAACUAAACUAAGUUACAUCAAAACAAAACAGCAAUAUCAGUUGCUUCAUUUGGUCUGAAAACCAUUCGUGCAUACCAAGCAAAAUGAGCUUAGCUCGAUAGCUGCUGGUCUCGAUAGUAGCAUGCUUCCGGCUCCAUGUUGCAUUGCAGUCCAGCUUUCAACAAGCUAAACCAAGCUGGGUUUAGCCCCAUGCACUUGGCUCUGCAAAAUGACAGAACUCAUGCAGUGCUUCGACUCCUCAGGUUUGAUGAAGGACUUGUUCGUGUUAAAGGGAGGGAGGACCUCACUCCUCUGCAUCAUGUGGUUCAAAAUGAAAACUUGAAUCUUUUGAAAAAGUUUCUUGAGGUUUGUCCUGAGGCUAUUGAAGAUAUGACUGUUCGAGAUGAGACGGUUUUCCAUCUUGCUGUGAAAAACGACAUGUUCGAAGCUUUUCAAGUCUUGGUGGGGUGGCUUAUGAGAAGCUGGUAUGAGUCUCCCCGAUGGGAGAAAGAAUUACUUAGUUGGCCAGACAUUGAUGGCAACACUGUUUUACACAUUGCAGCUAUCAGAAACAGACCUCGGGUAUAUGCUAAUUUUUGUCAUUAAGUCAGUUAUUGAUGAGUAUAUAUGUAUGAUAAAAGGGUUACUUAUAUGAAUAUUUUAUUAACAGGUGGUAAACGUAUUGCUGGAACACAUGAGGCGAGACCAAAUCAAUGCCAAAAAUUUGGAGGGAUUGACAGCACUAGAUAUCCAAUCACAGUACCCAUGGAAUGAAAGGCAAGCGGAUAAGAUUAUAGAUAUGCUAAGCUAAGCUGGAGGUUUCCCAAUACCUCCAUCUCUUCAUUCCACAUCGAAUCUUUAAAAGACAAGAUGUCACGGUCUCAAAAAUGGGCAACAAGAGCAGGUCGAGGAAAGAAGGGUAUGGGACAUGAGAUGCGCAACACAUUUCUAGUAGUGACAGUGCUAAUUAUAAUAACCACAUACGAAGCCUCUUUAAACCCUCCAAAGAAGCCUAAUGACAGUCCAUCCAUGAAAUACCAAGUCUCUUCAAGUCAAGAUGAGCCUCUCAAUUCCCACACAUUUUUGCAUAAAACCGACUUCAAUACUGCUCCCAUACCCAGUCCCUCCGCAAUUGACGUUUUGGAUCUAGAUGAUUGGACAUUUAAAUACUCCUCAUUUUUGUUUUGCAACACGUUCACCUUUUGGGUAGCAGUGUUCUUAACAGCACUUCUCCUACCACCUCAUUCAUUCUCUUCCUUGAUUCUCCUAACACUUUCCUUCUUUGGGAGAUCUUACAUGAAUUUAUUUGAUGUUUCCGCAUGGUCAUGGGGAUAUUCAUAUGAGUUUUCCAAUGAAAACGCACACUUAUUAUAUGUUGUAGCCUCCUUUUGUAAUGUUUUCUUCUCAACAUUGCUAGUUUUCCUUGGAUCAUACCAGACAAUAUUUUAUGUUUGCAGUAGGGUAAACAUUACCAAGCAAAAAUUCUUCUUCCUCCUACUAGUCGUUGUCAUUGGCUGCAUGCAGGUUUUUAUGUUUGCUUAGCUUAGUGAUGUGAUGGCCAUUGAUAAAUAAAAUCAAGGUUGGUGAAUGUACCAUUUCAUUCCAUUGAUAAAAGAAGUUUAAGUUUUAGAGUUGUUAUAUAUAUAUAUAUCAUCUAUCUUGCUCCACAUAUAAAUAUGGAGUGCAAAUCUGUUAAAUACUUAAAUGUGAUAGACUAAAACAUCAUUCUAAUAUAUUAAAUUUAAAAUAUUUUGAUAUUAUUAAAAGAAAUGAUUAAAUUAUUUUAACAUAUAAUAUCUUUUUUUAAGAGUAUUGAUUUUAUUUUUAGCUUUAAAAAAUACAAGUAAAAACAAAAUUUAAUUAACAAAAUUUUUUAUACAAUGCCUCAAAUUUAUGUUUUCUUUACACUAAUAGUAAUAUCGAUACUAACUAAAUUAAAAUUCAAUCGAUAAAUAAUUUAAAUUAUUAAUAAAUUAAAAUCUAUAUUAUACUUUAAAAUAUUUAUGAUAUAAAAAUAUAUUAAUAUAAUACCGACAUAUUGAUUAUUGAUUGUCGUGUUUAAUUAAGACUAGUAUAGCGUCUUAAGGUCAGAUGGGACUAUUGAAGAAACUUUUACCUCUAAGUGCCAAUUCGUUUGGAAUAAGAAAAAACAAUAAAAAGUGCCAGUACUUGUUUCUUUUCUUCUUUCUGUUUAAGACUUCUAUGGCUUGGGACCAUACCAGAAUUGUAUGUUCUACUUUUAAUUCUAGGACGACGUGAGUACAAAUUAAAUAUUUUUGUAUUGGUAACAAUAUUGAUCAUAAUCGAUUAAAAUAUUAAAUUUUACACUAAAGAACUUAAUAGAAAGAAUGUUGAUGAUGCUAACAACUAAACUUGAAUUUUUAAAUUUGAAAAUUAGAAAGAUUAAAUCUUAAAAGUAAAAGUAGAUGGACUAAUUAAAUUUCUAAUGUAUAAAGUGUAUAAGGAGUAAGGACUUAAAGUAUAUUUUAACACUUAAAUUUUUAUUUUAUAAUUUCAGACAAUCAAAUAAUUAAUCCAAUAUAAAACUUGGACGAAAAAAUUCUAUUUUCUUUUAAGCAUGUCGAAUUUAUUUCAAGCCUUCAAACAAACAAGCAAAGAAAAAAUAAAAUCAAAAGAAGAUAUCAAGUUGUCACUAGAUAACAAUUCUAGGUAGGAUUGGACCGAUGAGGUUCCGGUCCACAAUGAGCAAAACGGUGAGAGUGAUCCGAUUAAGUGAAGAAAUUUGAGAAGGGGGGGAGGGGGAACUUUCGUCGUUGUAAAGUGAAAAAGCUAAGGGAGUGAUUACAAUUUGAUUAUUAUUUCAUAUGCAAAUUCAAUUUUAAUUUAAAAUAACUUGAAGGCUAAAUUCAAUAAAAAAAUACUUUUAUAUUUCACUUUAAUAUUUAACAAUAAUAAGUUAAUUAAUAUAAUAUUAAAUUUAAAUAAAAUGGUUAUUUUAUAAAAUAAUUGUUUUUUCAUUUAUGAUAUAUGGACUUUUAUUUCUCAAGUUUUUAUAAAAUAAGGCUGUUAGGGUUGUUGCGUAUGUAUGCAUGUGUGUAUGCCUUGCAUGGGUGACAUUAGCAAACAAUAUCCCUCAGUUAGUAUAUAAGCUGAGCGAUAGUUGCUGAAAUGUGUGAGUUCCGGAAUAAUAAAAGUUCAAGUUUAUGCUUCUAUUUACUUUCUUGGCAAGUUUUCUCAGCUGCCAAACAGCUACAUAUGAUCGUUUGAUGUUCUUAACUAUCGACUUGUUGGAGUUUAGAGAAGUUGAGAGAGCAAAUAAAGAGAAAAAAAAGGAAAAUAUUUGCUUUCAAAAUUUUUCAUUAUUAUUAUUUUUACACAUGUAAUACAAUAUAUGGGUGUAGUGGUUACAGAUAAUUCAACAAGUCCUACUAAUACACCUUAAAAAUAUAAACCUAAAAUUUAUACAGAAACUGAUUAGGUAAAAUCAAUACCUAAAAAUAUCAAUUCAAUACUAACUCUGCUUGCUUUAACAAGUAAUCUCAGCAAAUAAAUUAAUUACAAAACAUUUAUAUCAGCAAAGGUGAACCCUACCAGCAUUACAACUAGUGGUUCACCAAAAACUUUACUAGCUCAUACUUUGAUGAGCUCCCAGCUUCAAUUGAACUCGCACUUUUUGUUCAACUCACAGCUUCACCGGAAGAAUUCGCCACUGCAUGCCACUUCACAACACGAUUGCAAGAAAGCUAAACCAAGCUGGGCUUAGCCCUCUGCUCUUGGCUCCUCAAAAUGACAAAACUCAAGCGGUGCUUCGACUCCUCAAGUUGACAAAGGCCUUUGUUCGUGUGAAAGGGAGGACGGCCUCACUCCUUUGCACCAAGUUGUUCAAACUGGAAAGGUUGAUCUUUUGUUCAAGUUUCUUGAGGUUUGUCCUGAGGCUAUUGAAGAUCUGACUGUUCCAGAUGAAACGGUUUUCCAUCUUGCCGUAAAAACCAGCAUGUUUUAAGCUUUUGAGCUCUUGGUGGGUGGCUUAUAAGAAGCCGCCAUGGAGCUGCCAAAUGUUGGGAGAAAGAACUACUUAGUUGGCCAGACAUUGAUGACAGUACUGUUCUGCACGUUGCAGUUUUAAACUCACCUCAGGUAUGCUAAUUUUGUUAGUUAAUUCAAUUAUUAAAUAUACAUAUAAUAGGGUUAUAUAUUUGAUUUUUUUUUAACUAACAGGUGAUAAAAGUAUUGCUGGAACAUUUGUGUCGACAUCAUAUCAAUGCCAAAAAUUUGGAUGGAUUCACUGCCCUAGAUAUCGAACCAGAGUUACCAGAAUGGCCAUUGGAUGAAGGGCAAGUGGAUAAUCGGGACUCCAUUAAAGAUAUGCUAAGCAAAGCAGGAGUUUGAGUGGUUCUUCGCUACCUAUGAGGCUCCGGUCUACAAUGGGAAAAACGGUGAGAGUGGUCCAAUUGUGUUGUCCUUAUUUGGGACCUGUUGCCCGCUUUUAGUUGCUGUUAACAUAUGGGCACUCAUCCUAUCAUGAUGGCCACAGCAUUGUUAAUUACUGCUGUUAACAAUGUUAACAAAAAAUUGUUAACUGUUUAUCCUGAAUUUUAAAAUAUGAAAAUAAAAAAGAUUAAAUUAUUAAAAAUAAAAUAUAUGAAAAAAAAUUUAAAAUUUUGAAAAGUACAUCGUCAAUCAUAUGGUCUGCUAAACCAUUCUUUCAUCACUCCUUCCACCACUCAUUUAGGUUGUUUUCUGUUUGAUCUAAGAUUUCCUACUUGGAAAUUUCCUUUGAUCUUUCAAGAUGUUUUAUUUUCUCAAAUUAGUGCGUUUUACUCACCUCUCAAAUCAAAACUUUUAUUCAACCUGAGUUGCAUUUGAUUUGGACUGGGUGUCUAUUUUCUAUGGCUUUGGGGUACUUGGAAAUUUCCUUCGACCUUGGAAGAUAAUUGUUUUUUGAGACAAGAGUGUUCGAGUCAUGUAUAAAUUUUGGUCAGAUUCCUGUGUUUUUGCAAAAUAUAAGUUCUAUUUCCUUUCUAUCUUGUCUUCUGGUUCUUUCUUCUUUGUGUUUUGUUGCAAAUUUCAUCAGCUUUCACUAAUCUGAAAAUUUACUGCCUAAUUUAUUACCCCCACAAAAAAAGCUAUGGAUGAGAGGAUGAUAGAAGCUGCCCACAUGGGAGAUAUUAACUUCUUGUAUGAGUUGAUUCUGAAUGAUCCAUAUGUUUUACAGCGUAUUGAUGAUGUGCCUUUUUUUAAUACUCAAUUGCAAGUAGCAACCUCUGUUGGGCAUAUUGAAUUUAUGAUGGAGAUGAUCAAAUUAAAGCCAACGUUUGCAAGAAAGCUAAACCAAGCAGGGUUUAGCCCCAUGCACUUGGCUCUGCAAAAUCACAGAACUCAUGCAGUGCUUCGACUCCUCAGGUUUGAUGAAGGCCUUGUUCGUGUCUAAGGGAGGGAGGACCUCACUCCUCUGCAUCAUGUGGUUCAAACUGAAAACUUUAAUCUUUUGAAAAAAAUUCUUGAGGUUUGUCCUGAGGCUAUUGAAGAUAUGACUGUUCGAGAUGAGAUGGUUUUCCAUCUUGCUGUAGAAAACGACACGUUUGAAGCUUUCCAAGUCUUGGUGGGGUGGCUUAUGAGAAGCUGCCAUGAGUCUGCCCAAUGGGAGAAAGAACUACUGAGUUGGGCAGACAUUGAUGACAACACUGUUUUACACAUUGCAGCUAUUAGAAACAGAGCUGGGGUAUAUGCUAAUUUUUGUCAUUAAGUCAGUUAUUGAUGUGCAUAUAUGGAUGAUAAAAGGGUUACUUAGAGGAAUAUUCUAAUUAACAGGUGGUAAAAGUAUUGCUGGAACACAUGCGGCGAGACCAAAUCAAUGCCAAAAAUUUGGAGGGAUUGACAGCACUAGAUAUCCAAUCACAAUACCCGUGGAAUGAAAGGCAAGCGGAUAGGAUUAUAGAUAUGCUAAGCAAAGCAGGUGGUUUGAGUGCUUCCUCUUCCUCGUUUCCCAAUACCUCCAUCUCUUCAUUCCACAUCGAAUCAUUAAAGAAAAAGAUGUCACGGUCUCAAAAAUGGGCGACAAGAGCAGGUCCAGAAAAGAAGGGUAUGCCACAUGAGAUCCGUAACACAUUUCUAGUAGUUAUGACACAUGCCCAUGUGAAGGAGGCACACGCCUAUGUGAAAAGAGGCACACACACGACUGUGUGCCCUAGAGACAUGACUGUGCGAAUAACCCAUGUUACUCUUUGUCCGAAAUUGUUAAAAUAAGGUGCAAAGCAGACACAGCCGUAUGAAAGUCUCACAUGCUCGUGUGCCACGGAACACUACUGUGUGCCCAGAACACACGCCCAUGUGAUUAUCAACUAAAAUCUCCAAAUCGAAACCACAAGAUCGUAUGACACCAAAAAUCAUCGAAAAACCCUAAUUCCUAAAUUCGCACAGCCGUAUGAACUGCCCGUGUGUGGCACAAGCCCGUGUGGUUACGAAACCACACCGAAACAAGCUACAGAACAUGCAUUUGCUACCGAAACAACCCUCAAUCCUCAUUAACAUAGUAAUACACCAAAAACAAAUAGUAUUUCAAGCAAUUCCAUAACAAUCUACACUUCGAUUGGUAAAUUUCAGAAACACACAAAAUAUGUCGAAUUUCACGGAGGCAAAUCAAAAUUUUAAAAAUGAAAAUGAUGAGCUUUCAAACCCACACCUAAAUUUGUGAUCAAAGCACGAGGAGAAAAACAAAGAAGAAAGCCAGAACGUAGGAGAAGGAAAUAAUAAAAUCUCCCCAACAAAAAUAAAAAAAAUUUGGAACAAAAAAAAAUGGAAACAAAUCUAACGUUUGGAAGAGGGAGGGAGAGGAGGAACGUGAAAAGAUUUUUUAGGAUAACUCCCUGUUGUAGACACAAAAUAAUAAUAAUAAUAAAAUAAAAAGAAUUAAAUUAAAUGAAAAUAACAAAUAAGUAUUGAAACUUUAAACAAGCUAAAAUAAAAUUGAUUCCUCUAAAACACUCAUGAGGGCUCAAACUUGAAAUCCGAAGGUAAACUAACACACUCGCCACUACCAACCAGCAGGCUCAUUCUAACAUUAAAACGCAAAAACAAGCACAAUUACUCAGCCUACUCACUAACCCUUACUUAAAACCUCAAAUCUUCUAACCCCAAAAUUUAGGAUGUUACAUGUAAUGUCCAUAUUUUUCUAAUACAAUUUUAUACAUGAAUUUUGGUUUUGUGCAGUUUUGCACAUGAUUUUUUUAUUUAAUUUAUUUUUCACAAACUACUAACAAAAUUAUUGAUAUAUAUCACCAUUUUAAGUUUACAUAUUAUAUACAUAAAUAAGUAUAUUUAUAAGAUAUCAAAAUAAAUCGAUGUCUUUAAACGUAACACCAAAACAAAGUUUGAUAUAUAACUCAACAUAUAAAAAGAAGUUAUUAAACAAUACAUAUAAUGUUUAGAACUAUAGUUCUAAUAUUAUUGGUAAAUUUAUAAUUUUCGGUUCACGUAAAUCUUAAUUAUAAAAAAUAAAAUUAUGACUUAUCUUGGAUUAAACUUACAUUAUAUUAUUUAAAUAAAUAAUUUACUAGUUUUUAAUGUCAGGUAGAUGUAUGUAAUUUUAUGCUUUUAAUAUUUAAUUAAUUUUAAAUAUUAUAUUUUUAAUUGAAAUAAUUAAUGUAAAAUAAUAUUUUUUAUUUGAAUUAUUGAAUGUAAUUAAAAUAUAUUAACUUAUCACUUCAAAUAUUAUAAUAGAAAUUUUUUAAAUCAAAAUUGCAUUUUUAACAUAAUCGACCUACAAUGUAAUUUUACUUUUAUGUAACUAAUACAAGUAACAUUAUUCAAAACAAUAACUAAUCAAUAUAAUUAAAUUUAGUAAUAAUUAAUUUUUAAUUAAGAUGCUUAAAAUUUUAGUAAUAAUUCAAUUUUACAUUGAUAAAUAUAUUAAUAUAAUUUUUUAUUUGUAAAUAUAAAUAUAAUAAUAUGAUAGAAAAUAAAAAGUAUUUUAAUAUGAAUAAAUAAAUUUUAAAAUUUAAAAUUCAACAUAUAUAUUUACAUAUUUCGCUAAUUCACCAACGUAUAUGCCUUGAUUUGAUAUAGUUAAUAUUCGGAUAAUGUUGUGAAUCACAUAUAUAUAUUUUGAAGUUUUAUCAUAUUUUCAUGGGUAAAAUACUUUAGAAGUUGUUGUACUCUUUGAAAAUUUAGAAUUUAGUUUUUAUGCUUUUAUUUUUAAGAAUUUAGUUCAUUUAUUUUUCAGAUUUUAAAAUUCAAAUCCAAUUGUUAAUAUUGUUAAUAUUUUUAAUUUCUUUAUGUUAAAUUCAAGUUCAUUACAACAUAUUUUUAGUUACAUGGUUUCCAAGUGUUUUUUUUUUUAAAUGUCACACCAACAAAUUUAACAAAAAAAAUUUGAGUGUUAACAAUUGGACCUGAGUUUUGAAAUUGAAAGGUAGAGGGACUAAGUUUUUGGAAAUAAAAGUAUAUGGAUUAAAUUUCAAAAUUUUGAAGAGUACAGAUACUUAUAACAUCUUUUAACCUAUUUUAAAAAUGUUUUGAAUCAUUACUUAACUUAUUUAGCUCUUCCAAUAAUUAUUUUAGAAUCUUUUUAAAUUUUAUCUUUCCUUAUAUAAUCUUUAUAAUUUUUUAAAAUUAAAUAUUUUGAAUUUAUUUUUUGUAAUUUUUGUUGAGAGAGAGACUAACCUACUCAUUUUCAAAAUUGUCAAGGACCAAACGAAUAUUUACAUCAAUCUAAUAUUUGAAUUAUUUGAAUCGAAACUCAAAUUACUAAUUCGAGUUGAGUUGAAAAAUCGAAUAACUCAGUUUCAUUAAAUAGAAAUUUAAUUUUUCUUUCUUUAUUCGAAUUAAAUUGAGUUUAAGUCGCCCUUAGUUUUACUCUAUAAAUAGGAUAUUUUUAAUAAUUUUUACCGUUCCUUCCACUUGCUUUUUGUUUGGUCCAAGGUUUUAUAGUUGGAAAUUCCCUUGGACCUUUAAAUAUGUUUAUUUUCUCAAAUUAGUGCGUUUAUGUCAUAAAUAAAAUCAACCUUUUUAUUUAAUGUGUAUUUCAUGUGGACUGGAUACCUGUUUUCUGUGGCUUUAGUUCUUGGAAAUUUCCUUGGACCUUGGAACAAAUUUGUUUCCUCAAACUAAAGUGUUCAAAUCAUGUAUAAAUUGUGGUCAGAUGCCUGUGCUUUUGCAGAAUACAGGUUCUAUUCCCUUUUCUAUAUUGUCUUCUGGUUCUUUCUUCUUUAUGUUUUGUUGCGAAUUUCAUCAGCUUUCAGUAAUCUGAAAAUUUACUGCCUAAUUUAUUACCCCAAAAAAAGCUAUGGAUGAGAGGAUGAUAGAGGCUGCCCAAACAGGAGAUAUAAUUAACCUCUUGUAUGAGUUGAUUCUGAAUGAUCCAUACGUUUUAGAGCGUAUUGAUGCUGUACCUUUUUCUCAUACUCCAUUGCAUAUAGCAGCCUCUGCUGGGCAUAUUGAGUUUAUGAUGGAGAUGAUCAAAUUAAAGCCAACGUUUGCAAGAAAGCUAAACCAAGCUGGGUUUAGCCCCAUGCACUUGGCUCUGCAAAAUGACAGAACUAAAGCAGUGCUUCGACUCCUCAGGUUUGAUGAAGGCCUUGUUCGUGUCAAAGGGAGGGAGGACCUCACUCCUCUGCACCAUGUGGUUCAAACUGGAAAUGUUGAUCUUUUGGUCAAGUUACUUAAGGUUUGUCCUGAGGCUAUUGCAGAUGUGACUGUUCGAGAUGAGACGGUAUUCCAUCUUGCUGUGAAAAACGACAUGUUUGAAGCUUUCCAAGUCUUGGUAGUGGCUUAUAAGAAGCCGCCAUGAGUCUGCCGAACGUUGGGAGAAAGAACUACUGAGUUGGGUAGACAUUGAUGGCAACACUGUGCUACACAUUGCAGCUAUCAGAAACAGACCUCAGGUUUGCUAAUUUUCCUAAUCAAGUCAAUUAUUGAUAUGUAUGUAUAUGAUAAAAGGGUAAUUUACAUUAAUUAAUUUCCAAUUAACAGGUGGUGGAAGUAUUGCUGGGACACUUGCGUCGAGACCAAAUCAAUGCCAAAAAUUUGUAGGGAUUGACAGCACUAGAUAUCCAAUCACAAUACCGAUGGAAUGAAAGGCAAGCGGAUAGGAUUAUAGAUAUGCUAAGCAAAGCAGGAGGUUUGAGUGCUUCCUCUUCCUCGCUUCCGAAUACCUCCAUCUCUUCAUUCCACAUCGAAUCAUUAAAGGAAAAGAUGCCAUGGUUUCAAAAAUUGGAAACAAAAACAGGUCGACUAAAGAACGGUAUUUCAUAUGAGAUGCGUAACACAUUUCUAAUAGUGAUAGUGCUACUUAUAACAACCACUUACGAACCCUCUUUAAACCCUCCAAACAUGCCUUAUGACAGUCCAUCCAUGAAAUACCAAGUCUCCUUAAGUCAAGAUCAGCCUCUCAAUUCCCACACAUUUUUGCAUAAAACCGACAUCAAUACUGCACCCAUACCCAGUCCCUCCGCAAUUGACGUUUCCAAAAAAGAUUAUUGGACAUCUAAUCACUCGUUUUUGGUUUUGAACAUGUUCAACUUUUCGGUUGCAGUUCUUUUAAUAGGACUUCUCCUACCAUAUCAUCCUUUCUCUUUGUUGAUUCACUUACCACUUUCCGGCUGUAUGGUAUCUUACACGGAGUUAUAUGCUUCCUUAUGUGAGUUUUCCAAUAAAAACGCACUUCUUUCUGGCGUUUAUAAUUUUUCCUUUACAAUGUUGCUGCCUUUUCUCGUAGUAUGCGGGUCAAUCUUUUAUGUUAUGGGCAAAGAGACAAAAUUUUCUAAGAAUCGGAAUUAAAUUGUAUAUUUGUUGAAGUUAGCUUCCAUGCAACACAAGCAGCAACAAACGUGUCCAUGCAAGCCACAUGCAGAAAAGAAGCAGCACAUGAAGGCAGCCGCUUGAGCUCGACAUUGCUGUCCAAAUUCAACUAGUUUUGUUGGAUUAAGUUUAUAUUUUGUAACUUAGUUCUUAUAGAACUUAGUUGGUAAACUUUUGAUGUAAUUUUUGAUGAUUGAUUGACUGAAAAUCCAGCCAAUGUAACUUAUGCAAGCUGAUUAACAAUUUCCAAUGUAUUAAGUGGAGUUAGGUAAGUGAUUAGGUAGUAUUUUGAUUUGUAAGUUUAACUCAAUGUUUGAUAUUUGUAAUGCCAACUUGCCAAUGUUUUGUUAAUGAAAAAUUAGCUUCUUUUUCAUUCAAAUUCUCUCCUUUCUUUGCUUUUGUUUUCUAUUUUCCACUUGCAAAGCUUUUCUUCUGUUUUGUUUCUUCCCCAAGCCACGAGGCUUGCUGUCCAAGCAAGGCUAGACCAGCUUGCUUACUGCCUUUAACACCAACAAUAUUUCUGUAAUAAUAAAAAUGAAAAUUUAUCAAUUUAAUAGUCUAUAUUUUUAUAUUUUUUAGAAGAUUAAAUCAAAAUUUUGUCAUUUAUAGGAGUCAAAAUAUAAUUUUAUCAUUACUAAUUUAAAAUUUUAUAAAUUAUAAAAGACUUAAAUAGAAAAAAAAAAUCAUUUUAAGGAGGCUCCAGCUCCCUGACUCCGCCUCUGCAGGUGGGUAACCAGUACCAAUCCAAAAUUCUCCAACCUCAUAAUAUAAUCUUUUACAUUGGCUUCCUCCUUUCUACACUGUGUCCAGUUUCGUGGAUCCUUCUAAUGUAAAUGCCGAAAGCGUAAUGAAGUUUUGGGGUUUGUAUUAGAGAUGGUGAUGGAGUAGUUAUUGGGUUGAGCUGGUUCAUUAGUUCCCUUCAUCUCUUCUACCGGACUCUUAUUCCUUUUUUAUUAUCAAGGGUGAAGGUCUGCACAUACUUUUGUUUAGGCCUAAUCGUCUCUUGAGGAAGAGCUAUGUUGUAAUGAUAAAAGAAGUGCGAAUUUGUUUGUCAAGUAGUUGUUGAAUAAGGAUCUUAACUAGGAUCUUAAAUAAAGGGAAAUGUAUUUGUUAUGUGCUCAUGAUACAUACCAUCGUGAUUCAUCAAAACAGCAUUCUAAAAUAUUUACUUUAAUUGUAAUUACUUGGUAUGCUUUACAAACGAGGUUGAGAUUUUGUUACAUAUUUUGUUUAUUUUUUCAAAAAACGAGGUUGAGAUUUUGUUACAUAUUUUGUUUUUUUUUAAAAUGAGAUUGAAAUUUUGUUACAUAUCUUAUUUAUUUUUCAAAAAAUUCAAUAUAAUUUAAAGGCACGUGACGAUAUAAAUUCUACUUGCACAAUUAAAAAAUUUCCAUUGGAAAUAUUUUAAAUAAUUAUCCUUAAUUCAAAACAAAUAAGUGUUGAGUGUAAUAGUAAAAUAUAUUGCAUUUCCAAGAAAAGAUGUAAGUUCAAACCUUGGAAAUAAUAUUAUUAGAGCGGCAGCCAUGAACUCCGAAUAUGGACCAUAAAAUAGAUAUAAAAAUAUGUAAAAUAUUUAGAAAAAUAAUAAAAUAUAAAACAUCACGUUAGAGUACUAUUACAUAUUACUAUAGAUUUAAUUUUAUGUGUUAUAAAUAAUAUAAUAUAUAAAAAUAACAAAAUAUUUAACAUUACAAACUUAUAAAAACGGGUUUAACCUGGGCUGACCUGGUCUUUAAAUGUUCAACCCCAUUUUUCAAAUCUAAUCUUUUUACCUAAAUCCUCCUCAUUUUUUAAACAAGCGAAUAUUCGGAGGAUUCUUCUAACCAAAAUAGAAAAUAUAUCAAAAAACUAAAAAGUAUAACAAAAAUAAUAAAUAAAAAAUUUACAUAUAAUUUGGAAUUUCUAAUUGUACUUAGAAUUGUAUAACGUAUAAUUGUAAUUUGUCAGCAAAGUUGUUUCUUUUUUUUUCCCCUUAAAAUUCAAAGAAUUCUUCUCCCUUUAUACAUAGGUCAUCGAUUCAGCAUUAGAAAAAGGGGCUCAAAUCGUUUUAUCGACAUGAGUGUUUUAUGUCGAAAAAAUAUUUUUGUUUUGAAAAUAUUUCUGUAUUUAGUAACAUAGUAGUAAAAAGAGUACCCAAUUGCAUCUGAACUUCAAACGGGUUUGGCCUUAACCAUGUUAAUGGUCCCAGAUUAUUGGUUAAUAAAGAAUCAAAGUCGAUGUGCCAAUGAAUCACGAAAUGCUAUAGUUCUAUAGUAUGAUUUUAAAAAUAUAUUCAGAAGUAAUUCGCGAGAUCAUGCACUCUUUUAUUUCCUAGUUAUAAUGAAAAAAAGUACAACUGGGUGAAUCCAGCUUAUUCUUGAAAUAAACAACUCACACACACUCACUUUCCAAAAAAGAUUAAUACACCAAGGACUACACUUAGAUUUAUUAGAUUUGUUGCUAAAAUAUCGGUAUUAACCCCGAAACUCUCGGCAGAUGGCCAGUGACCCAAGGAAACGAAAGAAUCGAUUACAUUUUUCAUAUGAUCUCCUAUUUUAUUUUAGAUAGACUAACAAAAAGAAUUCAGUUUUUUUUUGUAUUAUAUCGCUUUGACUCCUUUUCCAUUUAUUCUAUUCUAUCAUAUUUAUAUUAUUCUAAUUAUUCUAGUUCUAUGUAUUUCUUUAUUUGUUUUAAUAAAUUAUUAAAUUUAUUAUAAAAUUAUUCAUUAUUAUGAUUAUGAAUUUUCAUUUACCUAUGUCUAAACGGAGUUAAAAAUAUAUUCUAUUUAGCUAGUUAGCUAGAAAUGUAUUUUUUUAAUUGAAAAUUCCCAAUAAUAAUAAUUCUUAUUAGAAUUAGGGAGCAGGUUUCAUGUCAAUGGCAAAAUACCUCAUUUGAUGCUACACUCCUUUAAACAAUAAAUAAUAAAUAAGGGGUUCUUUUGAACUAAGAAGGAGAAGGAAGAAAGCGAGUUGGCGUGAUAAUUCUUCAGCCUCAAAUUAAUCCUUCCCACGGAUUAUUGUCCUAACGAAUAUUAAUUGUAGGGGUGAAAUCUUGAUAGAAUUCGAAAAAGCGAGGAGUAAGUCCCAAGCCAUAAAAUAAGAAAAACAAAUACAAAAUUCUCAUGUUUAUAGGAUUAAAUAAAGGGAUUCACAAAUAAGAGUGCCAGUGCUACAACCAGUGCAUAAAUUGUUAAAGCUUCCAUAAAAGCCAAACUAAGCAAUAAAGUACCUUGUAUUUUUUCCUCCGCCUCAGGUUGUCUCGCGAUACCUUCUACAGAUUGGCCCGCAGCAGUACCUUGACCGCCUCCAGGUCCAAUAGAAGCAAGCUCGACAGCCGACCCUGCAGUAAUAACGAAAGCGGCAGAAAUCAGUGGAUUCAUGAUAAGUUCCUCGCACCAAAAUAAAGAAAUAGUUAAUGAUACAAUCAUCCAAUGAAUUUUGACUUAAUUAUAUUAUAUCAUCCAUAUGUUUUACAGCGUAUUGAUGAUGUGCCUUUUUUUAAUACUCAAUUGCAAGUAGCAACCUCUGUUGGGCAUAUUGAAUUUAUGAUGGAGAUGAUCAAAUUAAAGCCAACGUUUGCAAGAAAGCUAAACCAAGCUGGGUUUAGCCCCAUGCACUUGGCUCUGCAAAAUGACAGAACUAAAGCAGUGCUUCGACUCCUCAGGUUUGAUGAAGGCCUUGUUCGUGUCAAAGGGAGGGAGGACCUCACUCCUUUGCACCAUGUGGUUCAAACUGGAAAUGUUGAUCUUUUGGUCAAGUUACUUAAGGUUUGUCCUGAGGCUAUUGUAGAUGUGACUGUUCGAGAUGAGACGGUAUUCCAUCUUGCUGUGAAAAACGACAUGUUUGAAGCUUUCCAAGUCUUGGUAGGGUGGCUUAUAAGAAGCCGCCAUGAGUCUGCCGAACGUUGGGAGAAAGAACUAUUGAGUUGGGUAGACAUUGAUGGCAACACUGUGCUACACAUUGCAGCUAUCAGAAACAGACCUCAGGUUUGCUAAUUUUCCUAAUCAAGUCAAUUAUUGAUAUGUAUGUAUAUGAUAAAAGGGUAAUUUACAUUAAUUAAUUUCUAAUUAACAGGUGGUGGAAGUAUUGCUGGGACACUUGCGUCGAGACCAAAUCAAUGCCAAAAAUUUGGAAGGAUUGACAGCACUAGAUAUCCAAUCACAAUACCUAUGGAAUGAAAGGCAAGCGGAUAGGAUUAUAGAUAUGCUAAGCAAAGCAGGAGGUUUGAGUGCUUCCUCUUCCUCGCUGUUGGAACAUUUGGCAGCAGCAAAAGAAGAGAACAGAGAGCAUAACAAUGAAGCAAGGUGCAAGAAGGAUUUUUACUUGCUCACAAAUGUGCAGCAAGGGAGCUUAUGGCUGAUAGCCUAUUCAGCUCAUUCAUUCAACUAGAAAAACAACAUAUUUAUAGUCAAAUACAUCACCAAAUACUACCUACUACCACUAGUUUUACUUUGAAUUAAGUAAAACUUAACUUGCACACAAGCUGAUUAUGUCAAUCAGCAACUAAAAACAUCAAAACAAUACCAACUUAGUUCAUUUUCAACUAAGUAGCUUAACAAAGAAACUAAAGAGAAAACCUUGCUGCUACAGCAAGUAUACGUGCUGCAGCAUGUCAUCAAGCUGCAUGCACUUCAAACAGCAGCAUGGUUGGCCAAUUUGAACACUCCUCCUUUGGACUCCAUGCUGCAAAUACAUAUCAUUCAGCAAGUUUUUGAACUAGGCAGCCCUUAGAUGCUUUGUUUCAAGCUGACCAAUUCAUUUUCAACCUUGGCCUCAUUCACAAACAAAUCUGACUUACACACUUGACUAUCCCAGUCUUUUGUGGCAAAGAUUUGUUCACCAAAUGGAGUCUUCUCCUCCUUCACAGCCUUGGUUGACAACUUGUUUCUUCUUGCACAAACAGUUCCUGAGUAUAGUUGCUUGCCUUCAUUCUGCCAUUUUGGCUUGCAACUAUACAACACACAUUAAGCUUCCACAUGUUGCUGAGCUCACACCUUUGACAGACUCACAUCUUUGCAUAUUGUCUUCAACAGGUGUCUUCAACAGGCUCGCACUUUGCUAAGCUUGCAGCUUUGACAUCUUGCUAAGCUUGCACAUUUGGAAAGCUCACACCUUUCUUUGAAACUCCUCCUUCAGCUUAUUCAAGCUUGUUUGGGGGUCUUAUAAGUUUGAGCCGGUGUUGAGCAGGGGAAACAAAAUCAAUGGUCCCUUAAGACUUAGGCUCUUGAUACCAUUUGUUGGAACAUUUGGCAGCAGCAAAAGAAGAUAACAGAGAGCAUAACAAUGAAGCAAGGUGCAAGAAGGAUUUUUACUUGCUCACAAAUGUGCAGUAAGGGAGCUUAUGGCUGAUAGCCUAUUCAGCUCAUUCAUUCAACUAGAAAAACAACAUAUUUAUAGUCAAAUACUUCACCAAAUACUACCUACUACCACUAGUUUUACUUUGAAACAAGUAAAACUUAACUUGCACACAAGCUGAUUAUGUCAAUCAACACCUAAAAACAUCAAAACAAUACCAACUUAGUUCAUUUUCAACUAAGUAGCUUAACAAAGAAACUAAAGAGAAAACCUUGCUGCUACAGCAAGUAUACGUGCUGCAGCAUGUCAUCAAGCUGCAUGCACUUCAAACAGCAGCAUGGUUGGCCAAUUUCAACACUCGCUUCCGAAUACCUCCAUCUCUUCAUUCCACAUCGAAUCAUUAAAGGAAAAGAUGCCAUGGUCUCAAAAAUUGGAAACAAAAAUAGGUCGACUAAAGAACGGUAUUUCAUAUGAGAUGCGUAACACACUUCUAAUAGUGAUAGUGCUACUUAUAACAACCACUUACGAACCCUCUUUAAACCCUCCAAAGAUGUCUUAUGACAGUCCACCCAUGAAAUACCAAGUCUCCUUAAGUCAAGAUCAGUCUCUCAAUUCCCACACAUUUUUGCAUAAAACCGACAUCAAUACUGCACCCAUACCCAGUCCUUCCGCAAUUGACGUUUCCAAAAAAGAUUAUUGGACAUCUAAUCACUUGUUUUUGGUUUUGAACAUGUUCAACUUUUCGGUUGCAGUUCUUUUAAUAGGACUUCUCCUACCAUAUCAUCCUUUCUCUUUGUUGAUUUACUUACCACUUUCCUGCUGUAUGGCAUCUUACACAGAGUUAUAUGCUUCCUUAUGUGAGUUUUCCAAUAAAAACGCACUUCUUUCUGGCGUUUAUAAUUUUUCCUUUACAAUGUUGCUGCCUUUUCUCGUAGUAUGCGGGUCAAUCUUUUAUGUUAUGGGCAAAGAGACAAAAUUUUCUAAGAAUCUGAAUUAAAUUGUAUAUUUGUUGAAGUUAGCUUCCAUGCAACACAAGCAGCAACAAACGUGUCCAUGCAAGCCACAUGCAGAAAAGAAGCAGCACAUGAAGGCAGCAGCUUGAGCUCGACAUUGUUGUCUAAAUUCAACUAGUUUUGUUGGAUUAAGUUUAUAUUCUAUAACUUAGUUCUUAUAGAACUUAGUUGGUAAACUUUUGAUGUAAUUUUUGAUGAUUGAUUGACUGAAAAUCGAGCCAAUGUAACUUAUGCAAGCUGAUUAACAAUUUCCAAUGUAUUAAGUGGAGUUAGGUACGUGAUUAGGUAGUAUUUUGAUUUGUAAGUUUAACUCAAUGUUUGAUAUUUGUAAUGGCAACUUGCCAAUGUUUUGUUAAUGAAAAAUUAGCUUCUUUUUCAUUCAAAUUCUCUCCUUUCUUUGUGUUGCGCGGAAGCGUGUAAAAGAGUAAAAUUAUUGUACUAAAAAAUCACACUAAGUUCAAUUCCUAGGAAAGAGAGGUGGAUCACGAGGAUCGCUUAAGUACCAGGUCUUUCCUAGCCAGAAUAUCCCUCUAUCUUAAUUUAGUAGCACAAUAAAUCACUACAAUCACACUCGCAAAAUAUGAAAAAUAAACAAUAAAGAACACUAGAAUUUUAACGAGGUUCAGAAAAUUUUGCCUACGUCCUCGUGCACUACCAAAUAUAUUUCACUCCAAAAUACAAGUGAAAGUUUACAAAUAAGGAGAGAGAACAAUUGCCUUAAGUAGAGAAUGGUAAAUGUGGGAUGUAGAAAAUGAGAAAUAGUUAGGCCUAUUUAUAGUUGAAGCUCAAGGAUCAACUUGCAAAGUCCCUAUACAAUUAGGGACCAAAAUUGCAAUUAUCCCAAGCCAAAUUUCAACCCUAAAAUCUAUGCCUUAAAUGUUUAGAGUUUCGGUGCCAAAUUUCUGACACCAUCCAUCGUUGAAAAGUCAAAGAUGGUUGCCAAUAAUCUCCACCUUGAAGAUUUGAUUAGGAUAAUCUUAUCUUCACACAAUUCUUUCUGCCUUUGACAACAAUACUUGAUAGUGCCUUCUUCAACUGUUAAACUUACAGGAUAUUGAUCAAGUUCAAACAAUGUUCGAACUUGAUUGUUGUUACCACUUUGGUCAUCAUAUCUGCAGGAUUAUCUGCAGUCUUGAUCUUCUGAAAUUUUCCCCCCAUCAAUAAUUUCUCGCACAAAAUGGAAUCGUACGUCGAUAUGCUUUGUACAUGCAUGAUAGACUUGAUUCUUUGCUAAAUGAAUAGCACUUUGACUAUCACAAUACACGUUAAUAUGCUUCUGAACAAAUCCCAAGGUUUUAACCAUACCUUGUAACCAAAUAGCUUCAUUUACAGCCUCUGUUACAGCCAUGUAUUCGGUUUCUGUGGUUGACAACGCAACUGUAGACUGCAGUGUAGACUUCCAACUUAUAAACACAUAACCGGUGGUUGAUCUUCGUUUGUCCAAAUCACCAGCAUAGUCAGAAUCAACGUACCCAAUAACACCUUUACCAAGUGUAGUAUCCUGCUUGAACAGUAAUCUAACAUCCACGGUCUUCAGAAUAUAUCGUAGAAUCCAUUUCACAGCUUGCCAAUGUCCUUUUCCAGGAUUAUGCAUAUACCUGCUCACUAUACUAACUGCCUGUGAAAUGUCGGGUCUUGUACACACCAUUGCAUACAUCAAGCUACCCACUGCAUUAGAAUACGGAACUUGUAACAUGUAUUCUUGUUCCGUAUUCGUCGAAGGAGAUAGUUGUGCAGAAAGCUUGAAAUGAGAAGCCAACGGGAUACUUACAGGUUUUGUUUGCUCGUUCAUGCCAAAUUGCUGUAGUACUUUCUUCAAAUACUGCUUCUGAGAUAAACUAACUCUGCCAUGAGCUCUAUCUCUACAUAUUUCCAUGCCAAUAAUCUUCUUAGCUUCACCUAGAUCUUUCAUCUCAAACUUGAGAUUGAGCUGAGUCUUCAAUCUCUCAAUCUCAACUUUGCUCUUAGAUGCUAUCAGCAUAUCAUCAACAUAUAAGAGCAAGUAUAUGAAAGUUCCUACUUGUAGCUUCUGAAAAUACACGCAAUGAUCAAAUUUACUUCUUGUGUACCUUUGUCCUUUUAUGAACUGAUCAAAUCGCUUGUACCACUGCCUCGGAGAUUGUUUCAAUCCAUAAAGCGACUUCGUCAGUUUGCAAACCCAAUUUUCUUUAUCAGCAACCUUGAAUCCAUCAGGCUGAGUCAUAUAGAUCUCCUCUUCCAAAUCACUGUGUAAAAAAGCCAUCUUUACAUCAAGCUGAACUAGUUCAAGGUCAUAUUGCACAACCAGGGCUAGCAAAAUCCGAAUAGACGAAUGCUUCACAACUGGAGAAAACACUUCAUUGUAGUCUAUUCCUUCUUUCUGAGCGUAACCUUUUGCUACCAAUCUAGCCUUGUAUCGAAUUUCAUUUUUACCAGAAAAUCCUUCCUUCUUUGCAUAUACCCAUUUGCAUCCAAUUGCCUUAUUUCCCUUGGGCAGUGUCACCAACUCCCAAGUCCUAUUUUUAUGAAGAGACUGCAUUUCUUCAUUCAUAGCCUGCUUCCACUUUACACCAUCAGGGUUACUUAUUGCUUCUGUGUAAGUAGAAGGAACAUCAUCAUCUGCAAUUGGAAGUGCAUAGGCCACUAUAUCAUUAAAGCGAACAGGCUUACGAAUCUCUCUUCUUGGCCUCCUAUAUGCAAUUGAAUCUUGUUGCUAUAGAAGUUCUUGAGUCGAAACUUCUUCAUCAUUUGCUCCUUUAGUAUUAGCUGGAUCAUCAUUAACCUUUUCAAGCUCCACCUGCUGCAAAGUGCCACUAGUUUUGUCAUCCUUUUGUGAAUCCUUGUUCUUCAUCAUGGUUGAUUCAUCAAAAGUCACAUCUCUACUGAAAAUAAUAUUUCUUGUAUCAGGACACCAGAGACGGUAUCCUUUUACUCCACUAGUUAUACCCAUGAAUAAUGCUUUCUUUGCUCUUGGGUCUAACUUAGAUUCUUUUACAUGAUAAUAUGCAGUGGAACCAAAAAACAUGUAAAGAAUCAUAAUCAGUAGCAGGUUUACCAGUCCACAUCUUCAUAGGAGUUUUUCCAUUUAUUGCAGCUGAUGGCAACCGGUUAAUUAGAUGGCACGCAUAUGUAACUGCCUCAGCCCAAAAUUCCUUGCCCAAUCCAGCAUUGGACAACAUACAUCGAACUUUCUCCAGUAUAGUCCGAUUCAUACGUUCUGCCACCCCAUUCUGCUGUGGUGUAUCUCGAACAGUGAAGUGUCGCACAAUGCCCUCAUCUUGACAUACUUGUAGAAAUGGAUCAUUUUUGUACUCAGUACCAUUAUCUGAUCGAAGUCGUUUGACCUUUCGACCAGUCUGAGUCUCCACCAUCUUCUUCCACUUCAGAAAUGCAUCCAAAAUUUCACUUUUUCUUUUCAUUAGAUACACCCAUACUUUUCUUGAAUAAUCAUCAACAAAAGUAACAAAAUAGUGCAUACCUCUCAAAGAAGCCACUUUGGUAGGUCCCCACACGUCACUGUGAACAUAGUCCAGAAUUCUUUCCGUAUUGUGAAUUGCUGAACCAAAUUUUACCCUCGCCUGCUUGCCCAGAACACAAUGUUCACAGAAUUCAAAUUUGCAAGAAUUUACACCUUUCAACAAGCCUUGCUUCGCCGAAGUCUACCAAGCUUUUUCACCAGCAUGUCCUAAUCGCAUAUGCCAUAACCUGGUAGCCUCUGAAUCUGCAUCUUUCGCAAAAGCUGUUGAUAUUGAUCCAAUAAUUGUACUUCCAUUUAAAUAGUACAAGUUAUUUCUUCUAGUGCCUUUUAUCACCGUCAAUACCCCAGCUACUACCUUUAGUAAUCUAUCUCUCAAAGUGACUGUGAGCCCUUUAGGUUCUAGGGCCCCUAAUGAGAUGAGAUUUUUCUUCAAGCUAGGUACAUAGCGAACAUCUGUCAAGACUUGGAUUGAGCCAUCGUGAUUCUUCAAUUUGAUUGUACCUACUCCUAUUGUCUUACAAGCACUGUCAUUGCCUAUAAAAACAACUCCACCUUCUAGUUUUUCAAGACUAGAAAAUCAAUCCUUAUUAGGACACAUAUGUUAAGUACAUCCCAAAUCCAAGAUCCACUCAUCCGUAUGACAUGUCAUUGCCAUGCCAACCAAGCUAAAGUCUGACUCCUCAUCAUGCUCCGUUACACAUGCAUCAGAAAUAGCCUUGCCCUUUUGUAACUUAAGACAAUUCUUUUUCCAGUGCCCUUUCUCACGACAAAAAGCACAUUCAUCUUUGGCGGGUCUCCCUUUGGACUUGCCCCUUCUACGAGGUUUGUUGCUGUGUGAACAACCUCUUACUAUUAAGACUACUGCAGUUGUAUCUCUGUGAUCUCUUUUAUCUUUCUUUCGAGUCUCAGAUCUGUACAAUGCACUACAAACUGCAUCAAAUGUGAUCGUAUCCUUCCCAUGAAGCAAUGUGGUGGUAAGAUGAUCAUAUUCAUCGGGAAGAGAAUUCUACAACAAUAAUGCCUUGUCUUCAUCUUCAAACUUCUCAUCCAAAUUUAGCAAGUCUGCUAAAAUUUUAUUGAAUGAGUUCACAUGGUCAUUCAUCGACAUACCGGGUGCAUACGUGAACCGAAAAAGUUUCUUUUCAUAUAAAGCCUAUUUUCAUGACUUUUCGUUAGAAACUUUUCUUCCAGUGUAUCCCACAACUUCUUCGCUAAUGUCUCCCUCAUGACAGAGUACUUCUGCUCUUUGGCCAAACAUAGGCGAAUUGUACCACACGUCUGUCUAUUGAUCUUGGCCCACUCCUUGUCAUCCAUCUUGUCAGGUUUUUCUUCAAGGGCUAUAUCCAACUCUUGCUGACAUAAGACAUCCAGGAUCUCACACUGUCACAUACCAAAAUUAUUGGUACCAUCAAAUUUAUCUACAAAUUUUGCAUUGGUCACGGUAGUCUUUAUUGAUGACGAUGCCUCUGCCAUUUUUCUCCUCAAUCCCAACUACUGUAUAUGUGAACAGUACCGUCUACGUGAAUAGUACAGUGGAUGAACAAUACCGUAUACGUAAAUAGUAUCGUAAACGGUCGUACUCCCCAAGUACGAAUCUAGCUUCGAUACCAAUUGUUGCGCGAAAGCGUGUAAAAGAGUAAAAUUAUUGUACUAAAAAAUCACACUAAGUUCAAUUCUCAGGAAAGAGAGGUAGAUCACGAGGAUCGCUUAAGUACCAAGUCUUUUCUAGCUAGAAUAUCCCUCUAUCGUAAUUUAAUAGCACAAUAAAUCACUACAAUCACACUCACAAAAUAUGCAAAAUAAACAAUAAAGAACACUAGAAUUUUAACAAGGUUCAGCAAAUUUUGCCUACGUCCUCGAGCAUUACUAAAUAUAUUUCACUCCAAAAUACAAGUGAAAGUUUACAAAUAAGGAGAGAGAACAAUUUCCUUAAGUAGAGAAUGACAAAUGUGGGAUGUAGAAAAUGAGAAAUAGCUAGGCCUAUUUAUAGUUUAAGCUCAAUGAUCAACUUGCAAAGUCCCUAUACAAUUAGGGACCAAAAUUGCAAUUAUCCCAAGCCAAAUUUCAACCCUAAAAUCUAUGCCUUAAAUGCUUAGAUUUUCGGUGCCAAAUUUCUGACACCAUCCAUCUUUGAAAAGCCAAAGAUGGUUGCCAAUACUUUGUUUUUGUUUUUUGUUUUCCACUUGCAAAGCUUAUCUUCUGUUUUGUUUCUUCCCCAAGCCACGAGGCUUGCUGUCCAAGCAAGGCUAGACCAACUUGCUUACUGCCUUUAACACCAACAAUAUUUCUGUAAUAAUAAAAAUGAAAAUUUAUCAGUUUAAUAGUCUAUAUUUUUAUAUUUUUUAGAAGAUUAAAUCAAAAUUUUGUCAUUUAUAGGAGCCAAAAUAUAAUUUUAUCAUUACUAAUUUAAAAUUUUAUAAAUUAUAAAAGACUUAAAUAGAAAAAAAUCAUUUUAAGGAGGCUCUAGCUCCCUGACUCCGCCUCUGCAGGUGGGUAACCGGUACUAAUCCAAAAUUCUCCAUCCUCAUAGUAUAAUCUUUUACAUUGGCUUCCUCCUUUCUACAUUGUGUCCAGUUUCGUGGAUCCUUCUAAUGUAAAUGCCGAAAGCGUAAUGAAGUUUUGGGGUUUGUAUUAGAGAUGGUGAUGGAGUAGUUAUUGGGUUGAGCUGGUUCAUUAGUUCCCUUCAUCUCUUCUACCGGUCUCUUAUUCUUUUUUUGUUAUCAAGGGUGAAGGUCUGCACAUACUUUUGUUUAGGCCUAAUCAUCUCUUGAGGAAGAGCUAUGUUGUAAUGAUAAAAGAAGUGUGAAUUUGGUGUGAAUUUGUUUGUCAAGUAGUAGUUGAAUCAGGAUCUUCACCAGAAUCUUAAAUAAAGGGAAAUGUAUUUGUUAUGUGCUCAUGAUACAUAUCAUCGACUCCAACACCCUUAAAAGUGAUUCAUCAAAACAGCAUUCUAAAAUAUUUACUUUAAUUGUAAUUAUUUGGUAGGCUUUACAAACGAGGUUGAGAUUUUGUUACAUAUUUUGUUUAUUUUUUUUAAAUGAGAUUGAAAUUUUGUUACAUAUCUUAUUUAUUUUUUAAAAAAUUCAAUAUAAUUUAAAGGCACGUGACGGUAUAAAUUCUACUUGUACAAUUUAAAAUUUUCCAUUGGCAAUAUUUUAAAUAAUUAUCCUUAAUUUAAAACAAAUAAGUGUUGAGUGUAAUAGUAAAAUAUAUUGCAUUUCCAAGAAAAGAUGUAAGUUCAAACCUUGAAAAUAAUAUUGUUAGAGCGGCAGCCAUGAACUCCAAAUAUGGACCAUAAAAUGGAUAUAAAAAAUACGUAAAAUAUUUAGAAAAAUAAUAAAAUAUAAAACAUCACGUUAGAGUACUAUUACAUAUUACUAUAGAUUUAAUUUUAUGUGUUAUAAAUAAUAUAAUAUAUAAAAAUAACAAAAUAUAUAACAUUACAAACUUAGAAAAACGGGUUUAACUUGGGCUGACCUGGUCUUUAAAUGUUUAAGCCCAUUUUUCAAAUCUAAUCUUUUUACCUAAAUCCUCCUCAUUUUUUAAACAAGCGAAUAUUCGGAGGAUUCUUCUGACCAAAAUAGAAAAUAUAUCAAAAAACUAAAAAGUAUAAUAAAAAUAAUAAAUAAAAAAUUUACAUAUAAUUUGGAAUUUCUAAUUGUACUUAGAAGUAUAACGUAUAAUUGUAAUUUGUCAGCAAAGUUGUUUCUUUUUUUUUCUUCAAAUUCAAAGAAUUCUUCUCCCUUUAUACAUAGGUCAUCAAUUCAGCAUUGGAAAAAGGGGCUCAAAUCGUUUUAUCGACAUGAGUGUUUUAUGUCGAAAAAAUAUUUUUGUUUUGAAAAUAUUUCUGUAUUUAGUAACAUAGUAGUAAAAAGAGUACCCUAUUGCAUCUGAACUUCAAACGGGUUUGGCCUUAACCAUGUUAAUGGUCCCAGAUUAUUGGUUAAUAGAGAAUCAAAGUCGAUGUACCAAUGAAUCACGAAAUGCUAUGGUUCUAUAAUAUGAUUUUAAAAUUUUAUUCAGAAGUAAUUUGCAAGAUCAUGCACUCUUUUCUUUCCUAGUUAUAAUGAAAAAAAGUACAAUUGGGUGAAUCCAGCUUAUUCUUGAAAUAAACAACUCGCACACACUCACUUUCCAAAAAAGAUUAAUACACCAAGGACUACACUUAGAUUUAUUAGAUUUGUUGCUAAAAUAUCGGUAUUAACCCCGAAACUCUCAGCGGAUGGCCAGUGACCCAGGGAAACGAAAGAAUCGGUCACAUUUUUCAUAUGAUCUCCUAUUUUAUUUUAGAUAGACUAAAAAAAAGAAUUCGUUUUUUUUUGGUAUUAUAUCGCUUUGACUCCUUUUCCAUUUAUUCUAUUCUAUCAUAUUUAUAUUAUUCUAAUUAUUCUAAUUCUAUGUAUUUCUUUAUUUGUUUUAAUAAAUUAUUAAAUUUAUUAUAAAAUUAUUCAUUAUUAUGAUUAUGAAUUUUCAUUUACAUAUGUCUAAACGGAGUUAAAAAAUAUAUUCUAUUUAUCUAGUUAGCUAGAAAUGUAUUUUUUUAAUUGAAAAUUCCCAAUAAUAAUAAUUCUUAUUAGAAUUAGGGAGCAGGUUUCAUGUCAAUGGCAAAAUACCUCAUUUGUUGCAACACUCCUUUAAACAAUAAAUAAUAAAUAAGGGGUUCUCUUGAACUAAGAAGGAGAAGGAAGAAAGCGAGUCGGUGUGAUAAUUUUUCAUCCUCAAAUUAAUCCUUCCCACGGAUUAUUGUCCUAACGAAUAUUAAUUGUAGGGGUGAAAUCUUGAUAGAAUUCGAAAAAGCGAGGAGUAAGUCCCAAGCCAUAAAAUAAGAAAAACAAAUACAAAAUUCUCAUGUUUAUAGGAUUAAACAAAGAGAUUCACAAAUAAGAGUGCCAAUGCUACAACCAGCCCAUAAAUUGUUAAAGCUUCCAUAAAAGCCAAACUAAGCAAUAAAGUACCUUGUAUUUUUCCCUCCGCCUAGGGUUGUCUAGCGAUACCUUCUACAGAUUGGCCCGCAACAGUACCUUGACCAACUCCAGGUCCAAUAGAAGCAAGCUCGACAGCCGACCCUGCAGCAAAAACGGAAGCGGCAGAAAUCAGUGGAUUCAUGAUAAGUUCUUCGCACCAAAAUAAAGAAAUGGUUAAUGAUACAAUCAUCCAAUGAAUUUUAACUUAAUUAUAUUAUUCCAUCGCUAAGAUUCAACCUGCCGAAGUAACUAAGAACUCCGAAUGGAAGUGAGAAGAUUAUUGAACUGUCAGAACUAUUUUGCAUCUUUUUUUAGGUCCUAUCCGCUAGAUUUUUUUUGAAUCCGCACAUAUUUUGUUCUUCCCUUUGUUUUUUCCAACCCAUUCUUUACUUUGAAUUCUUCGUUUUUAUCUUUAUUUUAUCUCUUUAUUCAUUCAAUUCAGAGUCAAAGACAAAAUAGAGGAACUUCUAUUCUUCUAUUAGAAUACCUAUCUAAGUCCACAGUAGUAGGUUGGAUUAGAUAUAUUUUAAGUUCGUAUAUAACUAGUCAAUAUCUCAUAUCUCAUAUACAUGUGUUUCUUACAUAACGUAAACCAACUAUUCAUGUCUUAGAUUCAAUUGGAUUCUAGAAUUAUUCCUCAAAGGAUAGACAAUAGCUGUCUUAUAGCCAUUAGAUUCCAUAUACCUAAUUUUACCCCCUUUUUUUCCUAAUAAUUUUUUAUAUCAUUUUUUUAUUGUAAAUUCGUCUCUUCCUUUUAUUUUUUUAUUUAGCAUUAUCUCACAUGGAUACAAUCUAAAUGGACGAAUUCAUUAGACCAAAUCAUUGCAUACAAAUAAAACAUCAAUAUCAGUAUUUGAUUGAGCUAAAUUCAUGCAAUUUAUUUUAUUAUUUAUGAAAAAAAAUUCUUUAGGUCAAUCAUUGAAUUGAAUGUAGAAAUUGACUAAAAUGGGAAUCAUUCUAUAUAAAGAACAACUUUUUUAAAAUCAUAGACCCUAAAUUGAUAAGAAUUCCUAUUCUAAUUAGGACUCAUAAUAUUGAAAUUGAAUAAACAAAAACAAUAUCAAGAUAAAGAUAAUAUUGAUUGAAGGUAAAUAUGAUAUAAAUAUAAGUAAUAAAAAAAUGGACCAACCCUGAAUUUUAGGAAAAAGAUCUUUUCAAUUAGAUCUCUUUCUUUUUUUUAUUACAAUUCUCUAAUAUCAUAAUCUUUUUUGUUAUUACUCUAGAUCGUCGUAUUUGUAUAUUUAAGGUCCCUAAGUAAGUAGAUUAUCCUGAGUUGUACAUACAUUGGAUUGGACCAAGCUAAACUAAAAAAGGGCUAGGCUAUUUCAAAAACAAAAACUAAUCAAUGAUGGCCCUCUAUGGAUUCGCUUAUAUAAGCCGCAGCUAAAGUUGCAAAAAUAAGAGCUUGAAUCCCACUUGUAAAUAAUCUAAGGAACAUGACAGGUAUAGGGACUACUGAAGGUACUAAAGAAACAAGAACAACAACUACUAAUUCAACAGCUAAUAUUUUCCCAAAAAGUCGAAAAACUAAGUGAUAAGGGUUUUGUGAAAUCCUCUAAAAUGUUAAUAGGUAAAAGAAUUGGAGUGGGUUGAAUGUAUUUACUAAAAUACCCCAAUUCUUUUUUUGAAAGACCUGCAUAGAAAUAUGCUACUGACGUGAGUAAAGCUAAAGCAACAGUAGUAUUUAUAUCAUUUUUGGGUUCGGCUAACUCUUCAUGAUGUAAUUGUAUGAUUUUCCAAGUUAACAGAGCGUCCGACCAGUUAGAAACAAAAAUAAAUAGAAACAUAGUUCCAAUAAAGGGAACCCAUGGACCAUAUUCUUCUCCAAUCUAAGUUUUGCUUACUUCUUGAGUGAAUUAAAGAACAUAUUCGAAGAAAUUUUGACCGACAGUUUGAAUUGUUUGUGGAUUCCGAACUGCGAUAACGACGGAACCUAAUAAGAUAGCAAUUAUAACCCAAGAAGUAAUAAGUACUUGGGAAUGGACUUGGAAACCUACUAUUUACCAAUAGAAAUGUUGGCUUACUUCCACACCAGAGAUAUCGUAUAACCCGUUUAGUGCGUUUGAUAUACCAUUCAUAUUGCCCUCUGACAGAAAUAGAAGUUUACUUUUAAAAAAAGGAAUUAUUUUUAUUCAAUCUUCUCUUGCCUACUCAAAUUCUAUAUUUUUGACACUGACGAAACUAAGCACACAAUAUUCACAAUUUUUUUAUCUCUUUUGUGCGAUUCAGGAUAUAGUAACUGAUUCCAUAGAUCUAUGUAAUUCCAAAAAAUAAUUUAUUUAUCUUAUUAUUAAUAAAGGAUUUCGUAUAUAACUAGAAUGACCCUCACAAAUUGCGACUACUAAUUUGUUAAGAAUUAAUCGAAUUAAAGCUAUAGAGUCAUCAUUUGCUGGAAUCGAAAUAUCUGCGAGAUUAGAUUGCUAUUUGUAUCGAUUAAACAAAUUGCUAGAAUUCCCAAAUUGAUACAUUCUCGCAGAGCCGUAUAUUCUUCUUGCUGAUCAAUGAUGAUUACAAUAUCAGACAAUCUCGUCAUAUAUUUAAUCCCGCCUAGAUAUGUUUGUAAGCGAGAUAAUUGUCUUUUUAACAUAGCUGUAUCUCUUUUCGGAAGAUAGUUGAGUCCCCCGGUCUUUUGUUCUGUUCUCAAGUCCCUGAACUUAUGAAGCCUCGUUUUUGUAGUGGGCUAAGUUGUUAACAUACCACCGAGCCAUUAGAAAAAGACAAUUGAAGAAGAAUUGUCCAUAAAUUUGCAGUCAAUAGUUAAUGGUUCCAAUUUAUUUGUCCUGAAUUUUGACUUUUGGAACUGAGAAUCCACAUUUUCUUUUUCAAUAGAAAAGAAAGGGAAAGUUUUUAGAUAUUGUGUGUCUUGAGAUACUAUAACCAAUUGAAGUUAUGGAUCCGAUCUAAAAAUGAAAAAGAAAAGGGAGAUACUCUCCUUUUUUUGUUUGUAGCCUUUUGGUGACAUGGCUGAGCUGUAAGGCGAGGGACUGCAAAUCCCUUAUUCCCCAGUUCAAAUCCGGGUGUCGCUUGAUCAACAAAAAACUCGAAAUCCUAACGUUUCCUAACAUCUAAGAUUCAAGGAAAAACUAAAGUAGUGGAAGGGAAUCGAUAAAUCUUGAUAUGGGAGCCCCCCUUACUAAUGGAGUGGCUACUAGAGGAGUCUUGAAUUAGAUUGGAUAACGGGAGUGUCUAAUUAACUAAUGAAUGGUUGUAGAAGGGUUGGAAGAUACUUUGUAUACAGACGGAUGAAAGUCUCUGAGUGUUCAGACAUCCAAUUAAUAUUAGAUUGGAUAGAUAAUUGACUUUUACUCUAUGAGAGACACCAAAAGAAAGAAUAAGUCUUAUUAUUGAUACAUGUGAGUAACAUUCUUUUGAUACUUCCAAAAGUGUUACUGCGCAUUUUGUUUGUGCUUAAUGGUUCUCGAUUUUACUCGAAAUCAUAUAUAUGUCUAAUUACAAUCUUAAUCCCCAUCAAAGUAGCAACAAAAUCAACAUUUAGUAUCUUAAUAAAGUCUAGGAUCUCUGAGAUAAGUUUUAAAGAGAUUUGAUCCUGUCUCCUUAAAAUAGGGGAUUCGAUUGUUUGAUCUAAUCCAAUAUUCAGGAUACAUUUUUUCUUCUAGAUCGAUUUCCAAUAUAAAAUAACACACGUCCAAAAUAACAAUAAAGAUCAUGAGCUAAAUGUUUUGUUUUAAAAACUUACCAACUCUAAAUAAAACAAGUUAUGUAAUUUACACAGCACAGAAUGCAGUUGUAACUUCCAUCCUCAUCAUUCCUUCAACAAUUUUCUCUUAAAUUUAACAUCUUUGAACAAAACACUAACAAAGGGGAAUCCCACAUUGUGCGGUUUCAUCAACGUUGGUUUCUCCUUGUUUUGGUUUAAAAUUAGGUCAUUUCAAGGGUUUUCCAUUAUAUGAAUGAAGUUUAACAUAAAAAAAAAGUACACAUUCCAAUAAAUAAUCAGAAAAUUAGCGUAAUUUUAAUAACUAGAAUAAAAUUUAUCAAUAUUAUAAAGAAGUGAUAAAUAGCGAUUCCGAAUUUGCUAUUAGCUGAUUUGGUCAAGAUUUAAUACUUCAAUUUAACCAUUUCCAAUUUCCUGGAAGGGAAGGGACCCCUUUUCCCAUACACAUUCAGCAUUGCUCACACUUUUUAGUGCAUGUUCUUUAAUGAAGUUUACUUAUAUUACAACAUCUAGACUUAAUUAUAAACAAAUUAUUUAUAUUUAUUUACUUAAAUAGAUUAUCCUUUACAAUUAAAGACAAAAACAUUCCACUAACCUUUCCUGUCGGAGCAGCUGCCAGGAAGGUACCAAUUGACAUAGGAGGAAAAUUAGAAGUUUAACCACCGAAAGCGAUUAAUUCAAAAAUUAAAGACUAGUAUGGUCCGUCAACAAGGAAACAAUAUAAAGUCAAAAAGGGCAGACAAACAAAGUAGAGAUUUAUGCCUAAAUGGCACCAUAUCAAAGCCAACUUGAUAUCAAGAAAAGAAAUCAUAAAUAAUAUAAUUGUUUUUUGAAAGUAAAAACAAAAUUGUGAUGAAAAAAAUAAAUUUACUUUUUUUUUUCUAAUUCGUUAUAAAUAAAAGGUGAAUUUAAUCUCUUUUACUAUAGAUUAUUAGUAAAAAUAAAAGUUAAAUUUAAAAGUUUUUUCAUUAUUAUAAAUAUAUUAUCAUUGUUUAUAUUUAAUCACAUUUCUAUUUUUUUUAAUAAAAAUGUUUAAAAUUAUCCAUAAUUCCUUCUCAAUAUUUUAAUAGGAGGAUAAAUACAUUCUAUCGUAAUCGAACCCACAUCCUCCUAUACCAACAAUAAUGCCGAUACUAACUGAGCUAACACUCAAUUAGACUAUUGAGUAGAGAAGUUCAUUAACCCAACUAGAUUAUUACUUAAAGUUCUUAGGCACAUCAUAUGUGAAUAAAUUUGAAAUAGAAAGAAAAAAGAACUUUCAAGGAAAAGUGAAAAAGCAAAGGGAAUGAUUAUUAUUUGAUAUAUAGUAGAAUCUUUUAAUUCUAUAAAUGAGAUCUUUUUAUAAUUUUUAUUUACUUUUUUGGAUUUAUCUAUUUUUUUUUUGAAUUUUUAGAAAUUAAUUUAAAUUGAUAGAAUAGGUAAACAAUAGAAUUAAUUUUGUUAUAUUUUUUAAAAUUAUCAAAUUUAUAGAAUAGGUAAAUAUUAAGAGCUAAAAACAUCAAUAUUACAUUAAAAAUUUAACUUAUGAGUAACCUCUUGAAACCGUUUUUUGAACAAAAUUGGCUUAUGAUAUUAUAGAAAACAUAAAAUUUUAAUUUUUAAACCGUUGGGUUUUUACUAAGAAAAUAGAAAUCGCAACCAUUCAUUUUAAUAAGGUGCGAUCGAUCACCUAAUAAAUUAACUUUUUAAAAUGAAAAUUUUUUGAAAUUCUCUUAAAAGGAUAAUUUUUUGAAACUACGUUUAGGGUUUGGGAUAUGUACAAGAAAAAUUAUAACACCUUCGUAAUGCCCAAAAAUUGAUAACUUGUUCAUUACGUGUUGUAUCAUAUCUUAGAAAUAUGAGUUCAAACUUUCAGUACUUAAUUGUCAUCCUUUAAAAUUAAAAUGAAUACAAAUUUAUUUAAUGAGCGAAUUUAAAAUUGAAAUUUGAAAAAUUGUCAAAUUUUGCAUUUUUGUUUAUUUAAAAGACAUUUUUUUUAUUCAUCCGAGUUUGAAAACAGCAUUCCAUCAUUAAACACAAUCAACAAUAUCAUAUUCCAAAAAUUUUGGUAUCGACCUCAUCAAUUUUUUAAUAUUGAAAUGUCAGCAAAAUAUAUUUAACGAAUAUACAUAAUAUCACAAUUAAAUGUCAAUCUCAAUCACGAAAUUCAACUAUAUUUCAAAAAAAAAAAAAUCUUCACAUGGAUUUUAUUUUAUGGUAUAUGUCAUGACAGUUAUUAUAUAACAAGAAAUUGGCAACCUAGCAAUGGCAUGGCGAUAUAAUUUGAACAAAAAAUUUGGGAUAUUCAAGUUUGAAGAGACAUGGAAUCACACUAUAAUAUUAAGGCAUUACAAUAUCUUCAAAAACAUCAGUCACAUAUCUCAACAACAUGAAGAGAAAAAAAUAAAGCUGCAUAAGGGAACUAUACCGAAGUGCCAAGCAUUGUAAUGUUGUGAGUGCUUACAUAUAUGGACGCAUAGAAAUUAAAUUUGAGAACAAAGACUCCUGGGGGAAACCAAAACUUCGAAUAUAGAUCUGGGUGAAACCAGAAUUUUGAAAUGACUAACUGGACGAAACUAAAAUUUGGAAAGUAGACUGAGCAAAACCAGAAUUUGAUUAUUUAGGUGAUUAUUUGAUGCUAAUGGUGAAUUUUAUACUCUUAAUCCUUUAAAUUCAUGUUUUAAUGCAUAAUAGAGCAUUUGGGUGCAAAAUGAGUGAAAACCGAAAAAUCGGAGCAAGUUAUAGGAGCCACAUGGGUUGACCUAUUCCACACGACCUAGACACAUGACCGUGUGAGCCACACAGCCAUGUAGUAGGCCAUGUUGAUUUCGUGAAUUUGCACCCUAAACUGUGGGAAAUCGCAUUUUUUAGAUUUUUCAGGAAUUCUAAGACGUAUAUAUGAUAAAAGUAAAAAGAUAGGAAUGAGUCGUCAUAGAAUACUCAAGAAAACAUCUCGACAAACACCAUUGAAACUAAUUCUAAAGUAGAUUUCCGUCAAGAUUGAAGAUUCUCAUUUGAUUUCUUUGGAGAUUGUCAUGAGUUUCUUUAUUUCUUUUCAAUUAUACUGUGUUUUGGAUUUUUUUAUUUUAUUUUCAAGCAUGAACUAAUUUUCUAAAUACCUAGGGGAGAUGAACCCUAUGAUAAAUUCUGUCUUUUGAUUUUUAUUUUUCGCAAUACAUAUUUAGAUCUUGUUUUCAAUUAUGUGUGCCUAAUUCUUGCUUUAAUAUUUCUAAAUUAUUGAUUUAUAUUUGAUGUACUUAAAUCAGAGGAGGAAAAGACCCUGUCUGAGAGUAGAUCUUGUGUAAUUGAGUGGAGUUACAUGCAAUUCUAGACAUAGAAUGACAUAAAUAUACUGGAUUAGAUUCAAAUCUAAUGGGCGAAUCCAUAGCACGAGUUAAUGCGAUAAUAGGGGUCUUAAUUAGAAAGAAAAUUCAAUUAAUCAACCUAGAGUCAGUUACUCUUCUUCUCGAAAGUGAUAUUAACAUAAUUUAGGGAUUUUUACAGAUCAAUAUACUAAGUAAAGAAAUAGCGUAAUUUAGAUUGAUAGUUACAAAUGAAAUUUAGGCGAAUUCUUUCCUGAGUAUUGUUUCACUUCUUGGUUAUUACUCUUUUUUUUAUUUGUUCUUUGAUCGUGUUCGUUAGUUAAUUAAUUUAGUUAAUUUUAGUUUUAAUCAUUCACUCGAAUUUAUCGGUUAAAUAAUAGAAAGACAAUAAUAACUAGUACUUUUAGUCUUCGUUGGAAUGAUAUAUUUGCUCAUUGUAACUAUAUUAUUAAUUGAUAAGUCCACUUGCCUUAGCCAAAUUUUUAAUUAAUUUCGUGAGACAUUAAUACUUUCUUGUUAUACUACUCUUACAUUGUUCUAUAAAAAAUUACUACAAAAAUACUUUAUAGAAAUUUAUUUUCUUGCUAUACUCUACUCAGUACUUAAUGAACUAUUUUCUUCAGUAUAAAACACAAACAAUCACCAGACUUCAUUGUAUUCUCAAAGUUUAUUUUUUCUUAAAACUCAUUUGCACACUAAGUAUAGGUGCGGUGGAUAGGACUUUAAAGAUAAUGACUUGAUACAUGUCUUGAAGCCUUAUCUUAUUGCUUUGAUUUUCUAUUCGUGUUGUUGUUCAUGCUUCGUUCAUAUGUUUGAGAUUUUCCUCACCAAAAUUCGGCAUUACCAUUUAAUUCUUCUUUAAGUCAUCCCAUAACUAUUUGUUCCAUUAAAUUUUGGUCAUAUCUACUUUCAUUUUUCAAGGGUUUGAUUAAGACUUCAUUAAUUUGUUAACCAUUACAGAAUUUGGGCCGAAGCCCAUAGAUUGUCAUGAAUAUUGGUUUAAUAAGCUCUCCUUUUGAAAACAUCACAACCACUUAUGCUCCUCAAUGAAUCACUACUUUCCCACUACACAAACAAAUUGUCACUCACACAUCAAACAAAUCACAUUCAAGAGACUACAAGGCCUUGUUAACAAAAGCAAACAAGACCUCAUACAAGAGAUGAAAGGGGACCAAUUAACCAGCUGAAACGAAUAAGAAUUCAACGAAGAUCACUCAAAGAAAUUGGAGUGCUUCAAUAUGGUUUCGGUAUUAAGGAUAGCUGGAACAAGAAUAAAAGCAAAGAGGAUAAAGGAAACGAUUUGUACGAGGACGAACAUCUUUGUUUUAGGCACAAACCUGCAGAAAACAUAACGGGCUAUCCGGUAUGAAACCAGCAGUGCUAGCGAUGUUGACAAGCAGUAAUUUAGAAUGCAGAGAGCACGAUAGGUCAAGGGUAUAGUAGUUUGAAGAGAAACCACAUACUGAAGUUUCCACGACCAUGUGGACACAGCAACUAAAAGCAUGUAACAGGUCCCAAACAAGGAAAGGGUUAUGAGAAGAAACAAGCUGAUUGAACGACUUGGUAGGAGAUAUGCUGUUAACCCGAUUGCUGCCCAAAAGGUUAAUGUGUUGUAUAACCAAAACAUGGAUGAUACGUCUAUUAAAUCUGACCAAUUAAUCUGAUCAUCGGCCAGUGGUGGCAGAGGACCUGGUAGGGGUGCAGUGCUGUCGGUUGAUUCUAAAGAUGCGUAAUACUUGAUAUGGUAUUUCAUGGAUGAACUGUUAUCAGCUUUCUUUGGAGGGCUUAAAGAGGCAGCGUAAGUGACUGUUAUAAUUAGCACUGUCACUACUAGAAAUGUAUUACGCAUCUCAAGCGGGAUACCCUUUCUUCCUCGACCUGCCAUUGUUGCAAAUUUUUGAAAACAUGACAUCUUCGGCCUUAAUGAUUUGAUGUGGAUUGAAGAGAUGGACUUAUUGGGAAGCUUGGAACCACACAAACCUCCUGCUUUUGUUAUCAUAUCUUUAACCGAGCCCUUAUAAUUAUUCACUUGCCUUUCAUCCAAUGGACAGUCUGGUUGGAUAUCUAAAGCAGUGGAUCCCUUCAAAUUUUUGGCAUUGAUAUGGUCUCGACGCAAGUGCCCCAGCAAUACUUGCACCACCUGUUAAUUAGAAAAUUCAUGUAAAUAACCCUUUUAUCAUAUACGUAUAUACAUCAAUAAUUGAGUUAACUAGCAAAUUAGCAUACCUGAGGUGAGUUUUUGAUAGCUGAAAUGUGUAGGACAUUGUUGCCAUCAAUGUCUGCCCAACUAAGCAGUUCUUUCUCCCAACGUUGGGCAGCUUCAUGGCGGCUCCUUAUAAGCCACCCCACCAAGACUUGAAAUGCUUCAAACUUGUCGUUUUUUACUGCAAGAUGGAAAACCCUCUCGUCUCGAACAGUCACAUCUUCAACAGCCUCAGGGCAAACCUCAAGGAACUUGAUCAAAAGAUCAACAUCUCCAGUUUGAGCCACAUGAUGCAGAGGGGUCAAGCCUUCCCUUCCUUUAACACGAACAAGGCCUUCAUCAAACUUGAGGAGUCGAAGCACAGCUUGAGUUAUGUUAUUUUGCAGAGCCAAGUGCAUGGGGCUAAACCCAGCUAGAUUUAACUUUCUUGCAAACGAUGGCUUUAAGUUGAUCAUCUCCAUCAUAAAAUCAACAUGCCCAGAACUGACUGCUACAUGCAAUGGAGUGUCAAGAAAAGGAACAUGAUCAAUACGCUCCAAAACAUAUGGAUCUUUCUGAAUUAGCAAAUACAAGACAUUAAUGUUUCCUGUUUGUGCAGCCUCUAUCAUUCUCCAAUCCAUAGCUAUGGAGAAGUGGAGGUAAUAAAUUACGCAGCAAAUUUUCAGGCUACUGAGAAAUGAUGAAAUUUGCAGGAAAACACAGAGAAUAGAGACACAUAAGACAAUAUAAAGGGAAUAGAAGCUAUAUUUAGCAAAACACACAGCAAUCCAACCACAAUUUUAUACAUGACUUUAAACGCGCUAGUCUGAAGAGAAACUUCUUAAAAAGUCGAAGGUAACUUUCACACUCCAAUUACGACUUGUUUAAAAGAAUAGAAAAUAUAGAACCCAUUUUGGUUGAAUGGAAAUCUUACUUCCGAAAAAAAAAAUCUAACCAAAAGGUUAGAGGUACAUAAAAUCGAAAUGAAACCCAACUCCUAGAACAGGAGGACAACAAACAGCUAUCAUCCUGGAUUAAAUAUAAAUGUUAAUUUCAUUCUAGAUACACAAUGCUUAAUAUAAUAUACUUCAACACACUCGAAUCCACGCCCUUCUGACAACAAUGUCAAUUGAACUAAUACGCAAUAAAUAACACCACUAUAUUUAAUUUUUUUAAAAAUAAUAACAUAUAUUUUAAAAAAUUCAAUUUAUAUGAGCCGGCCACCUUGCUAAGAUGAGAUUUUUUUGUUGUUUUUGGUCAUUUGCUUGUUAAAUUAACAAUUUUAUAUGAAUCUAUGUCAAAGCUGAACAUUUGGCAUACAUUCAUAUUAUAGAUGAGAUAGGUGAUUCACAUCAAAAUCAAAAUGUCGAGAGUCAAUAAGAAAUUUGAAAAAUACGAAAAGAGCUUCCAAUGAUAUCAUUGACGUUAAAGUAGGAAGAAGAAACUUGAUCUCUUUUUGUGAAGAAAAGGAAGAGAUCUUAUAUUGGUGGUGGAUUUAAUAAUGAGCCGGCCGUGGACCUCGAUGAAUGGUUGCUUUAUUUAUAUAGGAUUUGGUGGUAUGUAACAGGAUAUGGCUAGACCUCACUAAGAUAUGAUCAACCAUGCUGUAGAUAGUUGGUGGCAAGAUUUCUAUGAUGUGUAUUGGUAGGAUGAAGCUAGAAAAUUUUGUAGGGAUCAAAAUUAAAUUGUAUUUUUACGAUAAUAAAAAUAUAAUUUCAUCAUUUUAAUAGUCUACGUUUUAUAAUUUUUAAAAGAUUAAAUCAAAUUUUUAUCAUUUUUAGGGGGCAAAGUGCAAUUUUACCUUUACUAAUUUAAAAUUUUAAAGAGCUUAAAUGAAAAAUUUUCUAUUUUAGGGGAGACGGGCCCUGCCAGCCCCCUUAACUAGGCCCUUGUGUACUAGGAAGCAACAAAUGUAAUUGGAGGGUUCCGAUUGGAUUUGAUGGUGAUUCCAUAAGCAAACAAGACCCUAGUAAGGGGCGAACGUUUGAUUGAAUCGAGUAAAAAAAUUGAGUUAGUCGAGUUUACAAGCCUUGUUUUUAUCAUCUUAUCUCGACUUGAAUUUUUUUGCAUUCGAGUUCAUUGAAAUAAAAUUUCAUUUAAGUCGAAUCGAAUCAAGUGAAAUUGUUUGAGUUAAAUUUAAAAAAAUUAAACAUGUCAAGAUAAAAUCUUGUUACAAUAUAACUAAUUCUAUGUAAGAGCACAUAAAUUUGAAACAAUAUAUAUAUAUAUAUAUGAAAACUAUAAGAGAAAAAUAUAAUAUAUUUAAUACGAUAAACUUGAAUUGGUAAAUUUACUUGUUUAGAUCCUCAAAAUUAAUGUAUUGAAAAAUUUUAAACAUUUUUUUAUAUAUUCUUUAUUUUUUUUAAUUUUAAAAAAUUAUGAAUUUUUUGGAAUUUUUGAAAAAUAAUUUGAAUAUUUGAAAUUUAUUUUGAAUUGUUUUGUAAAUUUUUGUUGAGAGAGAUCGAUUUGAUCAUUUUUUAAAAUCGAUAGGGGUCAAAGGAAUAUUUACACUAAUCAAUUACACGAAUUGUAAAAUUCAACUCGACUCGAAUUCGAAAAAUUGAACUACUUGUUUAAGUUGACUUGAAAAAAUUGAAUAACUCGAUUAUUUCAAUUCGAUUAACUCAAAUUUUGAAAAAAAUAUUUUUUAAAUUAAAUCGAGUUUUGAUAAACCGCAUCUAUCUAGAUGAAAUGCCUUGAAAUUAGUUCAUCAUCAAUUAGAAAUUAGUUAUUUGACUCCUACUUUAUUUAAUAACAGAAGUCCAAUAAAUUUUAACUUAAUUAGAUCACUUUAAAUUUGGGCUAACCUUUUAAGAUAGUAAAUAAUAACAUGUAGUUGACAUUAUUAUAUAUGUUAUGUCCAUAUUUUUCCAACACAAUUUUAUACAUGACAUUUGGUUUUGUGCAGUUUUACGCAUGAAUUUUUUAUUUGAUUCACUAAAUCAAAGUAUCCACUGGAGCGAGCUCAAUACUAGCCUUUCACGUUCCGUAGGCCCAUUAAAUAAGUAGGCGUUUGCCACGAGUUUUAAAGUUACUCCAUACUUGGACACAGUUAUAUAUAUUACUUUAUUUUGUGUGAUGCACAAAUUUAAUUGUGUGGAUCAAUUAAAAUGUAUUCUCAAUGUUUCUAGUUGUUCGUGCAUUAUGCUACUUAAUCUUUGAUUUUGUCUGGUCGGUAAACAGUACGAAUAAAAAAUUCUUCGUCCUCGUACUAAUCGUUUACAUUGGCAUGGUUUCUAGCCCAAUCUAAAUACCGAAACUGUAAUGAAGUUUUGGGUUUUGUAUUAGUGAUAGUGAUGGGGUAGUUCCCUUCAUCUCUUGUACCGGAGUCUUUUUCUUUUUCUUUUUUUUGGUAUCAAGGGCGAAGGUCAGGUCACAAACUUUUGUUUAAGCCUAAUCGUCUAUUGAAAGGGUGAAUUUGUUUGUGAAGUCGUGGUUGAAUAAGGAUCAUAACCAGCUGUGCUUUUAUUGUAUUUUGUUCUUUUUGUAAUACAUCUUGAAGACAAUUCGAAGUCACAUAUCUUAUUUAUUUAAAAUCAAUAAGACUCAUGCCAAAAUUCCAUUUUCACUUGUAGGUUAAAAUUUUCAUGUUCAGUGUCUUAAAUAAUUAUUUUUAAUAUAAAAUCAAUAACGGUUAAAUACAAUGAUAAAACACAGUGCAUUUUUAAAAAAAGAUAUAAGUUUAAAUAUUGAAGAUAAUAUUGUUGAAUAGACAACUAUAAAAUUUAAAUAUAAAUUGUAAAACAGACAUAAAAAAGAUAUAAAAAAUUACCUUUAUUUAUUUAAUUAAAUAAAUUACCCUUUACAGUUUAAUCUAUACAAUUUCACUAGCCUUUCCCGUAGGAGCAGCCGUGAGGAAGGGACGAAAUGACAAUAGAAGGAGAAAAAUUGGAAGGGUUUAACAAGGAAACAAUAUAAAGUCAAAAAGGGCAGACAAAAAAUUUGCCUUUUCCAUUGAUUUUAGUUCUUGUCUUAUACUAAUAAAAUUAUGCCAUUGAUAUGUUCAUAAACAAAAGUUUCAAGGAAAUGGCACCCCCUGGUCUGAACCACAAAGCCAACUUGAUAUCAAGAAAAGAAAAGAAACCAUAAAUUCUUAUUUAUUGAAAAGGCUAAUAUUUAAAGUAUAAACACAAUUGUGAUGAAAAAAAUAAAUUUACCAUAAUUCCUCUUCAACCACAAUCUUUAAAUAAAAGGAUAAAUGUGUACCAACUAUUAAUCGUGCAUCUAUUUUGUUGAUUAGAGAAGUUCAUUGAACCAAUCAGGCUAUUAGGUAAAGUUGUUAGAGAUGUCUGAAAGAAUUGGGUAAAUAGAGAGAAAUAUCCAGCCAAACAGAGAAAUAUAAAAUGGAAAACUUCUUUUUGUUUGUUUAUUCCAAAAUCUUAACUCUCUGAAUACACAUGUUCAGUAUUUAUAGGCAUGAGUAACCGCUCCAUAUUGAGCAACAACCUUCACCGGAUACAUAACUAACUAACAACCUAUAAUACUCUAAUAUUCAUCCAUCUUCCCCACAGGCAAAACCCGUAGACAAUUCCGAAACCAAGCAAAAAUCGAUAGUGAAAGUGGCUUAGUGAGAACAUCAGCAACUUGAUCACACGCCGGAACCUCGCCAACGGCAACAGUACCAUCAGCAACCUUUUCACGAACAAAAAACAAAUCUAAUUCAACAUGCUUAAACUUUGAAUGAAGAACAGGAUUAGCAGCAACUGCAACCGCACCAGAACUAUCACACCAAAUAUUUGGAAUACUAGAAGACCGAACAUGUAACUCUUGAAGUAACGACAAAAGCCAUGUAACCUCACUAGUAACCGCAGCAAGACUCCGAUAUUCUGCCUCAGCAGUAGACCGAGCAACAACCUGUUGUUUCUUCGUACACCACGACACAGGAUUACAUCCGAAAUAAACACAGUACCCGGUAGUAGACCUUCGGUCAUCAAAAUCUAACCCCCAGUUUGCAUCAGCAUACCCAACUAAGGACAGAUUAGGUGACGGACGAAACAUAAUCCCAAACUCAAUCGUUCCACCUAGAUACCUCAAAAUACGCUUUAGAGCCGUCAUAUAGACAGAAGUGGGACAAUGCAUAAACUGACAUAUUUGAUUCAAAGCAUAUUCAACAUCUGGUCGCAUAAGAGUGACAUACUGUAGUACCCCAGCAAAGCUCCUGUAUUCAGUUGGAUCCUCUAAACACUCACCACCAUCUUUAGUUAAGAAAGAAGAACUAACCAUCAGUGUAUUAACACUCUUCGCAUUUUCCAUCGAACACCGAAUAAGAAUAUCACGUAUAUACUUCUUCUGACAUAGAUAAAGACAACCUGAUGAAGAACGAGUAACUUCUAUCCCAAGAAAAUAAUGAAGAUCGCCCAUGUCCUUAAGUGAGAACUCACUAUUCAGCAAUUUAACAAACCAUUCUAUAACAGAUGGCACAUCACCUGUCACAAUAAUAUCAUCAACAUACACAAGAACAUACAACGUUGAACCGGAAACAACCCGAACAAACAAGGAAGCAUCAGACUUCGAUACUACAAAGCCCACAGAUACUAGAAAUCCUUUUAGCUUCUCAAACCAGGCACGAGGGGCCUGACGAAGACCAUACAACGCUUUCUUCAAACGACAUACCAGAGGUCUGCCAUCGGAACCAUACUGUACAUAGCCAGGAGGUUGAUGCAUGAAGACUUCAGUAUCAAGAUCUCCAUUUAGAAACGCAUUAUUCACAUCCACCUGUCGAAGGGACCACCCCCUAGACAUAGCAAUAGACAGAAUAACUCUGAUAGUAGCCGGUUUUACCACCGGACUAAACGUUUCCUUAAAAUCACAACCUGAAACCUGAGAGCAGCCUUUCGCAACCAAGCGAGCCUUAUGGCGAGUAAUAGUACCAUCAGAAUUCCUCUUAAUCCUGAACAACCAUUUGCAUCCUAUAAUCUUACGAUUAGACGGAGCUGAAACUAGCUCCCAUGUGGAAUUGCGCAUAAGAGCAUCAUACUCAUCUUGCGCAGCAGCACGCCACUCAGCAGUAGCAAGAGCUUCUUCAAUUGUAGAAGGUUCUUUAACCUCAACAUGUAAAACCUUAGGCUUGUAAACUCCCGCUUUAGCUUAAGUGACCAUUGGGUGAGUAUUACCCACAGGUGGUCUACUAACUUGACUGUCAGAUGACGACGAAACGCCUUCAGACAGUCUUGAGAUAGACUGAGGAUGAUCAGUAAAAUCACCUAGUGAAGCCGACUCAUGCAAAAUUGAAAGAGCAUCCAACCCAGACCCAACAUCAUCCGAAGGAGCAUGAGAUUGCACCAAAUCUGUAUUUGAAGUAGAAACAUUAGGCUGAGACUGGAACCCUUGAAGAGAUGGUGACACAACACAAGGCAUAGGAGACGACGAAGAAGAAACAGUGGGCCACACAACGGGAACAACAUUCGAACUAGUCUGACUGGUCUUCGUCAUAGACUUAUCAGGGCUAGACUCAGCAAACAAAAAUCUCUGCUCAUCAAACACGACAUGUCUCAAAAUAAUAACCUUACCAUCCGGUAAAAGACACUGAUACCCCUUAUGACGAGGACUGUAACCCAACAAUGUAGACGGCUGAGACUGAAAAUCCAAUUUAUGACCAACAAACGGACGUAAAUAAGGAUAGCAGCAGCAGCCAAAAACUCGAAGAUGAUCAUAGGUCGGAUCAUUACCAUAAAGUGCCUUAAACGGAGAAUUUCCCUGAAGCACAACAGUAGGAAGUCGAUUGAUCAGAUGAACCGCGCAACAGAACGCAUACCCCCAGUACUGCAUAGGCAAACUCGCAUGAGCCAAUAACGUAAUACCCAUUUCAACAAUGUGACGAUGUUUACGCUCAGCCACUCCAUUUUGUUCAGAAGUGUACAGACACGUCAAUCGAUGAAUAAUUCCCUGGGAUUCCAAAACAGAUGUAAAACCACGGUAUUCUCCUCCCCAAUCACUCUGAAACUGCUUAAUAGACUUGCCAAAUUGUGUCUCAAUUAACUUUUGAAACUGAGUGAAACACUCUAUUGCUUGAGCUUUUUGACGUAUAAGAUAAACCCAGGUAAACCUAGUGCACAUGUCAAUAAACGAAACAUAAUAUCUCUUUUCAUCACAUGCAACAGAUGCGGGACCCCAAAGAUCAGAUACAACUAACUCAAAAGGUUGAUAACUAGUAGUAGAAGGUGAAAAAGGCAACUCAAAUUGACCUCCUGUAACACCUGAACUUGACGAUUCUCACAAUCAACCAACGCAUCAACCACACGCUUUAACGGCAGUACACCAGUCGACAAUCGAACAGACGAGAUGACCGCCUCAUAUUCCGACAGCAAUCCCGCAAGCACCACUUCAACCUUCUCUUCAUCAGAAAUACGCGAACCGGACGUAUCUAACAUAGCACAGAGAUCUUUAAUCUUAGCAACAUAAGUUUUAAUAGAGAGGUUACAUUUCUUCAAGGAAUGAAGCUCAUGCCGAAGUCUCGAUUGCUUGGCGCCAGUAUUGGUCGCAAACAGAUUAACGGCCAUACUCCAUACAUCACAAGCCGUGCAAGCAUCAUCAAAGGAAGAUUGAUGAGAAGAGCUUACUGUAGAUAAAAGCCAGGACGUCAGAAGUCGAUCUUGCUGCAUAAACACCUGAGCCGCCGGAUUUGGAGCACGCAAGCCAUCGGGUAGAAGAUUGAAACGUGAUGGUAGAGCAAUGGUGCCAUCUAAGAAGCCUGUAAGUCCAUAACCAUCAACUAUCAGUUUUACCUGUUUGCGCCAUUGAAGAUAAGUACCUUCAUCAAGUUUAACGACUUCAUGCCGAGGAAAGACAUUCGUGACACGAUCGGCAUCAAACACACCGGAGCUAGGUUCACCAAACUCAGAAUCAACGGAAGCCAUACUAAGAAAAAUCCAGAAUCAACCUGCGAAUGAUACCAUGAAAGAAUUGGGUAAAUAGAGAGAAAUAUCCAGCCAAACAGAGAAAUAUAAAAUGGAAAACUUCUUUUUGUUUGUUUAUUCCAAAAUCUUAACUCUCUGAAUACACAUGUUCAGUAUUUAUAGGCAUGAGUAACCGCUCCAUAAUGUCAUACGUGAAUAGAUUUAAAAAAGAAAGAAAAAAUAACUUUCAUCAUUAUAAAGGAAAAGUGAAAAAGCAAAAGGAAUUAUUAUUUGAUUUAUAGGAGAAAUUUUUAACUCUAUAAAUGAUAAUUUUUUAUAAUUUUUAUUUACUUUUUAUAAUUUUUAUAUUUAACAAAAUUAUUUUUUAAAAAUUUUUACAAUCUAAAUUAAAUUGAUAAAAUAUAUAAAUAAUAAGGUUAAAAUUUUUUUAAUUAUGAUAAAAUUGAUAAAAUAUAUAAAUAUUAUUAAAAAUUAAAUCAUCAACAUUAUUCUAUACUAACGAUUUAACUUAUAACCUGUUAGAAACAAUUUUUGAACAAAAUUGGUUUGAUGAUGGCUCCAAAUAAAUUUCAAGUCUAACGAACUUGUAUCAACAUCACGAAAUUCAACUAUAUUUCAAAAAUAUAUAUAUAUAAAAUAUAUAUAUUUAGGACUUUUUUAUGGUGCAUGUCAUGACAGUUAUUAUAUAACAAGAAAUUAGCAAUGUAAAAAAGGCAUGGAGAUAUAAUUAGAACAAAAAAUUUACAAAAUAGGGACGCUUGGGCUAUGAAGAUACUUAAAGUUUGAAGAGACAUGGAAUAUUAAGGCAUUAGAAUAUCUUCAAAAACAUCAGUCACAUAUCUCAACAACAUCAAGGGAAAAAAAAGAAAGAGCUGCAAAAGAGAACUAUACCGAAGAGCCAAGAAUUGUGAUGUUGUGAGUGCUUACAGAUAGACAUUAAAUUUGAGAACUUGAACACUGCUGCACUGCCACACAGAUCAAAUACUUGAUGGUUUAGUUUUAAGGAAGAAGGUAGUGAAAUUGUUGAUGGGAAAAUGGAGGUUCUAAUCCCGCUCCUUGUUGGAGACAAUUGUCUCAAGCUUUUUCCUUGUUUAAAGGUUCUCACCCCAAAACCCUUGCAUUCUUUUUUUUAAAACUCAAAAAGGAACUUUUAACUUCCUUUCUCCCCACCGCACCCAUGUAACUGCUUAUAUAUUAUAUGUACGUAAUAUGUAUAUAUUAUAUGUAUGUAAUACGUACAUAUUAUAUUAUAUAUUAUAUAACCCCACAUAUAUGUAUAUAUAUAUAUACACAUAUAGCAUUUUGUCCCUCAUUGCACAUCGGGGUUCGACAAGUGUUGCGGCUGAAGUAGUGAGAAUAUACAUUUUGUCUUGAUAGUUUUAAAAAGAUUGUUUUUAAAGAUAUUUUCGAUAUUUCUAAUUUAAAAAGAAAUUUAAUUUUAAUUACUUGUUAAUUUAAAGACAGCUUUAUUAUGACUUUUAAUAAUAGUAUUGUAAUUUUUAGAAAUUGUUCACUUAUCUAUAAAGGAUUGAUACAAAACAAUCUCUAUUUUAUCGAACUAAAGAUGUACACAAUGAUAGAAAUCGAAAUUGCAAAUAAGGAACUUAAAACUUUGUACUUUUGACAUUUGAGAUUGGGCCGUAUUAAGUAAGAAAAAAUUACUAACUUGUGAAAGAUGACAAUUUAAGUACACUUAGGGAAAUUUAUCUCCGACAAUGUGAAUCUUACUUGAAAAGUAAGAUUUCCAAGUAAUCUUUUAUUGAAAAAGGUACUAGAGUAAUUCAACCUUCAGAAUUUAUUCACACUAAUGCAUGUGGCCCCAAAAAUUUAUUGCGCGAAGCGAUUAUGAUUAUUAUAUUAAUUCAAAAUAUAUACAAUUGAUUUACCAUGCAUUGUAUUUUUCUUUAUGAUUCGUUUUACUUUUAGAUUAGGAAGGCCUACAAUAAGUAUGUAAAUGCAAAGAAAAACUGAGUCCAAUAUAUCAGGUAGGGAAAGUUUGUACAUUUAUUCAAGGUUCUUUAGUUGUAAACUAUGUAAUUUGGUUGGUGUUGAUUAAUAAUGAUCUAAAGUUUGUACAUUUAUAGAAGUGGAUGGUCUAAACCGGUGUUGAUUAUGGAUGGCAGAUAUGUGCAGUGCAGUGUUGCUAUCUUCGUCAUUUUUGGUUCAUCACUUGCCAAUGAAAGUCUUUCUUUUUAAGCAUUUGAAUCAACAGUUAAGAGAACAUCCAAUCUAUUGAUUUUAGUUUCUUAGCCGAAUGACGGCUUUUAGUUCAUAAUUUCCAUUGGCGAACCCAAUGCAGCAGCUAAGUGUAAUGAAGUGACAUCAAUGCGGCCUAAAAACAUUUCCAUCUCGGUAGAUUAAUCUAUACAAUUCGCCUUUCCUGUACGAGCAGCUGUGAGGAAGGGGCCAAUUGACAAUAGCAGGAGAAAAUUUGGAGGGGUUUAACCAUCGAAAGCGACUCAUUCAAAAAUUGAAGACUGGUAUGGUCCGUCAAUUACGGUCGACAAGGAAACAAUAUAAAGUAAGAGAAGGUAGACAAUUAUUUUGGUAGUGGUGAAGGUUAAAAGAACUGCUUCUUCCAUGGAUUUUAGAUUUUAAUCAUUCUGUACUAAUUGGAUGAUGCCUUUGAUAUGUUCAUACUUCAUAUUCAAAAGUUUAAACAAACUGGCACCCCGUGGUGUGAACGAGGAAGCCACCUUGAUAUCAAGAACAGAAAAUAAAUAUCAAAAUUAAGUUUUGUUAAUAAAUGAACUUCAUUUAAUUUUAAUUAAAAAAAUACUUUGUUAAUAUUAAUAAGAUUUUGAAAUAUAUUGUCUAAUAUUUUUAAUAAAGAAUAAAUCUUAAAAUCACAUAAAAUUUUAGUUCCAUGUGUAUUGUGUUCUAACCAGAAAUAUGAUAUAAAUAUUAAUAAACAAGGAUAUGUCAUGUCAAAUAAUACAGAAUAAAUUAAGAACAAAACUAAAUGUGAAAGCGUACUUGAAUUCAUUUAAAUAUUGUGGUUUUGAUCUUUAAAAUUAACACAUAAGUGUUUUAGAGAAGGCGAUACUCUCUUUUUUGAAUAAAUCGAUGUUUUUAUUUCUUUAAACUUGAAUAAUUGAAUCAAAAUUAAAAUUUCAAGUAUACAUUUAAACCACAAUCAAAGUUUCAUGUGUAUAAUGGCACCAAAUUAAAGUUCGUGUAUUGAUUUGCAUAUCCAAUCAAUGUUUAUGUACAGUUCUGAGAUUUAUCUCUUUUAAUAAUUUUGAAAUGCAUUUUUAAUAAUUUUAAUUUUUUUAAUUCGAAAAAUAUAGUUUAAGAAAAUCUCAAAUUUUAGGUUUUCUUAAGGAAAGUUCAGAAUUUUACAAAAAAAAAUUAGAAUUUUUCGAUUUUUUAGUAAUUUUAGAGAUCAUAAUGUGUUUUAUUUUUAUUUUGAAUUUUUUAAAAAUAUUAGUUAAAUACAUUUGUCAACCUCUUAAUCCCAAUUGUGGAGUUAAGAAGUUAUAUUAUAUGUGUAUCAAAUAAUUAUCCUUAGCAAAGGGAAGUGAGGAUUAUUAUUUGAUAUAUAGGGGUUCUUUCAACAAAGGAUGAGUGUUCAAUCAAAUCAAGUGAAAAAAAAUUAGAGUUAAUUGAGUUGAUGAGUCAUAUUUUAUCAUCUUAAAUUGAUUUGAUUUUUUUCAAAUCAAGUCGAGUGAAAUAAAUUCAAUUUAAAUCAAGUGAAAUUGUUUGAGUUAUUUUAAAAAAAAUUAAACAUGCCAAAUUGAAAUCUUAUUACAGUACAACUAAUUUUACAUUAAAACACAUAAAAUUGAAACAAUAUAUAUAUUUGAAAAAAAAAUUAAAGCAAAAUAAGAAAAAAAUAAAUAUUCUUUAGUAUGAUAAACUUAUUCAAUCAUCAAUUAUUUUAAUUUUGUAUAUAUAAUAUAUAAAUGUAAAAUGAUGUUAUGUGAAUAGUUUUGUUAAUAAUUUGUAUAUGUAAAAGUGAACACAUAUAUUAUACAUUUCCCUAAUUCACCAGCAAAUCUGCCUUAAUUUUGAUAUGGAUAUACUUAAUACUCGGAUAAUGUUGUGAAUCACAUAUAUUGUUUAAUUUUCUUUUUUGAAGUUUUAAUAUAUUUUAAUGGGUAAGAUAUGUCAUUUUUACUCUUUGAAAUUUUGGAAUUUAGUUCCUAGACUUUUAUUUUUAGGAAUUUAGUCAAUUUACUUUUUAGAUUUUAAAAUCAAAUCCAAUUAUUGACCCUCUUAAAUUUUUUUUGUUAAAUUUAAGUUUAUUAUAACGUUAUUUUUUUUAGUUAUAUCGCUACCAAAUGAGUUUCUUUUCAAAAUGUCACACCAAAAAAAUUUAACAAAAAAAGACAUUUAACAAUAUUAACAAUUGGACCUGAAUUUUGAAAUUUGAAAAGUAAAGAGACUAAAUUCUUAGAAAUAAAAGUACAUGGAUUAAAUUUCAAAAUUUUGAAGAGUAUAGAGACUUAUGGCAUAUUUUAACCUAUUUUUAAAUUGUUUUGAAUAUUUAUCUGCUUGUUUAAUUUUUAUAUUUUUUUGGAUUUUUAAUAAUUUUUGUGAAGUUUUUUAGAAUCAAGAUUAAAUUGAUAUAAUAUGCAAACAUUGAGGGUUAAAUUUAUUAAUUUUUAGAAUUAUGAUUAAUUUGACAGAAUGUGUAAACAUUAAAGGAUGAAUUUGUUAUUAUGUCAAUAAAAAAGUUACGUCAACAUUCUAUUAACAUUUAAUAGAUAAUUAACCAAAAAUAUUACUAUUGAUAACAUUGGUGACAAAACCAAAAAACGUGCUAAUACUUAGUGACUAACAACUCUUGGAUGCAAUGAUACGACUCAUUAUACUCUUAAGAAGAGAACACGAGUUUAAAAAUGAGACACAACAUUAUUAAGAGGGGGAUAAUAACAAACCUUAAACACUUACAGUAAAUAUAUAUCCAGAAUCAUAUGGUGCAUUAAACCAUUCAUUCAUCACUCCUUCAGCUAGCUUUUUGUUUGGUCCAAGAAUUCAUAGUUGGAAAUGUCAUGUAUAAAAUCAACCAUUUUAUUUCAUGUGGACUGGAUACCUUCUUUCUGUGACUUUGCUGCUUGGAAAUUUCCUUGGACCUUCGAAGAAAAUUAACUCCUUAAACUAGAGUUCUGUUCAAAUCAUGUAUAACUUGUGGUCAGAUCGGAAACAUGUGUUUCCGGAAAAUAUAGGUUCUAUUUCUAUUUCUAUGUUGUCUUCUACUUCUUUCUUCUUUGUGUUUGGUUGCAAAUUUCCUUAGUUUUCAGUAAUCUGAAAAUUUACUGCUUAAUUUAUUAAACCUCAAGAGAAAAGCUAUGGAUGAGAGGAUGAUACAGGCUGCCCAAACAGGAGAUAUUAACCUCUUGUAUGAGUUGAUUCUGAAUGAUCCAUAUGUUUUACAGCGUAUUGAUGAUGUGCCUUUUUUUCAUACUCCAGUGCAUGUAGCUGCCUCUGCUGGGCAUAUUGAGUUUAUGAUGGAGAUGAUCAAAUUAAAGCCGACGUUUGCGAGAAAGCUAAACCAAGCUGGGUUUAGCCCCAUGCACUUGGCUCUGCAAAAUGACAGAACUCAUGCAGUGCUUCGACUCCUCAGGUUUGAUGAAGGCCUUGUUCGUGUCAAAGGGAGGGAGGACCUCACUCCUCUGCACCAUGUAGUUCAAACUGGAAAUGUUGAUCUUUUGAUCAAAUUACUUGCGGUUUGUCCUGAGGCUAUUGAAGAUGUGACUGUUCGAGAUCUUGCAGUAAAAAACGACAUGUUUGAAGCAUUUCAAGUCUUGGUGGGGUGGCUUAUAAGGAGCCGCUAUGGAGCUGCACAACGUUGGGAGAAAGAACUGCUUAGUUGGGCGGACAUUGAUGGCAACACUGUGCUGCACAUUGCAGCUAUCAGACACAGACCUCGGGUAUAUGCUAAUUUUCCUAAUCAAGUCAAUUAUUGAUAUGUAUGUAAGUAUGAUAAAACGGUUAUUUAUAUAUGAAUAUUCUAAUUAACAGGUGAUGGAAGUAUUGCUGGAACACUUGCAUCCAUACCAAAUCAAUGCCAAAAAUUUGGAGGGACUGACAGCACUAGAUAUCCAAUCACAAUACCCAUGGAAUGAAAGGCAAGCGGAUAGGACUAUAGAUAUGCUAAGCAAAGCAGGAGGCUUGAGUGGUUCCUCUUCCUCGCUUCCCAAUACCUCCACCUCUUCAUUCCACAUCGAUUCUUUAAAAGAAAAGAUGACAUGGUAUGAAAAAUGGAUAAAAGCAGGUCGAAGAAUGAAGGGUAUGCCACAUGAGAUGCGUAACAUAUUACUCUGCUAAUUAUAACCACCACUUACGAUGCCUCUUUAAACCCUCCAAAUACGCCUGAUGACAGCCCAUUCAAGAACUACCAAUUCUCUUUAAGUCAAGACCAGCCUCUCAAUUCCCACACAUUUUUGCAUAAAACCGACAUCAAUACUGCGCCCAUGCCCAGUCCCUCCGCAAUUGACGUUUUCAUAAAAGAUGAAUGGUCAUCUGAAUACUCCUCGUUUUGGGCUUACAACUCGUUAACCUUUUGGGCAGCAGUUUUUUUAACAGCAAUUCUCCUACCACCUCAUUCAUUCUGUACGUUGGUUGAUACUCCUAGCACUUACCGUGUUUGGGAGAUCUUACAUGCAUUUAGCUGCUGUUUCGACGUGGUCACGGGUACCAUUACCAUAUGCCAGUGAAAAGGCAUACUCAUAUUUUUCUUCAGGCUCCGUUUAUAAUCAAGCAUUCUUAACGUUUCUGCCUGUCCUUAUGGUAUUCCGGGCAAUCUUUUAUGACCCGCAAACAUUACCAAACCAAAUUUCUCCAUGCUACUAUUAUUUGGUAAAGUUCUCUGGCAUUGUAUUCAAGAGAAGGUCACGGCGAGACGAGCCGUUUAUCAUUACGAUAGGUGUCAAGUGGAAGUGCAGUGAUGUAUGCAGCUGAGGCAUCCUAACAGACCGGUAGACUUGAACCUUGUUCCUACAUGACCCGAUCAAUUCGAUCAGGCACUCGCCAUCUAUUUUCAUUGUUCAACUCUUUGACAACACGAAAAAUCCAUUGUUCAACUCUUUGACAACAUGAAAAAACCAAAAGCUCUGCCCUCCCUCUCUAUCUAUCCAUGGGAUGGAAGGGCGGAGGCCUUUGGUGUCCCCUCCAGUCAAGAAUUGGGGCCUCAUAGAGAUAGCAAGCAAAACAGAAAAGAAUCAGAGAAACGAACUAGUAACUAGAAAAUAGAGAAAAGAGCUCAUUUUGUGUAUUGAAUCAGAUCAUCAAUUACAAUGUAGCAAAGAACUUAAGUAAUUAAAUUAGUUACUUAAGUUCUUUGCUACAUUGUAAUUGAUGAUCUGAUUCAAUACACAAAAUGAGCUCUUUUCUCUAUUUUCUAGUUACUAGUUCGUUUCUCUGAUUCUUUUCUGUUUUGCUUGCUAUCUCUGGUUGCCUUCCUUGCAACUGUCGCCGGAGCACUGCCAUUUUCACAUGGUAUCAAAGCAAAGGUUUUUCGACCAGUAGAUCGACGAUUACUCAUUUUUAUGGAUCCACCAUCAAUUCCCAUUGUUGCUUAGGUCAAUCUGUCUUUUACAAAUAACAAAAUCAGUGUUUAUCUUAAUGAUCAAUGUUUAUCAAAAAAAAAAUGGUGGAAAUCCACUUUCAAAAUGAAAAUCACCUAAAAAUUGAAUUUAUAUUUUUUUGAAGUUUGAAAAUAGAAAUAAAUCAUUUGGUUAUAUUGAAUCGUUGAAUAUGAGAAUAUUAAAUAUAUUUUAUUCUAGAUUCUUCUACGUAAAGUCGUCAUGAUUUUAAUGGAAUUAGAAUUGGAUUGAGAAAAUUAUUUAAAUAAAAAAUAUCGGGUUGAAUCGAAUUAUAAAAUAUUGGAUUAAAAGCUCAAAAAGUACUUGGACUUGGACCCAAUAUGGAAUAGUCCCAAAAGCCCUUUAUGUGAAAAGAGGUGGAAGUCUAACCCUAGUAAAAAUAGCUAGGGUUGUCGCCACCUAUAUUCUUAGUUGGACCAGGAGUUCGUUUUACUAGUUGAAAUAAACUUCUAUAAUUCAACAAGAAUUCUACCUUAUUUCCCUAUAAAUAGAUUACAUCAGUAGGGUUAUUUACAAAACUUUCAGAUAUUAUUAUUUUGCCUGAAAAUAGAGAGACUUUUAUUCUCUAAGAAUUAAAUAUAUUUUUUGGAAUAAUGAUUAUAUCGGUUUCUAUUUGAGAAGAGAUUUUCGUUUCCACAAAAAAAAAUAUUUCUAGUUCUGUGUUUGAUUCGAUUUAUUCGAGCCCACACUCAAAGUAGCUCGUGGUACGAGAAUAGCAUAAAAUAUCGUUUGGUUGAAAGUCGGGAACGACAAUAAUCCGUCUAUCCAAAAAUGCAGGUGCGAAUUCAGCCUAAAGUUUAUUACUAUAAAACCAUUUUUGAACCUAAUUUUUUUCAACAAGAAAAUCAUUUUCGAACCUAAUUUUUUUCAACAGUUAGUAUUAGAGCGUCAAGUUGUGCUAUGUUUAUAGUGUAAACCGAUAUCAAAAUUCUCUCUCUUCUUCAUGAUUAAUUAUAUUUGAUAAAAUGUGACAUUCUUGUGAUAAUAUGCAUGCAUGUUUACGGGAAUGUAUGCGGAUGAAUAUAUGAUAUUAUUUUAUUGCUAUGGAUGAUAAAGUAAAUUUGCCAAAGUUGUGAUUCCUAGAAAAUAAUAAUAAUUUAUUAUUAAUUUAGAUUGUGAACUAUCAUCUUCAUGCAAGAUUUAUUUUAUUUUAGAAUAAAAUAUGUGAGUAGGAAACGGAAAUAGGAAUUUCGUAACCUAAAUUUUCCCACCGAAACCCGAGAACUGAGAUAACGCAAAUUCAACCUAGCCAAAACAGCAAUGGCCGGAGGUGGUUCGAUGAAAGUGGUCGGUGGUGAUCCGACGGUGAUCGGCAAUGGUGACGACACAAAAACGAUGGCGGAAAGAUGAUGACAAAAACAUGAACCGCUAAAGCAGCAGAAGUCUGUGGUGACAAAAUUGAAGACUCAAAGUAUGCUUUGGGGUGAAUUUUGUAAUCUUAUUUUUAUUUAUUUUUGGCUUGUUAGAGUUGCGACCCAAAUUCUUUUUAAAAUAAAAUACCAGUGGCAAGAUGAGGGGAUCCACGAGGGCGACUUCUAUUAAAGUCAUGACGACUUUAUCAUACUAGAAUCUAUGAGUAAAUAAAUUUAAAUUGUCUUAUUUCGUAAAAUUGCAAUGACUAAUUGAUUUAAUUCCCACUUGAAACUUCAACUAUUUAAUUAUAACAAAUUAAUUAAUAAUUUAAAUAAAUUAAAUUAAUCAUUAAGUUAUCUUUUGUACCUCAUGAGAAAAUGCAUUCACUUCGAAUAGUGAUACAUGCAAUAUGUUUCUCUAUUUGUUGUUUUCAUUCACUCAACAUAUCAAUUCAAAUGCAAUUUAUAAAUGGUUGUGUUGAGCUAGCAAAGGGACAAUUGAAUAUAUAUAAUUAGGGCUCAAAUAAUUUAAAAUUAAGUUCUAACUCUUCCCUAUUAAUUACAACAUUAUUUAGUCAUAGAGUUAAUCCACUAAAAAUACCAUAACUAAAUUCUCUCUUAUUAUAUACCAUUACGAAAGCAACUGAAUUUAUAUUUGUCUAAUGACCUUGUCAUAUGUGUGUUGCCCUCAUAGGAUAUCAUUUAUCUCAUUGGGUUAAAUCUGUUCAAACAAUAUGAUCAUAUUUUAUCUCAUGAUGACCACCGCAUCUUCCACCAUGAAAAAGCCAAUUACUAAUACAUAGUAAUUAAAUCAUUUUUCCUAGACAAAUGACCCAUGACAACGUUACUUCUCCAUCAACCACGCAAUGUCAAAGAGAAGAUAUCAUUAACCAUUUAUUAGGCUAUGAAUUUCAUUGUUGUAAGUAAACCAAUGUCAUGCAUAAGUGUAAUACCCAAUAUACUGACUUUUGGCUCUAUUACAAAUUGAACUCUGGCUUUCAAUAUAUCAAAGUAUACAAGUUACAUACACAUAGUCAGUUACUUAUUCAGGAUUGAGGUAAGUCAUACUAUGAAUGUCACAAGCAAAUAAAUCCAUAAACAAAUGUAGGAUAAAUUCAACUUGGGUCUUGUCUGAUGUAUUAUCAAUCUAGACAAUCACACCUAUGUCUCUAUGUUUUGGGGAGUCAUACGUUCCAGUACCUAGGAUAAGAUAUUUCCCCAAUUGGACUUGAUAGACGACACAAUAGUCUCUUGAAUAAUUUUGCUCAAUUUUGAUUCUUUAGACCAUAUAGCAUUUAGAUUAUCUACCAAUAUAAGUUGUCUCAUAUCAUGAUCUGACCACAUGAUGCAACUUAAUAUUAGUUAAACAUUAAUUAAUCAGUGAGCCAAUAUUUACUUAUACAUUUUGGUUUUUAUGCAAAAAUCAUUGAGGAUAGAAAAAGGAUAAUAAUGUAAAUGAUGGAAUUUUACUAAAUAAAUUUAUUCAAAAAAUUACAAGCAUAUAUGACAAAAUAACUACACUAAAGACACUAGAUCAUAACGAAAGAAGCACUCUCUAUUUUUACAUUUCAUUUUAGAGUGACUAGCAUAAGCUUAUGGUGGAAAGUGAUAGCCAAAUCAUUUUGAAUCCAAUGUAAACAUGUUAUUUGUUAUGAUAUAUGGAAAAAUCUGACAAAAAUUAUAUAAAAAAAGGAAUGGUAAUAUUAUUAAAAGUGUAACAUUUGAAGUAUAAUGUAAUAGAAAAAAUAUUUUACAAAUAGACAAAAUAUUAAUUUUAGUUGAGAUGUACUUUAAAAAUAUAUAAUAAAAAAUGGAAGAAUUUAAUUCAAUAGUUAUUAUUAUUUUGUUUAUGUUCAAGUAAAAUGAAUUAAAAUCAUUAAAAAUAAGAGUAAAAUAAAAAAAAGGUGAUAUACCUUCUAAUUCUUUGGUAUUAUUGGGAAUAUAAGGUUACCUGCUUGUUAGUUGGAUUUUAUUUUUGGAUUGUAUUUUGUCCAUUUUAUUAAAAAAUGACAAAUUAAUCUUGUUAGAUUAAAGAGCAAAUUAGUACUAUUAAAAGUUGGUUCAUUUACAUUAGCAUGAGAUACACAUGGCACGACGCGUGUAACUGUUUGAUUAUGUCAUCAGUCAUACCAAUUUUUAACGGUAAAAAGAGAAAAAAAUUUACAAAAAGAAAUUAUUUCCUUUUUGAUCCAACCUAAAAGAAUUAAACAAUUACAUUGUUUUUAAAUAAUAGUUUAAGAACAUAUAACAAUUACAUUGUUCUAAGCAUUGUAUCAAUAAAAAAAGAAAUCAAAUAAUUAAUUGCCAGCUCAUCAAUAUAUAUAUUUCAGAAUGCCUAAAUGGACAAAUAUAAAGUUUUGAAGGGUGAAAUUUUUAUAAUUUGAAAAAUAAAAAACAAAGUUAAAAUAUACUAGCGGUUUGAGAAUUAGGUUAUUGCAUGGGAACCAUCUAUUGUAAGAAUGUUAUAUGGUCUAAGAGGGCAAAUGAUUCUGCUCAUUUUAUAAAAUAUACAUCAUGUUUUUUUUUCCUUAUGGAGUCUUCAUUUUUCUUUUAUUGGGAAUUAUCCAUAUUUAUGGAAAAUCAAAGAUAUGGGUAUCAAAUAAUAGAAAGUCAAAGAUAUGGAUAUCAAAUAUUGGAAAGUCAAAGAUAUGGGUAUCGAGAUAUUGGCAUAAUAAAAUCUGAGAUAUUUGCAAUAUAUGGUCCCUAAUUGUAAAGUGACUUUGCAAGUUGAUCCCUGAACCUCAACUAUAAAUAAGCAUGACCAUCUCUCAUUCUGUAUCUCAAACUUGCCAUUCUCUACUUAAGGCAUUGUUUUUUCUCUCUCUCUUUGUAAAUUCUCACUUGUAUUUUGGAGUGAAAUAUAUUUGGUAGUGGCCGAGGACGUAGGCAAAAUUUGCUGAACCUCGUUAAAUUAUUGUGUUCUUUAUUGUAUUAUUCUGCAUGAAUUGUGUGUGUGAUUGUAGUGAUUUAUUGUGCUAUUAAAUUAAGAUUGAGGGAUAUUCUGGCUAGGAAAGACCUGGUACUUAAGAGAUCCUUGUGAUCCACCUCUCUUUCCAGGGAAUUGAACUUAGUGUGAUUUUUUAGUACAAUAAUUUUACUCUUUUACACGCUUCCGCACAACAAUUGGUAUCAGAGCUAGAUUCAUACUUGGGGAAUACGAUCGUUCACGGCACUGUUCACGUACUGUAGUUGGGAUUGAGGAGAAAAAAUGGAAAAGGCAUCGUCAUCAACAAAGACUACUGUGACCAAUGCGAAAUUUGAAGUAGAGAAAUUUGAUGGUACCAAUAAUUUUUGUAUGUGGCAAUGUGAGAUCCUGGAUGUCUUAUGUCAGCAAGAGCUGGAUAUAGCCCUUGAAGAAAAACCUGACAAGAUCGAUGACAAGGAGUGGGCCAAGAUCAAUAGACAGGCAUGUGGAAUAAUUCGCCUAUGUUUGGCCAAAGAGCAGAAGUACUCUGUCAUGGAGACAUCAGGGAAGAAGUUGUGGGAUACACUGGAAGAAAGUUUCUAACAAAAAUUCUUGAAAAUAGGCUUUAUAUGAAAAAGAAACUUUAUCGGUUCACGUAUGCACCCGAUAUGUCGAUGAAUGACCAUGUGAACUCAUUCAAUAAAAUUUUAGCAGACUUGCUAAAUUUGGAUGAGAAAUUUGAAGAUGAAGACAAGGCAUUACUGUUGUUGAAUUCUCUUCCUGAUGAAUAUGAUCAUCUUACCACCACAUUGCUUCAUGGGAAGGAUACAAUCACAUUUGAUGCAGUCUAUAGUGCGUUGUAUAGAUCUGAGACUCGAAAGAAAGAUAAAAAAGAUCACAAAGAUACAACUACAGAAGUCUUAACAGUAAGAGGUCGUUCACGCAGCAACAAAUCUGGUAGAAGGAGUAAGUCCAAAGGGAGACCUGCCAAAGAUGAAUGUGCUUUUUGUCGUGAGAAAGGGGCAUUGGAAAAAGAAUUGUCCUAAGUUACAAAAAGGUAAAGCUAUUUCUGAUACAUGUGUAGCGGAGCAUGAUGAGGAAUCAGACUUUAGCUUGGUUGGCAUGGCAAUGGCAUGUCAUACAGAUGAGUGGAUUUUGGAUUCAGGAUGUACUUACCAUAUGUGUCCUAAUAAGGACUGGUUUUCUAGUCUUGAAGAACUAGAAGGUGGAGUUGUUUUUAUGGGCAAUGAUAAUGCUUGUAAGACAAUGGGAGUAGGUACAAUCCAAUUGAGGAAUCACGACGGCUCAAUUCAAGUCUUGACAGAUGUUCGCUACAUACCUAGCUUGAAGAAAAAUCUUAUCUCAUUAGGGGUCCUAGAAUCUAAAGGGCUCACAAUCACUUUGAGAGAUGGAUUACUAAAGGUAGUAGCUGGGGUAUUGACGGUGAUGAAAGGCACAAGAAGGAAUAAUAUGUACUAUUUAAAUGGAAGUACAGUUAUUGGAUCAACAUCAACAGCUUCUACGAAAGAUGCAGAUUCAGAGGCUACCAGGUUAUGGCAUAUGCGAUUGGGACAUGCUGGUGAAAAAGCUUUGCAGAGUUUGGCGAAGCAAGGCUUGUUGAAAGGUGCAAAUUCUUGCAAAUUGGAAUUCUGUGAACAUUGUCUUCUGGGCAAGCAGACGAGGAUAAAAUUUGGUUAGCAAUUCACAAUACAAAAGGAAUUCUGGAGUACGUUCACAGUGAUGUGUGGGGACCUACUAAAGUGGCUUCUUUGGGAGGUAUGCACUAUUUUGUUACUUUUGUUGAUGAUUAUUCAAGAAAAGUAUGGGUGUAUCUAAUGAAAAGGAAAAAUGAAGUUUUGGAUGUAUUUCUGAAAUGGAAGAAUAUGGUGGAGACCCAGACUGGUCGAAAAGUCAAACGACUUCGAUCAGACAAUGGUAUUGAGUACAAGAAUGAUCCAUUUCUACAAGUAUGUCACGAUGAAGGCAUUGUAUGACACUUCACUGUUCGAGAUACACCACAACAGAAUGGGGUGGCAGAACGUAUGAAUCGGACUAUACUGGAGAAAGUUCGAUGCAUGUUGUCCAAUGCUGGAUUGGGCAAAGAAUUUUGGGCUGAGGCAGUUACAUAUGCGUGCCAUCUAAUUAAUCAGUUGCCAUCAGCUGUAAUAAAUAGAAAAACUCCUAUGGAGAGGUGGGGUGGUAAACCUGCUACUGAUUAUGAUUCUUUACAUGUUUUUGGUUCCACUGCAUAUUAUCAUGUAAAAGAAUCUAAGUUAGACCCAAGAGCAAAGAAAGCAUUAUUCAUGGGUAUAACUGGUGGAGUAAAAGGAUACCGUCUCUGGUGUCCUGAUACAAGGAAAAUUAUUUUCAGUAGAGAUGUGACUUUUGAUGAAUCAACCAUGAUGAAGAACAAUGAUUCACAAAAGGAUAACACAACCAGUGGCACUUUGCAGCAGGUGGAGCUUGAAAAGGUUAAUGAUGAUCCAGCUAAUAUUGAAGGAACAAAUGAUGAAGAAGUUUCGACCCAAGAACUUCUACAGCAACAUGAUUCAAUUGCAUAUAAAAGGCCAAGAAGAGAGAUUUGUAUGCCUGCUCGCUUUAAUGAUAUGGUGGCCUAUGCACUUCCAAUUACAGAUGAUGAUGUUCCUUCUACUUACACAGAAGCAAGAAGUAACCCUGAUGGUGUAAAGUGGAAGCAAGCUAUGAAUGAAGAAAUGCAGUCUCUUCAUAAAAAUAGGACUUGGGAGUUGGUGACACUACCCAAAGGAAAGAAGGCAAUUGGAUGCAAAUGGGUAUAUUCAAAUAAGGAAAGAUUUCCUGAUAAAAAUGAAGUUCGAUACAAGGCUAGAUUGGUAGUAAAGGGUUACGCUCAGAAAGAAGGAAUAGACUACAAUGAAGUAUUUUCUCCAGUUGUGAAGCAUUCGUCUAUUCAGAUUUUGCUAGCCUUGGUUGCGUAAUAUGAUCUUGAACUAGUUCAGCUCGAUGUGAAGACCACAUUUUUACACGGUGAUUUGGAAGAGGAAAUCUAUAUGACUCAGUCAGAUGGAUUCAAGGUUACUGAUAAAAAAAUUGGGUUUGCAAACUGACAAAGUCGCUUUAUGGAUUGAAACAAUCUUCGAGGCAGUGGUACAAACGAUUUGAUCAGUUCAUGAAAGGGCAAAGGUAUACAAGAAGUAAAUUUGAUCAUUGCGUGUAUUUUUAGAAGCUACAAGAAGGAUUUUUCGUAUACUUGCUCUUAUAUGUUGAUGAUAUGUUGAUAGCAUCUAAGAGUAAAGUUGAAAUUGAGAGAUUGAAGACUCAACUCAACCUUGAGUUUGAGAUGAAAGAUCUAGGUGAAGCUAAGAAGAUCCUUGGUAUGGAAAUAUGUAGGGAUAGAGCUCAUGACAGAGUUAGUUUGUCUCAGAAGCAAUAUUUAAAGAAGAUACUACAGAAGUUUGGCAUGAACGAGCAGACUAAAGUUGUAAGUACCCCGUUGGCUUCUCAUUUCAAGCUUUCUGCACAACUAUCUCCUUCGACAAAUAUGGAACAAGAAUACAUGUUACAAGUUCCGUAUUCUAAUGCAGUAGGUAACUUGAUGUAUGCAAUUGUGUGUACAAGACCCGACAUUUCACAGGCAGUUAGUAUAGUGAGCAGGUAUAUGCAUAAUCCUGGAAAAGGACAUUGGCAAGCUGUGAAAUGGAUUCUACGGUAUAUUCAUAAGACCAUGGAUAUUGGAUUACUGUUCAAACAGGAUACUACACUUGGUAAAGGUAUUGUUGGGUACGUUGAUUCUGAUUAUGCCGGUGAUUUGGACAAACGAAGAUCAACCAUUGGUUAUGUGUUUACUCUUGCUGGAGGACCAAUAAGUUGGAAGUCUACACUGCAGUCUACAGUUGUGUUGUCAACCACAGAAGCUGAAUACAUGGCUGUAACAGAGGUUGUAAAGGAAGCUAUUUAGUUACAAGGUAUGGUUAAAACCUUGGGUUGGUUCAGGAGCAUAUUAAUGUGUAUUGUGAUAGUCAAAGUGCUAUUCAUUUAGCAAAGAAUCAAGUCUAUCAGGCACGUACAAAGCAUAUCGACGUACGUUUCCAUUUUGUGCGGGAAAUUAUUGAUAAGGGGAAAAUUCACCUUCAGAAGAUUAAGACUGCAGAUAAUCCUGCAGAUAUGAUGACCAAGGUGGUAACAACAAUCAAGUUCGAACAUUGUUUGAACUUGAUCAAUAUUCUGCAUGUUUAAUAGUUGAAGAAUCCACUAUCAAGUGUUGUUGACAAAGGCAGAGAGAAUUGUGUGAAGAUAAGAUUACUCGAAUCAAAUCUUCAAGGUGGAGAUUAUUGGGAAUUAUCCAUAUUUAUGGAAAAUCAAAGAUAUGGGUAUCAAAUAAUAGAAAUUCAAAGAUAUGGGUAUCAAAUAUUGGAAAGUCAAAGAUAUGGGUAUCGAGAUAUUGGCAUAAUAAAAUUUGAGAUAUUUGCAAUAUAUGGUCUCUAAUUGUAAAGUGACUUUGCAAGUUGAUCCCUGAACCUCAACUAUAAAUAAGCAUGACCAUCUCUCAUUCUGUAUCUCAAACUUGCCAUUCUUUACUUAAGGCAUUGUUUUCUCUCUCUCUCUUUGUAAAUUCUCACUUGUAUUUUGGAGUGAAAUAUAUUUGGUAGUGGCCGAGGACGUAGGCAAAAUUUGCUGAACCUCGUUAAAUUAUUGUGUUCUUUAUUGUAUUAUUCUGCAUGAAUUGUGUGUGUGAUUGUAGUGGUUUAUUGUGCUAUUAAAUUACGAUUGAGGGAUAUUCUGGCUAAGGAAGACCUGGUACUUAAGCGAUCCUUGUGAUCCACCUCUCUUUCCUGGGAAUUGAACUUAGUGUGAUUUUUUAGUACAAAAAUUUUACUCUUUUACACGCUUCCGCACAACAUCUUUAAUGAUAAAAGCUUAAAGAAUAAUCUUUAAAAUUUGGUUGUUGGUAGCUUUAUUUGGGUAGAAUUUGAGAUUUAGUUCAUAUAUUUUAAAUGUUAAAAUUUUAAUUUUUUUUACUUUUUCAAUUUAAUAUUGUAAAAUAAAACCAUAAAAAAUUGUGUACAAAUAGUAUUGAAUUUACAUAAAAAUAUAUAAAAAAUGCAGGAUAAAUUUGAAUAAUAAUACAUGAACACUUAAAAUGAUAAUAUAUGAAAAAAAACUUAAGAUAAUAAUAUACGAUAAAUUUAAACAAUAUUAAUAAUGAAUUUAAAAUAAUAUUAAGCAUAAAUAUUAAAAUAAGGUUAGAUUUAAAAAUAUAUAAAAAUAAUGGAAUAAUAAAUACUUAAAUAAAUUAGAAAAAUAAGCAAAUUAAAUCAAGCUAAUAAGGAUUAAAUUGGAUUUAAAACAAAAUUAGAAGGUAAAAACGUAAAUAAAAUAAAAUAAAGGACCCAAUUGAAAAGCGCGAAUAACUCAAAGGGACCAAAUGGGGAAAUAUCCCCGCCUUUUGAAAUGCAUCGUUUCACCAGGACCAAAUCAGAAACCAAAUAAAAUUUAAAGUAUCAAUUGAAGAAAAUAAAAAAAUUGAAUUAAAAUAAUAAAAAAUACGGAGGGGGCAAAUGCAUAAAUAUCCUUACCAAGACCAGAACAGGCAGAUCUAGCUGCCUCUGGGUCGAGUCAUCGGGUAUAGUCAAUACGGCACCGUUUUGGAGCCAUUGAAACAGACUUUAAAUGGUGUCGUUGCAUGGCCUUUAUAAAACAAAAAAAAAGAAAAAUAAACAAGUUUUUAGCCAUUUCGAAUCAGAUAAAAACCUUAGCCACACGCCGUUUAGAAGCCUGGCCAUUCAAAGGCCAAUCGAUCCCUGUCUGAACUUCGAUUGCGACAGAGUGAGCAAGGAUUCGACACCACCAAGUAAUUUUCUCACCUUAAAUUGUUUUUUUCUUUUUUUACACAUGAUGAGUAAACAAAUAGAUGAGUCUAGAACAGAAAAGAAAAACAACGAAAAGAAAAAAAAAGGUUUCAAAUCACCUUUAGAAAAUUCUGAUUCUUUGAUUUUUCGUCCCCUUUUAUAGAUUUGUAAUUGGCUUUUUAUAGCCGAAACGAAAAAAAGAAAAUAUGUAAAAAAGAAAUCUAUUAUGUUAUCUAGCUAUUUUCAUUUGCUGGCAUAUUGUUGCUCGCUUUUUACUGUUAUUCGUUUCUAUUUCAGGUGUACGAAGGAGCGAUGACGUGGAGGUGCAACACGCGUGGAGGCCUGGUUCCCAGCUGCGGCGUGGACUGUUCCAAAAACCCUAGGGGUUUCUGGAGAUUUCAAAUUGGGCCACUUCAAAUCGGGCUAGGGUUUAAUUAAGUCUAGGAUUGUAUUAGGUCUAGGAUUGGGUUAGAUUUUGGGUUUAGGCCUCAAUCCGAAUUUGGCCUAUUGUAACUGAACUUUUGGACUUAUUAAUGGUUAUUUUGGGUAUUGGGCUAUUAGGGUUUGUUGGGUUUGGGUUUUAGAUAUUUGGGCUGAUUUGUGUUUGUUUAUUUUGGGUUGUUUGUGUAAUUCUGGACUUUUUAUUUUAUUGGACUUUUAUUUUUUGAUUUGGUUUUUUUUGUGUGGGCUCGAGCAGAUUGGGCCUGCUACAAUAUUGAUGCAAAACUUUGUCACUAAAGUGCAAAUUGUAACAAUAGUUAAGUAGUCUUUUGUUCGAAUAACAUUAGAAGCACAUCAAAGUCAAAGCACAUAGACUUUAAGUUCAUUGUUGUUAAAAUAAAAGUUUAGGGUGGUUAGAUGUCUAUAAAGUAUAUUGAGACAAACUCCAUGGUUGUGGAUUCGCUUAUUAAGGGACUACCACCCAAAGCUUUUUUCCUGAGCACACUGUUGAUAUGUGUGUAAUGUCAUUCAAGGAUAUUUGAUUUUAGUAGGAGUUUGUACUUUUAAACGUUUUUAUGUUAUAAAUACAUUUUCAAUUAUUUUAGUUUACAAAUAUUAAGUUUUUUUUUUUUGUAGAAAGAAAGUUUAUUUGGUAAAGUUUGAUCUCACUAAGAUUAAUGUGGACCGGUUAGAAUAUGCAUGUUUGAAUCAUAUUACAUGUAAUUUUCAUGUUACACAUCCAUACUUAAUCUAUGUCAUUUGGUUGUGCUAAUAUAUGUGAUUAAGGCUGGAUUUAGUUAUGAUAUAUGUAACAAAGUUGCAUUCUUUCUAUGUUAACAUAAUUAAUGGACAGAUUGUUCGAAAUACCUUUUAGAUACGAUAGUAAAAUUUUGAGCUCAUAAAGUUAUAUAAUGACAUGUAAUUAUAAGGUAAUCGGUAUAUAUAUAUGUCAUCCAAGUGGUAUAUAUGGACAUCACAUAUAUAAUAAGCAUGUUACAUGUUAUUAUUUACUAUCAUAAAAGAUUAACUCAAAUUAAAAGUGAUCUAAUUUGGUUAAGAUUUAUUGGAUUUUAGUUAUUAAAUAAAAUAUAGGUCAAUAAUAUGUGUAGAUACUCUAGUAACUAAUUUCUAAUUUAUGAUGGGCUGAUUAGAAAUUAGGUUAAUGUGAAAAUGUUAUAUAUUAGGAUUUUGGUCUCCAAGUUAUGCAUAUGUAACUUUUCUAAUAUCCCAUCUUGAGAAAAGAGAGAGUCACAUUCUUUAGAUUACUUGUGAGCUAAUUUGGAAGAUCAAAACCUUAAAAUUCGUAGAUUUCAAGAAAUCGGUAAAUUCAAAUACGCUUCUGCAUUUAGUUUUGUUCUUAAUUAUUUGACAUGAUAGAUUCUGGUUUAUUAAGUUUUGUAAAAGAGUUUUACGGUUUUAAUAGGAUAAUUACGAAUCCCAAAUAUAAACUGUAAAACGGACAUGAAGAAUAUAAAAGAAAUAUUACAAGAAUUUUGAAAGAGAAAAUUAAAUUGAAAAUUUUAAUGUUAUUUUUAUCUUUCAUAAUUAUUUUUAUUUAUAUUUUAUUUACAAGAACAUUUUAUUAAGAGUUUAUUAGGAUUAAGUUUAUUUUUACUUUUAUUAAAUAAAUGUUAGACUAAAAAUAAACUUUUUUUUCCACUGUUGGUAUAAUGGAUAGUAGGCUAGGUUGUCCUUUUUUAUUUGUUUAGGCACCCGUGUACGAGAAUAAUUUAUAUUAGAAUAGUCCUAAAGGUUAAAGAUUUUAAUAUUAAUAAAAUUUUGUCACAUCAUCAAAUUUUAAAAAUAUAAAAUUAUUAUUAUACACUCGUUCAUAUUAAAUUUACUUUUUAACUUUCGUUCUUUUUAAACAUAAAUAAUUAAAAUAAAAAUAGAAAAAUAGAAUAUUUAAAAUUUAUACAAUCCUUAAAGAUUUAAUCCAAUAUUUUUUUUUGUUUUAAAAAAUGUAUAAUAUGAAAUAGAAAAAAAAAUUAAAAUGGAAAAACUCCAUUGCCUAUAAACUAAUUUUUAAAAAAAAAUUGGUUACAAAAAUUAAAAAUAUUAACUUCUGAAAAAAAACUAAAAAUGAUUAAAAUUUAUAAAAGAAGAAAAGAUGUUUAUUUAUAAUUUAAAAAAAUUAAUUAUUUUAAGUAAUUUAAUUAAAGUUAAAUUAAGUUAAAGAAGAAAGGAGAAAUGGAUAAGUAUAUAAUAAUACAUAAUUUGUUAAAUAUAUAAAGAAAUUUAUUUGAUUUAGUACCUAAAUAUUAAUAUUCGAAACUCUCGAUUUUUCACAAUUUAUUCAAUCAAAUUUAGAUCCAACUUUAAUUAUAUUACAAAGACAUUCUAUUUUAUUAUUUUAUUAACGGGUGAAAAAACUUAGUUCAACCCAUAAACAUUGACCACAAAGGGAAAUUUGAAACACUUACCACCAAUCCCCUAUCAGAAAGUCUUUCCCACAUUCAACUAGAAAUCAGAGCUCACCAAAAUGUUUAUUCUUUUCAAUCUGAACCGACUCUACAAUCACUUAUUGCUCAUGGUCUUCAGCCUAUAAACCCAGAAGCAUUAUUAACUUCUAAAUCCAAAACACUAAUAUCAGCAUCCAACCCUACAAUGGUAGUCUUAUUGACUCAUUUAAACAAGUUUCCUUUGUCAAUCUAUAUUCCAUAUUGGGUAAUCUCCAAUAUUAAUUCAGAAUUUAGGAUAGCUGGAACAAGAAUAACAGCAAAGAUGCAAAGCGAAACGACUUGUAGGAGGAGGAAGAACCUUCUUUUGGGUACAAACCUGUAUAGCAUAUAAUAGGAUGUCCUGUAUAAUGUCACGAGAGCUAGUACCGUUGCCAAGCAGUAAUUAGUAGUGCUGAGUUUAGAAUAGGAAACGGAUCCAGGAGUCGAAAGAUAGAAAAAAUACUGAAGUGCGAGUGUCCGUAUGGAAACAGCAACCAAAAGCAUGUAACAGGUCCCAAACAAGGAAAGUGUUAUGAGAAUAAACAAGGACAUUGAACGGCUGGGUAGGAGAUACGCUGUUAAAACAGUUGUUGCCCAAAAGGUUAAAGUGUUGUAUAACCAAAACAUUGUGGACACGUCUAGUAUAUUUUCUAUUUUUUUUUCUUCAGCGGGUGGAGGACUUGGUACGGGUCCAGUGCUGGUUGAACCUAAAGAUAUGUCAUACGUGAGAUGGAAAUUCUGGGAAUUUGAAAUGGUAUCAGGCUGCUUUGGAGGGUUCAAAGUGGCAGUGUAUGUGGCUGUUAUAAUUAGCACUGUGACUACUAAAAAUGUGUUACGCGUCUCAUGUGGGAUUCCCUUCUUUCCACGACUUGCUAUUGUUGCAAUUUUUUGAAGAACUGACACCUUUCCUUUUAAAGAUUCGAUGGGGAUUGAAGAGAUGGAGGCUUUGGGAAGCGAGGAAGAGGAACCACGCAAACCUCCUGCUUUGCUUAUCAUAUCUUUAAUGGACUCCUUAUAGUCCACUCUCCCUUCAUCCAAUGGGUAUUGUGAUGGGAUAUCAAGUGCAGUCAAUCCCUCCGCAUUUUUGGCAUUGAUAUGGUCUCCACACAAGCGUUUCAGCAGUACUUUUACCACCUGUUAAUUAGAAUAUUCAUACAAGUAACCUUUGAGUAUAUAUAUACAUAAAUAAUUUUACUAGCAAAAUUAUCAUACCUGAGGUCUGUUUCUGAUAGUAGCAACAUGUAAAACAGUGUUGCCAUCAAUGUCUGCCCAACUCAGUAGUUCUUUCUCCCAACGGUUGGCAGCUUUAUGGCGGCUCCUUAUAAGCCACCCCACCAAGACUUGGAAAGCUUCAAACCUGUCAUUUUUUACGGCAAGAUGGAAAACCGUCUCAUCUCGAACAGUCACAUCUUCAAUAGCCUCGGGGCAAACCUCAAGGAACUUGAUCAAAAAAUCAACAUUUCCAUUUUGAACCACAUGAUGCAAAGGAGUGAAGCCCUCCCGCCCUUUGACACGAACAAGGCCUUCAUCAAACCUGAGGAGUCGAAGCACUGCUAGAGUUUUUUGAUUUUGCAGAGCCAAGUGCAUGGGGCUAAACCCAGCUUGGUUUAGCUUUCUUGCAAACGAUGGCUUUAAGUUGAUCAUCUCCAUCAUAAAAUCAAUAUGCCCUGCAGAAGCUGCUACAUGCAAAGGAGUAUGGAAAAAAGGUACAUCAUCGAUACGCUGUAAAACAUAUGGAUCAUUCAGAAUUAACUCAUACAAGAUGUUUAUGUCUCCUGUUUGUGCAGCACCUAUCAUCCUCUCAUCCAUAGCAAGGUGCGGAAAUUUGCAGAAUAUAGAAAUGGAGUGAAGAAAAAACGCUUUAGCAGAGGAUAUGAUUAUGUUAAGGAUAUAAUGAAGUGUUUGAUUAUUUUUUCCAGAUGAAGUGUUAGACAUUUUAUAGCACUUAAUUAUUUUGGAUUUAUAUGUGAUGUCAGCCUCUACACGUAUAUACGUGAAUGUCACCUAUUAGAAAGAAAUAGUAAUUAAAUUCAUAUUUAAUAUACAUUUUUAAUCUAAUUUUUUUAAUUCAAUUUAAUUUUAGUUAAAACGUUUAAAAACAUUUAUUUAAUCUAAUUUCUUUAAUAUAUUAAAUAAAAAAGAAAUAUUAAAUAAAUUGGAUUAGAGAAUAUAUUGAAUAUGGAUGAAUACUGUAUCAUACUAAUUUUAUGUCUCUAAAAAUUUUAUAUAUUAUUUAGUGGUUUAAUUUUUUAAGAACAUUUGAUAUAAUUCAUAAAGAAAACAAAUAAUAAUUAAUAAUAAAUUUUUUAAUAAAAAAGGUGUGAAAAAUGGUAAGUAGAUAAUAGCUAUUAUCGCUUACAACAUGUUUGGAUUAAAAAGAAGAAAAAAGAAGGGAAAAUUAAGUAAAUUGAGGGAAAGAAAAUUCGGUUUCUUUGUUUAAGUAAAGAAAAUUAAGUAAAUUUUUUAUCGUAUCAUUAGAUUUUAUAUUUUAGAUUAUUAUCUCUUCUUCUUCUUUUUAACUUGUAACAAUCUUAUUUUUAUUUUCUAUUUUUUUAGGUUACUAGAAAUAUUUAAUUUUAAAUUUGUUUGAUAUAUAUUUUUAAAAAUUUUAACAAUAUUUUUUUAUUAACUAUUUUGUUAAAUUAUUAGGAAUCCUUCAUUUAUAAUUUGGUUAAGAUUUUUUUUUUAGUUUGAUCAAAUAAGCUUAUUAAAAAAAGAAUAUACCAAUAUAUUAUUGGUUAACAUUUUAAUUAUUAUUUUAUAUAGAAUAUUGAUAUUUUUCUAUAAAUUUAAUUUGCUGUGAUUUAAUUUUGUUAUUAUAUAUUAUUUAUGAACUGUUAAAAUUAAAAAAUAAAAGUAAAAUAAUUCAUUUUCUUUCCUUUUCACAGUUUAGCAAAACAAGUCCACAGGCUCGUCUCAUUCAAAAAAAGUAAAUUAUAUAUAUAUAUAAGGGCUAGUUUUAACAAAUGAAAAAUAUAGAAAAACUAUAUUAAAAGAAAUGGGGAAGGGAAAAGAACAGAGGGAGAAACAGAAGAGAAUGAAAAAUAAAGAAAAGUUAAAAUAACAUAAAAAAAAUUAAGGGUGGGUUUGGAUGGGCGAUUGGGUGCGGUGCGGUGCGUUUAGCUUAUUUUUUGUCUCACACUACAGUGUCGCUACAGUAUCUAAUCUCACCGCCACCGCUGUUUUUACACUAACUGCAGGUAAACGCACCGCCCAUCCAAACCCACCCUAAAUUGAAUUGCUCAAAACGAAAAAAUUAUAGGAAUCGGUUGUAUAAAUCACCCUAAAAUUUUUGUUUGAAAGAUGAUUUAACAUGUCACAUCAGUUUAUCGUUACACCAUUAACGGAAAUUAACAGCUCAGUGACUAAAAUGUUACAACGUGAUAACGUAAAUGACUAAAAUGUAACGUUUCAAACAUAAGUGACUAAAAUGUAAGCAAAAGUGACUAUUUUAAUAAUUUACCCUUGCAUUUAUCCAAACAUACGCUUAACGUAAACAUUUUUUUAAUUAUUUUUAUUUUAUUUUAUUUUUUACCAUUAUCCGUUAUCCUUAUUUUUAAAAAGUAUAAUUAAUAAAUAGUAUAAUUAUUUUUUAAAAUUAAUUUUAAGUAAUACACCAAAUAGAUUUUAUAACUUAAAUUUAAUAUUUAAUUUUAUAAUUUUUUUUUAUCAAACAACGUUUACUCCUAAGUAAAUAAAUAAAUAAAGGCCUUGUGUAAUUAAGAAAGUUGAGAAAGAGUUAGUCCUCACAUUGGCUAAAAUAACGGAGGAAAGAGAAAAAUUGGCCAAUAAUGGGGAGGCAAUGUCAAUGAGCAUACCCCACACAUACUAUUUACUGUCAAUGGUGAUGGCUGAAUUGGCUACUAUACAUGGAUUUUGUUUUCCUUUUCUUUUUUGUUCUUGUCCUGUAUUAUUUGCAUUUGUGAUCCCAAACUAUGUAAAAUUCCAGUCACUAUGUGAUCACAUUUUAAAAAAAAAAUUAUUUAUUAUCGAUUGAGUAUCAGCUUGAUUGGUAUAAAUAUUAUUGUUAAUGUAUAAGAACAUAAAUUUGAGUGUGUUAAAGCGCAUUAUCCUCUUAUUUAUAGAUUGAGAAGUGGUUAUUGGUAGUUCUAGACAUUGUGUAGAAAAGAAUACAUAUAAUCAGAAUCUAUAUUAAAAUUUUUCAAAAAAAUAUAUUUAUUACACAUGAAUUAAAAGAAAUCUAUUUAUGGGUAGUUCAAGAUUGUUGAAGCUAUAAAAUAAAAAUUCAAUUCGAAAAUAUAAAUCUCUUUUGUUUAACAAAAUAUUAAUAAUUAGUUGAGUUAAUAUUAUGAGUCAAUCGAACACCAAUUUAAUUAAGAAAUUACGAAAAUAUCGUUCCAUAAUUAAAAUAAAUUAUAUUAUUUGAGGAUAUUUUAAUAUUUUUUAUGUAAAAAAAAAUCAAUAAAAAUAUGAAUAUGAUGGGAUUUGAAAUAAAAUCUAGAAUUUACCACUCAACCAAAAUUUUAUUUUAUUAUAUUUUAUACAUUUUUAUUUUAAUAAGCACACUUUAUUAUCUCCGUCAGUUAUAUAUAUAUUAAUAAAUUUAUUGAUUGAGUUGAUAUCACAAGUCAACUCAAUACUAACCGACAAUUGAAGACAACACUUUGAUAGACAGUUGUAGUGCAUUUAAUUAAUAUUUUUAUUUUGAUGUAUUUAUGUGUUUAAAUUUUAUUUUUGCUCCCAAAUUAAUUUAAUUUUUUAUUUUAAUGUCAUACAUAUUUUAUAUAUUCUUAUGAUUAAUUAGCUUCAAACCAUAUGUUUUAUUAUUUAUUUUAUUUUUUUAAGCAUAUAUCUGUAUUCCAAAUCUAAACGCAAUUGCUUAUGUUAGUCAAUGUUACAAAUUGAGAAAUUUAUUAAAACUAUUGAAAUCUUCACAUCUAACCUGGUUUUAUCAUGUUUGGAAGACGCUAUUGAUCUUCUUCAAGUGGUUUUUUCACAAAUAUACUAUUCAUAUAUAUAAAAUAUGAUGAGUAAUAAUGUAUAGUGACGUGUCCAAACACUAAUUGAUGAAAAAAGUGAGUAAUAUUUUAUUACAACAUGAUGCCUUUUCAUAGUAUAAAAUGACUAUGCGAAUGAGGGCUUCCUACCAUUACCAGAAAGCUGAGGCUGUAGGAAUGAUGGCUUUUGCAAGUUGUGAUUUUAGGAUUUUGUGUUUGAUUAUUGUUUAGUUAUGCUAAAAUGUCACAUAUGGGUACUGUUUUAAGUUAUGUGUGAAUUCUAAGUUGAAUAUGUAGCCGCCUAAAAUAUUUAGGAGCGCUAAUUGAGAUCAUUACGAAAGAAAAUUGUAUUCUAACGGUGUAUGAAAAUUUGGACAAAAAUCUCAACUUUUUAUUUUUUUUUAAAUUUUAUUUUUGCUCCCAAAUUAAUUUCAUUUUUUAUUGUUGUACAUAUUUUAUAUAUUCUUAUGAUUAAUUAGCUUCAAGCCAUAUGUUUUAUUAUUUAUUUUAUUUUUUUAAGCAUACAUCUGUAUUCCAAAUCUAAACACAAUUGAUUAUGUUAAUUAAGGUUACAAAUUGAGAAAUUUAUUAACACUAUUGAAAUCUUCACAUCUAACCUGCUUUUAUCAUGUUGGGUAGAUGCUAUUGAUCUUCUUCAAGUGGUCUUUCACGAGUAUACUAUUCAUAUAUAUAAAAUAUGAUGAGUAAUAAUGUAUAGUGACUGUCCAAACACUAAUUGAUGAAAAAAGUGAGUAAUAUUUUAUUACAACAUGAUGCCUUUUCAUAGUAUAAAAUGAUUAUGCGAAUGAGGGCUUCCUAACGAUGGCUUUUGCAAGUUGUGAUUUUAGGAUUUUGAUUGUUUGAUUAUUGUUUAAUUAUGCUAAAAUGUCAUAUAUUUGUGAGCCCUACACUCACAUCAAAUUUAGAUAUGACAAACAUGAUUUAAAACAAAACCAUAUUAUAUUACUAGCUGUGAGCAAUUUAAAGAAAUUGAAUUUCUUUUUUACAAUUUUAAGUUAAUCAAUUAUUUGAUUUUUUAAAAUUAACUUGAAUGAGUGAUUUUGUUUUUCAAGUUUAAGUCAAGUUGAAUUUUACAACUCAAAUAUAAAUAUCUCUUGGGUCACUGAUAGUUUUAAAAAUGUACAAACUGAUCUGUCUCAAAAAUUUUAAAAAUUCAAAAUGAUCUUCUAAAACUCAAAAUAUUUAUAAAAUAUUUUCCCAAAAUUUUAUAAAUACAUAUAAAUUCAAAGAAUUUACCACUUAAAAAUAUAUAAAAAAUAUUAAAUUAUAUUUUUUGAAAAAAUUAAUAAAAUAAAUUUGAGGUCUUAAAUAAGUAACUUAUUAAUUCAAUUUUAUCAUACUAAUUAUCUUGUAUUCCAAGAGUUUUCAUAUAUAUCAGGGGCGAAGCCAGAAAAUUUUUUUUUAGGGGGGCAAAAUGAAUUUUUUAUUUUUAAUAGUCUAUAUCUUUAUAUUAAUAUUUGAACUGGUAUAAAUUAAGAUUGUUACGUCUAACAUUUAUAUCGAAUAAUUUUUACUAUAGAGAAAAGAAGUAAAAAUAAUAAUAUAUGAUGUAAAAUUAUUAAUUUGAGUCUUAACACAGUCGGUAUUUGUAUGUUGUUUAUGUAAUAUGGAGUGAGUUCAAGUAUGUUCAUGUGUAAUUUUUCUUUCUAUUUAAAGGUUGGAGAGGAGUUAGGGUGAAGCUAGAAUUUAUUUUUUUUGGGAGACGAAAUUAAGUUGUAUAUUUUUAUGAGAGUUAAAAUACAAUUUCACAAUUUCAAUAGAUUAUAUGUUUACAAUUUUUAAAGAACUAAAUCAAUAUUUUAUCAUUUUUUGGGGCUAAAGUACAAUUUUACCAUUUAUUAACUUAAAAUUUUAUAAACUUAAUUUAAAGGGUUAAAAUUUGAAUUUCACAUUUUAAAGGGAGGGAUAGAAACCCUUCUAGGCUCCCCUCUUGCCGCCCCCCUAAGAUGAUAUAAAGUAAAGCAAUAAGUGUCUAAAAUAUAUGAAUUAUGAGUACUGAUUACACUUGACCAAUUGCUUUUCUUCAAACAAAGCAAACACUAAUGCACAUGAAAAUGCAAAUUCACAUGCAACCUAGAUAUGCAUUCUAUAUACAAUGCAAUGCAAUGAAUAAAUAAAUAAAUAAAUAUAUAUUAUUUAAUCAUGAGAGUUUUGAUCCCCUUGUGAUUCUUUAACCAACCAUUCUCACACCUAAUUAUAAUUCUAGUAUAGUAAAAGUACGUGAGUGAGUUGAAUGGAUGGUGGUUGUUUGACAUAACAUGUAGAAAGUGAAAAAAUAGUUGAAAAUAAAUCAAGUAUUAAAACAAAAAAUUUAUGAAAGAAAUUCUAGUAUUAUCAAUUUUUCGUGAGGCUCAAAGCUAUUUGGAACAAAAAUAAAAUCAAUGUGUAUAGGCUUAACAAAAUAGCUAUCAUCUUGCAUUGUUAUUUCAUCCUAACCUCUUCCCUCAUAACUUCAUCUUCUAUUUUCUGUUUGACAUUAUCAAAAGUAAAACAUAGUUUUUUUAGGUUUUUCGACUAUUUAUGCAUCAAACUUUUAGGCCAUUUUGGACAUCUUCAUAAUGUUUUUGGGCUUUAAUCUAAGAAAUAAAUUUAGAUAGAUCUUUCAAGUCACAUCAACAUUUCAUAAAUGAUUUAAUAAAUGAGUAAUAAAAGGAUUUAGGGUUAAUGUGCAAAUUUGUCACUAUACUUCAAUUUGAUUGGUAUUUGAUAUUUGAUAUUGAAUUUUAUUGCUUUAAUUUAAUUGAAUUUUGCCACUAAAAUUAGAAUUUUUAUUGAAUUUUCUAUUCAAUUUAAAUUUAAAAUAACUUGAAGGCUAAGUUGAUUAAAAAAUAGUUUUAUAUUUCGCUUUAAUAUUAAAAAAUAAUAAGUUAAUUAAUAUAAUAUUAAAUUUAAAUAAAAUAGUUAUUUUAUAAAAUAAAUUUUUUUUUCUCUUUUAUGAGAUAUGGACUCAUUAACAAUAGAAAUUCUAAUUUAAUUUAUUAAUUUUUAAUAUUUAUAAGUUAAAUUAUUGUUAAAUAUUAAAAUAAAAUAUUUGAAAGAAUUUUUCUUAUUAUAUAUAUUAUGUUUUAAAAUCAUCAAAUUAAUAUUGAGUGGUAAAAAUUAAUUAAAAAAUUGAUUUGGAGAAAUUUUUUAAUAAAAUUGAAAAUUUAUAGUAAAAUUCAAUCACAUAAUAGUUGAUUGAUAAAUUUACACAAAAACUUAAAAUAUAGCUAUGAAUAUCAAUGAAAAUAAAGUAUAGUAGCAAAAUUCAAAGUAUAGUGACAAAUCAUAUAAGUUCAAUGAAUAAAAGAAAUAAAAAAUUAAAUAUAUGAUUAAAAAGAUUUUUUUUUUUUUACGAAAUUGAAAGAUCAAAUAAAUCAUUAUACGUAAUAUAAACAAAAUCACAAGUAUCCUUAAACUUGGCUUAAUUGCCAAUUAGACAAUUUAGGAUGUCAGAUGCAUAAUCAACAAUUUGGAGAUAAAAGGAUGAAUAACCAAGUAUUUUUAUAAAUAAAUUUGUUUUAGAAGAAUGGGAUGAGUUUUAGAGUAUAUAGAGAAGUAGGGUAGUUCUUCCUUCUCCGCAUAGUGGUUUUGCCUACAAUAAUGAAGCAAAGGGAAAAACACGAGGAUGAGAUGCAAUGAAUUCCCCUUGCAUACCCAAUACGUACUAUUUACUAUUUCUUUUCCCACUGAGAAGUUGGUAUUUUGGAAUUAUCGUUUUCAGCUCUACAAAUGUUCUUGGUGCUGUGUCUGUCUUUCUUUGGUGGGUUCUUGCUUUCUGAAUCUGGUUCUACUGUCGAUUUGGAUGGUUAGGAUACAGCGCUUCAGGCAACUGAUGUUCAAAAGGUUCGAUGGCAUUGGGGAUAUGAUGAUUUUAAGUUUAUUGUCGCCCCAUCAGUUGGUUGUUUGGGUGCACAACUAAAUUUUAGUAUUAUUUUAUUUUCCAUAAUUAUAUUUAUUUAAAUUUUAUAAAUAUUUUCUAAGUCUUAAGAUUUUAUUUUUUGCAUUUUAUGAUUUCUUUUUUUGGAUUUUUAAUGGUUUUUAAAUUUUUAUAAUUUUUCUAAAAUGUUUUAAGUAUUUUGAUUGUGUGAGGUUUUGUGAAUGAAGCGAAGGGUAUCUUUAUUGUGGUGAACUUUUAAUUAGCUCAAAAUGAAGUGAUUUAUUACGUCGUGUGAUUUACGGAUAAGUGUUAAAAAUGAAAUGAAUUGUUGAAUUUGAAAACAAUGGUGUAAUAUUGCAGGGAUUUCCAACAUUAUCAUAAAUUUUAGUGAAUUUAGAGACGAAAUCACAGGUCCACUGAGUUUUGUUCAAAUUUAGGGAUUUCAUCGUCAUAUACGGUCGAUUUGGAUAGUUAGCAUACAAAGCUUCAGAUCAUUGAUGUUCAAAAGGUUUGGUGGCCAUGGGUAUAUGUUGAUUUUGAGUUUAUUGUUGCCCCAUAAGUUAGUUGCACUAAAAAAAUGGGUAUUACCGAUGCUAAAAAUUGUUACUAAAAUUUUAUUGUAGCAAUAAAAGUUGUUGCGGGAUUGUUGUGUAUAUCUUUGUUGUCUAAAAUAUAUGCAACUCUACUCAAUUACACAAUAUUUACUCUUAAAUAUGACCUAUUCAACCACCGAUUUCAGCACAUUAAACACAAAUUAAUAAUCUAGAAAUAUCAAACCAAGAAUUAAAUACACAUAAUUGAGAACAAUAAAUUAAGUGUUUAUUGCAUAAAAUAAAAAAUAAAUGAUAGAAUCCAUCAUAGAGUUCACCUCCCUAGGUAUUUAGAAAAUUAGUUCAAGCUUGAAAAUAAAAACAUCCAAGAAAUAGUACAACCAAAAGAAAUAAAGAAAUUCAUGAUAAUCUCCUAAGAAAUCAACUGAGAAUCUUCAAUCUUGACAGAAAUUUGCUUCCAACUUGGCUUCAAUGGUAUUUUUCGAGUUGUUUUCUUGAAUAUUUUAUGACGGCACUCUCAUAUCUUCUUAAUUUUGUCAUAUAUACGUCUUAGAAUGCCCAAAAAACUUAAAAAUUGUGAUUUUAUGCUGUUUGUGUGGCAAUUCCACGAAAUCGACACAGCCUACUACACACCAGUGUGGGUCAUACGACUGUGUGCUUUCCUCGUGUGAAAUUUAGAAAAUGCAAAAGAUUCCCUAUGCACUAGCUGCUGGAAUCUAAUGUAUGCUCAAGUAUGUAUGCGUCCAGAUAUUGCAUACAUUGUUGGGAUGUUAGGCAAACAUUUAAGCAACCCUGGUAUAGACCAUUGGAUAACAACUGAAAGGGUUAUGAGGUAUCUUUAGAGAACAAAAUAUUACAUGCUCACAUAUUGGAUGUUUGAUAAGUUAGAGAACAUCAAGUUUACAGACUCCAAUUUUGAUGGAAUAUUGAUGCAACAUUUUGCCACUAGAGUGCAAACUGUGACAAUAAUUAGUAGUCUCUUAUUCCAAUAACAAUAAAAGCACAUCAAAGUCAAAGCACAUAGACUUUAAGUUCAUAGUUGUUAAAAUAAAAGUUCAGGGUGGUUAGAUGUCUAUAAAGUAUAUUGAGACAAACUUCAUGAUUGCGGAUUCGCUUACUAAGGGACCACCACCCAAAGUUUUUUUCAUGAGCACACUAUUGAUAUGAGUGUAAUGUCAUUCACUACAGAAUAAGUUUUUAGUGGCGUUAUUUUGGGGCUAUAACUGCCUUAUAAGCGUCGCUAAAACAACUUGCGGCGUUUUGAAAAGCACCGCUAAAAACGCCACUAUAGAACAUGACCUUUAGGGGCGCUUUUCCCACAAAUGCCGCUAAAAGUAUGACCUUUAACAGUGUUUGUGGGGCAAACGCCACUAAAGAACAUGACCUUUAGCGGCGCUUUCUCCACAAACGUAACUAAAUGUCAUGUUCUUUAGUGUCGUUUUUAGUAAAAGCGCCGCUAAAAUUCAUGUUCUUUGGCGACAUUUGUGGAAAAAUGCUACUAACUUUAGCAGAUUUUUACCAACCCAUUUUCAUUCAUAUAGAAUCCUAAUUGUUAACAUAAUUUCCUGUAACAUCAAAUCCAACCAAAAACUAAAAAUUUAAAUGAUACUUCAAUUCCAACGAAAGAAAUAUGUAUGUGAUCUAAAUCAGUAAAUGAAAUAACAAAAUAUAUUAUAUUCAAAAGUUAUAUUGUUAAAAUAUUCUCACAAUAAGAAAACAAACAUCUAAGAUGAUGGAUUCUACGACUGUUGAAACAUCUUCAUCAUAUUCUGAAGCUGUAGCUGGAGUUUGUCAUAUUUUUUGCUUGCCCCUGCUUCCCUUGCUGCCGCCUCCGCUUUAAGUUAUAGUUGGAGUUUUUCAUAUUUUCUUUAAGUCUUUGCUUUUCUCGAUGCUGCCUCCACUUUAAAUUGAGCAAUUUGCUCAACUGUGCUCGCUUGCAUUUGAACCAUCUGGUCUCUUAACCUCUGAACUUCAGCUUGAGCCUGAUUCUCUGAAGGCAUGUAUUGUUGCGAACUGGAUCCAAAAUAUUGGGUUGGGUUAACAAAAUAUCCUUGAAAUCAAACCCGACCAUACUUUUCGAGACCCAAAACUUCGGUAAUAAUUCAGUUAUCAAUGUCAUCAAUAUUAACAGAACUAUCACUUGAAGCGAUCGCUUCAUACUCUGCCCUUUUAUCCUUUAGUUUCUCCUAAUAAAUCAACCAAAGAGUUAGAAACGAAAUAUAUAAUCAAAACAAAUGCAAUAUAACUUUGGGAGUCUAAUGUAUGCUCAAGUAUGUAUGUGUCCGGAUAUUGUGUACAUUGUUUGGCUGUUAGGCAAACAUUUAAGCAACUCUAGUAUAGGCCAUUGGAUAACAAUCGAAAGGGUUAUGAGGUAUCUUUAGAGAACAAAAUAUUACAUGCUCACAUAUUGGAUGUUUGAUAAGUUAAAGAACAUCAAGUAUACAGACUCCAAUUUUGAUGGAAUAUUGAUGCAAAAUUUUGCCACUAUAGUGCAAAUUGUGACAAUAAUUAGUAGUCUUUUAUUCCAAUAACAAUAUAAGCACAUCAAAGUCAAAACACAUAGACUUUAAGUUCAUGGUUGUUAAAAUAAAAGUUCAGGGUGGUUAGAUGUCUAUAAAGUAUAUUGAGACAAACUUCAUGAUUACAGAUUCGCUUACUAAGGGAUUACCACCCAAAGUUUUUUUCAUGAGCACACUGUUGAUACAGGUGUAAUGUCAUUUAAGGAUAUUUGACUUUAGUGGGAGUUUGUAUUUUUAAAUUUUUUUAUGUUACAGACACAUCGGUUAUCUCAGUUUACGAAUAUUAAGUUUAUUUUCUUUAGAAAUAAAGUUUAUUUGGUAAAGUUUGACCUCACUAAGGUUAAGGAGGACCAUUUAGAAUAGGCAUGUUUGAAUCAUAUUGCAUGUAAUUUUCAUGUUACACAUCCAUACUUGAUCUAUGUCAUUUGGUUGUGCUAAUAUAUGUUAUUAGGGAUGGAUUUAGUUAUGAUAUAUGUAACAAAAGUCACAUUCGUUCUAUGUUAACUUAAUUAAUGAAUGAGAUUAUUUGGAAUACCUUUUGGAUAUGAUAGUAAAGUUUUGAGCUCAUAAAUUUAUAUAAUGACAUGUAAUUAUAAGGUAAUUGGUAUAUAUAUGUGGCCAAGUGGUAUGGACAUCACAUAUAUAAUAAGCCUAAUUACUCCAAAAUCCUUGCAGCCCUUUAAUGACUUUUAAGCAAUCAUAACCAUUUUAUUUACAGGUCAUUUGUAUGAAGGAACUUUGUGGUCAUGAUCGAGAGAUUCGAAUUUAGCAUAUUUACAGAGAAGGAAAUCUUGUUUCAGAUUUCUUGGCCCAUAUGGGAUUCCGGCUUUGAUCUAAGUUUACUACGAGAGCCACCUGGAAAUGCUCUCUCAAUUUCAACUAUACUAUGUGAUGAUAUUGCUAGUUCUUUGCCCUAUCGCCUGUGCUCAUUUGUGGUUAAUUAGUUUGUAAUAACCCAAAUUUGCCCAGGCUUACAACCCAAAAAUAAACAGAAAUAAAACCCAAAAAUAAAUAACAAGGCCCAAAUAAUAAUAGCCCACAAAACUUAAAAAAAAUCCAGCCAACUGAAACCCUAAUGCCCUCAUAUACGCCGCACCUCCUCCUCGGACACACUGCUCGUACCUCGUCCCAAGGUCUGACUCUUCCCAUAACAGCCCAAUUUUCAAUGAUAUCAGAAACAAUGAUUUUGGAUCACUAAAUCUGAUAAGUAAGCUUGAAAAUUUAAUAAUUAAUAAUUACGGGUCAAGUGUGAAUUUAGAAGAAUUUUUGAAUUAGUGAAUUUUGUUAUUUAAAAAGAAUUUAAUAGGUAAAUCGGGUCUAAAAUGAGGUAUCGAGACCUCGAAUCCAUAAGUCAACACAUAAAUAUUUUUAUAAAUAUUUAUGGAGUGCCAUUGAGUUAGUAUUAAAGUUUCAUCAGAAAAUUUUAACGUUUUGAUAGUCAAUUAAUUAAAAAGGACUAAAUAGAAAAGAUGCAAAACUUGCUAAAGUGAUUAAAUAGCCUAAAAAUUAAAUAAGGAAGGCCUAAAAGAUAAAAUGGACCAAUUUAAGUGGCUGAGGUGGCAUACGGUUAAAAAAAUUAAAGAUUUUUAUGUAUUUAAGGGCAAAAUUGGAAUUACAAUAAAGUUUAUGUGGCCAAAAUUUAUUUUAAGGAUUUCAAGACCAUUUCUUCUUGAAAUUUCGGUGUAAAACAGCCAUGGAAGAGGAUUGAGAGCUGAUAUUUUAUAUUUUAGCUUCAAGUUCAAUUCUUGUUUUUCCCUUGAAAUUUUUAUAUUUUUGGACUUUUACAAUUAGGUCCAACUUAGUAUUCUAUUAGUUUUUUAUUUUGUUGAAAGUUUUGGAAGAUACCAUUGAUAAGUUCAUAUGAUUUUUAUUAUUUGGUGAUGAAAUUGAGAUGUUAAUGGAUGUUUAAAGGUGUUUUAUUAAAUAAUUUUGGAUGAAAAUAUGUUUUAGGGAUUAAAUUGAAAAGUAUUGAAUUUGUGGAAAAUUCUAAAAUUUUAAGAAAUCCAUGGGCUUUCAUUGACAUGUAUGCGAAUGAUUAGGCUUGUAUCAAUGAUUAAAUUGAAAUAAUUUCAUUUUCCGAGCCUAGGGAUGAAAUCGUCAUGUAUUAAAAGUUUAGGGUCAAAAUGGUAAUCAAUAUAUUGCACUAAAAUAGUUUUGGGUAGUAGUAGUGUGCCAACUUUGAAAAAUCACCAAAAACUGUGGGAAUCGAAUUAGAAGAUGAGUAAAAGAUGAAAUUAAAGCUUAUUGUGUCUAGUUUCUCAUAGAAGAAACAGUGUAAGCAAUGGAAUUAUAAAUCAUGAGAUAUAAUAAAUUUUGUGAGACAGAGUCAGAAUAAUUUUGGAAUCCCCUGUUCUAAUUUUGGAAAAUCAUUAAAAAUUGUAUAAAAAUAAUUAUGAGUUAUAGUUUAUAUGUUUAAAAUCCUGAAAGAGUUUAUUUUCAAGAGAAACAAACAAGAACAUCACCCAAACUCUGUACAAUGAGAUAAUUACUUUUUGGUGAAGAGAGGUCAGAACUGUCAAACAGUGAAACAGGGGAGAAUUUAAAGAAUAAACUGUAUUUAUUGGCUAAGCCAAAAAUUCUAAAAAUUUUAUGGUAAAAUGAUAUAUGAGACUAGUUUCUGGAAAAAUUAACAAAUCUUAAUUUAGAGCUUCGUAGCUCGAGAUAUAAAUAAUUUAGUGACUCUGACUCGGAUAGACAACUUUGAAUUUAUGUAUAAGUAAAUCGUGAAAAUAUAGUUAAUGUUAUUUAAGCAUGUUAUAUACAUUAAGGAUGUGGAAUGGAGAGGAGGAGGAGGAAAAUUGGAAAAUAUAUGAAUGACUUGUGUAUGAAUUGGUCAUAUGCCUGAUUAUAAUCGAUAAACGUUGAAUUUGAAAUGAUAUAAUGUUUUAUUUCAAAUAGUUAUUAUGAAAUUAUGAUUAUCAUUAUGUUACAAAAUUUAAUUGUAAGUUCAUAUGGCAGAAUUUUAAUGAUUAAUUGUUAAUUUCAUAAUUAUAUAAUAUAUGAUGGGAUAUAAUUGUUGAUGAAUUGAGAAUAAAAUAACAAUGCGAAAAUCGAAUAAAUGAUCAAAUUUAGUGGAACGUCGGAUUUGAGUACUUCUGAUCAGUGACAAGUGAUAUAUGAUUUCCGUGUAAGACCAUAUUUGGGAUAUGGCAUCGUUGUGACAUGUGUUUCCGUGUAAGACCAUAGCUCGGCUAUGGCUUCGGUGUGUGAUAUGUAACGAUGUGCAAUACCAUAGCUAUACUAUGGCAAUGUGGAAACAAAGUACUCAAUUCCAUAAGACGUUCUCUAAUUUAUCAAAUUGUGGUAAGUGUUAAGCAAAUUUUAUGUGAUAAAACAUAUUGAACAGUGAAAUUGAGCUGAAUUAUGUGAUCUCAUCAUUCAGAGAUUGUGUUUGAUAGGUUAUGUUAAUAAAUUAUGUGUAUGUGAAUUUAAGUGACAGAAAUUAAACAGCUAAUGAUAUUGAGCUCAUUUACAUGAAUCUGUCAUUUGAAAUUGUGAUUGACAGAAAGAAAUAGUGAAUUGAAUAUGAAAAUGUGAAUAGAAAGCACAAACUAAAUGUUCUUGCGAUAAAUAAUGGCUCAAUGUGAUAGUAAAUGAUGUUAAUCUAAUGAAAGUUAAAUUGAAUUGUAAAUGACUUGAAUUAUCCGAAAAUGUUCUAUAAUCUCUGGUAAUGUCUCGGAACCCUAUUUCGGUGACAGAUACGGGUAAGGGGUGUUACACUUCCCCUGGCCACCUUGCCUAGCCUUGUAAAACAAAAUAGAAGAAGAAGAUAGAAGCGAAAAUAGCAGGGGAUAGCAGAAAAUAGUAGCAUAAUCGGCUGUAAAAGCCCCAAUGAAAUGUAAUUUAUUUUUUUUCUACGGAUAAUCAAAUAUUAAGAGAACAAAAUAUCAAUCGAAAAUCCUGAAGGUUUACUUCUACUGUUGUUUUAAGUUUUGGUUCAUUUUUAUUCUGCCUUUUAUUUUUCAUUUUUUUACAUACAAAGAAAGGAAAAAGAAACAGAAAUAAAAUACCAUAGUUUUAAAACAACAAAGGAAUUUCUUUGCAUAUUUAUCGAAAAUAGAGCAUAUAUACAUAGAUAUAUUCAAAAAAACACAAGUUUUUUUAACCUCUGUUGUGACUGAAGAAGGUGGAACCAAAUGGUUUUUUUUCGCCUUUUCUGAAUUUCAAAGGGGUUUCUUAGGAUUUUAACCUCGGAUUGAGAUUUGGGAGGCCGAAUAGGUCGAAAAGGGGCCUUUUUUUGAACUCCGGUCGACGUAUACGGCGGCAUACGGUGGUGGAUGACGGUGGACGGACGGUUGCCCAGUGACUAGGGUACAGCUAGACCACGACCGGAGGAAAAGGGAUUGAGAGAGAAUCCCCUGAUUUUUUUUGGAAAAAGAAGAAAAUGAAAUUUUUAAAAAAAAAUUGACUUAACUAGGGCCCCUAAACGGCGCCAUUUAGGGCUGGUCAUAAUAGCCCUAAAACGAUGUCGUUUUGCCCAAGACCCGCGCAUGUGACCCGACCCGCCAGAGGAUCCGCGUGUUUUUAACUUUUGGGCUAUUUGCGCUUUAGGCCCUUCAUCAUUUUUGGUCUAUUUCAAUUUAGUCCUUUUGCAUUUUUUCUUUAUUUUUUAAUUUAGACCACAGAUUUGUCUCGGUUUUCAAUUUGGUCCUCAAUUCGUUGGACCCCUGGGGAGGAGAUGCGUGGCCUGGAAAACUGGUUUAUUACCCAUUUGGCCCUCCUCCCUCUCGCGCUCUUUCAUUUUGGUCUUUCUUUAUUCAUUUUAUUAUAGCUUUGACCUUUAAAUUUCAUUUUUAUCCCGAGUUAGUCCAUCUUUGUUAUUUUUGUUAUAUUAUUAAUUAAUCUAAUUAUUAUCAUACUUAUAUUUUCUUUUUAUAUUUACUUAUUAUAUUAUUAUAUUAUACUAUUAGUUUUGUAUUAUUAUUAUUAUUAUAUUAUUAUUAUAUUUAUAUUUAUAUUUACUUAUCUAAAUUUUAAAUAUAUUUUGUCUUAGUAUAUAUUAUUAUGUAAUUACUUAUAUCUUUUGUAUUUUUUUAACUCUAGAUUAUUCGCUAUUCUAUUAUUAAUAUUAUUAUUGUUAUUAUUUACUUAUUUAUAUCCUUUUUAUUUCAAACUUUGUUAUAUAUAUACAUACAUACAUAUAUUAUUUUUUAUAUUUUUAUAAUCUUAUUUAUUUUCAUUAUUGUUAUUAUUGUUUUACUUGAUAUUUAUUUAUUUAUGUGUCCAUUAUUAUUUUAAGAAACAUUUUAGUUCUGUUUGUUUAUUUACUUGUUAUUUUAUGUAUAAUUGAUUUGUCCCCUUUUUUUAUUUAUUUAUCUUAUUUUCGUUGUUGUUGCUCGUAUUAUUUAUGCUUACAUCAUUGUAUUUAUUAUUGUUUUGUUACGCAUAUUAACCCCGUGUUUUAUUUCUACCAUUUCGUGUUAGAUUAAUCUCAUUUGAUGCAUAAAUCAUGACUUUAAAACAAGUAAAACUAGAUAUUUUGAGAUCCGAAAAGGUCGUGCCCUAACUUACGGGGCUUUGAUUUUCUCGAUAAAUUCAAAUACACGAAUCUUUUCAAACAUAAGUUUUUUAAGUGAUCUCGGGAAUUAAUAAAAGAUCGGGUUCUAACUUACGGGACUUGAUUUCUUUUCCAAACCCGAGAUAAUCAAAUCGAAUAUCCUUCAAAUAAAUAAAGCUUUUGGCAUUUAUUCUCGAAUCAAGUAUUUAAAUAUAUUGUGUCCUAACUUACGGGAUAUAAUUCUCUUUCUCGAUUAACGCGAAAUAUGCCCUUUUCUUGAAAACUUUCAGCAUUUUAACAAAGGAUUGUAUUUUGAAUCUUUUCAAAGUUUCCAAUUCUCGACACUAAGACACUAAUUAAUCAACCAGGUACCAAUUUCUAGGCGUUAUGAGGGUGCUAACCCUUCCUCGUAUGUAACCGACUCCCGAACCCAUCUUUCUGAAUUUCGUAGACCAAAAGCGUUGUUUUAAUAAAUCGAACCGUUUUGUUAAAAAUAACCAUUUUUUGAGUUGACCUGAUCACACCUCCUCAAAAAAGGAUUGGUGGCGACUCCCAUAUUCAUUUUCGUUUUAAAAAUCCAAGUCGACCUCUUUUAUCAAAAAAUGGUUUCGACAUAGUUGUUAAGGCUUUUGCCUCUUUCUUUUAUUAAAAAAAAAAGCUGGGCACGAUGAAUCGACCUUAGCUAGUAAAAAACUUCAAUCACCGAAUUGCAUAAAAUUCUAACUUAAAUUCAAAUGCAGAAGCAGGAUCGUUUAUCAAUCCACAAUAUCAACAAAUCUCAAUUCAAACACAAAAUUAACCGGUGAAAAAAAAUAGUUCAACCCAUAAACAUUUACCACAAAGGGAAAUUUGAAACACUUACCACCAUUCCCCUAUCAGAAAGUCUUACCCACAUUCAACAACUAGAAAUCAGAGCUCACCAAAAUGUUUAUGACGAAGCCAUUUUUUUGAAAAGGGUCGACUUUUUAUUUAAAAACGAAAAAGGGAGUCACCACUAAUCAUUUUUAUGAGGUGUGAUCGGGUCACCUCGUAACGGUUUAAUUGAUUAAAAUAAAAAUUUUGGUCUACAAAAUUUAGAAAAAUGGGUUCAGGAGUUGGUUACGUACGAGGAAGGAUUAGCACCCUCGUAACGCCCAAAAUUGGUACCUAAUUGAUUAAUUAAUGUCUUAAUGUUGAAAAUUAAAAACUUGAAAAGAAUUUAAAAUACGAUCCCUCUUUAUUAAUGUUAUUUUUUAGUUAAAAUUUCUUGGAUAAAUCAAAAUGUGUGCUUAAGACUUUCUCGUCCCAAAGUAGCAAAAAUAUUAUGUCCCGUAAGUUAGGACACAACACUUUGAACUUUGGAGAAUGAACUUGCCUUUAUUUUUUAUUUUAAAUCUUAUUAUUUUGAUUUUAAAAGGAUAUUCGGUUAUUUGAGUUCAACGAGAGAAUCGAAACCCCGUAAGUUAGGUACGAUUUCCUGAAUCUCCAAAAUAUGAAUUAUUGCCUAUUCUUUUGAAAAUUUUCCAUUUUUAUGAAAUUGGAUGAAAAUUAAUGAUAUUUAAAAUGAUAUGCAAUAUAAAAUAAAAUAUUAUAAUAACCAUGACGUAAUUACAAAGAUGAAUGCAAUAUUGUUUGGUGGAAAAUGUUUUCCGAAAAAUAUUUUCUGAAUUUUCCAGCGUUUGUUUGGUGGAAAAUGAAUUCCUAAAGUAAAACAUUUUCCAAACACGGGUAAAAUUAGUCCCCAAUUUUUGGAAAACGUCUUACUAAUUUGGAAUCAGUAAGAAAUUUUCCCGUUCUCCCUUCUCUACACUCUCGUUCUCCCUGCCUCUCUAAACCAAUCUUAGGGCUCAUUGAGCUGGUUCCGGGCUAUUUUUCCCCCUUGAUUUCUUCUCCUUUUUAUAAAUUAAUUUGGGGCUUUUCAUCACUGUGUGUUGUUUUUGUCUGGGAUCUCUUGCAUGGGUUUUCUGCUAGUUUGGGUUCUCUGUGCUCAGGCUUUCUACAAAUUCUGCUCUUCCUCUCUUGCUUGGGUCGGGUUUUUGUUACCGUUUUGUAGCCUGUGGCGUUUGGCUUGUCUUGGGCAAACUUUCUUCGCUGACUUUCUUUAGAAAGGUAUAUUUUCUAUUUUCACUUCCAUUUUCUACUUAUUUUUUAGACGCAAAAUUUCUUAGCAAUUCUUUUAUCUUGAACAAACAAUGUUUUGAGGUUUUGGGUCGUUUCAUAAAGUAGAAAAGGAAUCGAACUGUUAAUAUUCUUAAGAUUGAGAAAUUGAGGACACGUUUGGUUCGCUGUAAUGGAAUAGAGGCGUAAUAGUAAUUCAACUGUUUGGUCGAAUGGAAUGGAAUAGAGCUAUAAUAGUAUUCUUGUGUUUGGUUGAAUGGAAUUAUGUUGUAAUAGCAUAAGGAAAAAAACUAAAAUGAGUAUACCCUUAGCAGAAUUUUUUUAGGUAGAUGAUUAUUAUUAUUCUUAUUAAAUUUUAAUAAGAUUAUUAAUAUAAAUAAUAAAUAAUAUAAUCAUAUUUAACAUAAUUAUUAUUAAAUAUAAUUUAAUAAAAAAUAUAUAAUUUAAUAAAAUUCUUAAUAUAAUUAUUCUUAUAUUAAUUUCCUAAAAUCAUAAUAUAUAAUAAUCACUACACCAAAACAGGUUUUUAGCGGCGUUUGGAUAAAAAACGUCGCUAAAAAUUGAGCAUUAGCUGCGAUUUACGUCAAACGCAGCUAAAGAUCGAGCAUUAGUGGCGCUUCCAAGAAAGCGCCUCAAAAAAUGAGCAUUAGCGGCGUUUAUCCAAAAAACGCCGCAAAAAACGUAAACCCAACGGCAUCGUUUUUGACCUUUCGGGGCUUUAGCGGCGCUUUUUCAAAAGCGCCGCUAAUACUCGGGUCUUUAGCAGUGCUUUUCCCAAAAUGCCGCUAAUGCUCUAGUCUUUAGCGGCGCUUUUUCAGAAGUGCCGCUAAUGCUCGGGUCUUUAGCGGCGCUUUGUCAAAAAUGCCGCCAAAGCUCGGGUCUUUAGCAGCGCUUUUUCAAAAAUGCCGCUAAUGCUCGUGUCUUUAGCGGCGCUUAAUCCCAAAUUGAUCCUCCAUACCAAAAUGAGUGGAAAUGAGUUUAAAAGAUGUCCAAAACAUUAACAUUUAAACAUUUGUUAAGAAAUUUUCUUUUGUUUUCAAUAUAAAUGGCUUAAAAAAUGAAAAAAAAGUCUUAAACUUUGUUUGAUUAAAAAUUUUCGUAUAUAAAAAGGAACAUAUUUAAAUUUAUGUGGAUGGUUUUUAUUUAGUUUCAUUAAUAUAGGGAGAUUAAAGAUUGGUGGAGAUUUUACCUAACAAAUUAUUAUAGAAAGAGAGAAGAUGGAUUUAACACCUUUUGAGAAUCCAUUCCCCAAUGAGUUGUAUGGUGUAUCAAUUACGCAUGUAUGAAUAUAUUUUCCUUCCACCAUGUGCUGCCACGAAACUUAGGGCCAAUAUUGUGGAUUCCCGGAGAAUUAGAAGAUAAAAGAAAACCUAUAGGAGAUUCUUGUAAGAGUUACUGGUUUAAGAUUGGUUUUGGAUUUUGUAGGAAAGAUAUGCUGCAUCAAUUACACAUGGGGAUUUAAUACAAGUUGGAUCAUUUUCCUCAUCAGCUAACAUUUUCUUAUGCUAGUUUAGAUCCAAAUCCACACACCCAAUUUUGAUUUGCGCUUCCAUCAAACUAAUUCUUUUUACUGUGAAAAACAUAUUAUUUCAGUAAUAAAUGUUGAAUCAACAUUAUUUUAAUAAUAAAUUAUUUUAUUCCUUUUACUAUAGUAUUUUUUUCCCAUCAUGUUGAUUUAGGUAUAGUUUGGAUAGACAUUGCGUUUACUUGUGUUUAGUAUAAAAACAACAGUGACGAUAAAAUUAGAUAAAAGUGAACUAAUCGCACCGCACUGGCCAUCCAAAUCCAAGUACCAUACUCUUCUUUUAGUUUUUUUUAAACCCUAAAUAAGAAAGACAACCUCAUUUAGCGAAGUCAUUAACCCCUUUCUUAAAUUUCCAUAAUAAAACUCAUACCCUAUUCAAAAACCCUAUUUUAACAAAAUUCAACUAUCUUUGAAUUAUUCGUAACCCUAUAUUUAUAAUACAGACGUGGUGAUCAGUUAGACCUUUAAUUACUUAACAUACUUUUUUUUUAUUGACUAACAUCUCUUGUUUUUAUUGACUCCUUUAAUUUUAAUUUAAUAAUUUUAUAAUUUAAUCUAAAGAGGUCAAAUUCGAAUUAUUUUUUUGAUAUAAUUUUUAAUUUAACAAGAGCUGAAUCAUACUUUAUAGGAUUUGAACCUUGGACGAUAGGUUUGAAGACCCACAUGCUACCGAACUAAACUAAUAUCACUUUCUUAUCAUAAUAAAUAAAAUUGUAAAAAAAAUCCUUUUAUUUUAUAACCCUAAUACAAUACAUUGUAUGUCGUAUAUAUAUAAUAUGAGAAAAUGAUAGAUUGAGCAAAAUUGCAUCAUAGGUUGUGUUCAAAAUUCAAAUUCUUUUUGGUUUAGAGGGUUUUAUGUUUGGUUAGUGAUAAGUUUUUUUUCUUUCGCAUGUGAUUUAUCUUUUCGAUAUGUAGGGUGAAGGAUUUAAAUUGUGGAAUGUUUGGUUUAUAUAAGCAGCUUAAGGUAAGAAAAGAAAAGCAAGAUAAAAUUUGAAAGAUGAUCCCAUUGUUGACUGAUUCAUUUACUGCGAGCUUCUCCCUCAUAUUGUAGCGACACUGAUGUACAAAAUAUUUCAAAGAUGUACAAAUUUUUCGAGUUUAAAAACUACAUUGAGUGUAUUUUCGUAGGAGUUCAGUUGAUUUAAAAACUACAUUAAAUGGUUUAGGAUUUAAGGUUUACUUCAGAUUUGUUAAAUGAUGAAAUUUUAUACAAUAAAUUAAUACUUUUAUAUUUAAAAAUAUUUAAUCUAAAAUAUUCGAUAUAUUUAAAUAUUAGAUUUAAAAAAAUUGAUAAAUAAAUAAAGUCACUUAACUAAUAAUUUUUGGUAGAUAAAAUAAAAAAUUUUUAACAGAGCAAAACGACGUUAUUUUAUCAAUAGAUAAGCAAUAAUGGCGUUUUUUGUAAAAACGCCACAAAAUUUAUUUUACUUAGAAAAAAAUUUGGCGCUGAUUUUUCCCAAAUUUUCCCCCUAAAACCCCUAACUUUGCAAACAAAAUGAAAAAAAGAAGAGGAAAAUGAAGGUACCAAAGACGAUUCAGCACAAAACCUCUCCAAUCUACUUACGAGUUCUACCGUUUGUUUCCCUGGAAAAUAUAUGAGACUUAAUAUUUUCUGUUCCAUUUUUCCUCUUUAUUUUCUAAUUUUGGGUAUUAUUUACUCAGAUCCCCUUUCUUUUUAUUAUUGUUUUUUUUUUCUCUUAUAUUUUAGCUAGAAAUCGACGAUGCAAGUUACUGCUGGUAACAAGUUAUUGCUUAAAAUUCAUCGUAACAAAUCUACUUCAAAGGAAGUUAUUCAUAUUCCUUCGUAUCGAAGCGAAGUUAUUUACGGUGGAACUUGGUUCUCCAGCUCUCGUAAGUUUGUUCCCAGUUUUGUAUUUGCCAUCUAUACCAGGUUUACCUCUCUUACUUCUCUUCGUCUUCAUCUCCCUUUCAUUUAUUCUACCAAAAACGCCUCUUACUUGUCAUUUUUUUCUCACAUAUCGUGCAAGACUCAUUUUUCUUUCUUUAUGCUCUAGUCUUAACAGUGCACUUCAACUGUUCAAUAUAAUGCUUCUUUAUACAAUUUGUUUCUGGUUUUCAGGGGGUGUUGUUUGUAAGAUGUUGAAGCAAGCGAUAUGGAAGGUGUUGAGCAAAAGGGUAGUUUCAGAUUCUGGUGAUAAACUUCUUUUGCCUUGUUUGUACUUGCCCACGACUUCUUUUCACGCUGGACAGGUAGGUACUCUUUUUUUUUCUUUUAACUCUUACUUUAGUUUUUUUUAUGGAUACCCAAUUGUUAAUUUAUUAAAUAAUAAAUCUUUAAUAAUAAACCUAAAUUUAUGGCAUUUGAAUUAUUUGUAGAAUUUGAAUCAUAAAAACAUUGUCAAGUAUCUUGGAUCAUUGAAGACAACAAGAAGUUAGGUUUUGUAGUCUCUGUCUGGAAUUCUUGCUCUGAAGUUUGUCUAUUUUAUACGAGUUGAGUUUUCAUGGUUUGCUGUUGCAUUGUUUCUUCUGUUCUUUGUUUUGUUAUUGGAACUAUUUCCAAUUGUCUGGUUUACUUGAAAUCCGAUAUUUGAUUAAAGGGACCAAGUAGAGAGCACAAGUGAGAGCGAAGGCAGUGCAAGUGAUGAAGUGCUUGUUGUUCCUUAUGAUAACUUAGCACCUAUUUCUUGUGGUAAUAUUUUCUCAUUAUUCUUCUACUUUUGAAUUUAUUGUAUUCCAAAUAUAGCAUCAAGAAAAAUAUAAUAGUACAUUAGAGUUCAGCUUGUAUAAUUUGUUUGGAUUCUUUCUGUCUUGAAGCAGAUAUUACUGAAUCUAAGCAGCUUUUAGAUAAGCUUGUUGUGGUGAAGUAUAAUAGAGCUUUGGGAAAGAAUAUGGGUUUCGUUGGUCCCAAGUAAGCAAUUAUCUAACUUCUGGAAGUUUGAUACUUAUUUUUUUCCAAGAAAAGAGAAGCAUUUCUUGAUGAUUCCAUAGUUAUAUAUUAAAGACUUGCCUCUACAUAAAUGAAUAUAGUUUCUAUGACAUACAUAUAUUUAUGUAUGCUUUUUAUAUAUGCCUCUACAUUCAUAUAUUUAUAUAUGCUUUUUAUAUUGUAUUGUGCCAAAUAAAGAGAAUAAAAGUUUUAAUUAUUGAUAGAUUCUGCUACUUUUUUUAUGUACUUUUUAUUAAAUCACUCUUUAAUCAAAUGUAGAAUUAUAAAAUUAUUAAAUUUUACUAUAAAUAAUUAUCCUUAUAUAAUUAAUUAUUUUAGUAAAUUUUCCAACUAUCAAAACAGAUCACUCCACCAUCCCACGUCAAAAUUUUGUUAAGGGUAGGAGUUGAGAGAGGUAGAUACUUUGAUGAAUAUUUUCUUUUACAUGAUAAUUAUAUACUUCUUUAAGUUUGUUUUGGAUGUUGGGACAAUGUCAGUUGAUGCCGAAAUUUGAUAGUGCUGCAAAUUGAAGUGUUUAAGUGCUGCAAAUUGAAGUAUUUAGUUGCUGCAAAUUGAGAUGUUUUAUCGCUGUAAUUGAGGUGUAUAAAUGUUGUUAAUUGAUAUGUUUAAGUGCUGCAAAUUGAAGUGUUUAAAUGCUGUAAAUUGAAGUGUUUAAGUGCUGCAAAUUGAAGUGUUUAGUUGCUGGAAAUUGAGAUGUUUUAUUGCUGUAAUUGAGGUGUAUAAAUGUUGUUAAUUGAUAUGUUUAAGUGCUGCAAAUUUAAGUGUUUAAAUGCUGUAAAUUGAAGUGUUUAAGUGCUGCAAAUUGAAGUGUUUAAAUGCUGUAAAUUGAAGUCUUUAAGUGCUGCAAAUUGAAGUAUUUAGUUGCUGGAAAUUGAGAUGUUUUAUCGCUGUAAUUGAGGUGUAUAAAUGUUGUUAAUUGAUAUGUUUAAGUGCUGCAAAUUGAAGUGUUUAAGUGCUGCAAAUUGAAGUGUUUAGUUGCUGCAAAUUGAGAUGUUUAACGCUGUAAAUUGAAGUGUUAAAGUGCUACUUUCCAUUGUCACCUCCCCCAUUUCUUUAUGCAUCAAUAACUAUAUUAAUGAAAUCAAGUACUACAAUUAUAUACUAUUGCAGAUGGGGGUUGGAGAAUAUGAUCAAGGGGAAAACAUCAGAUAUGGUGAUUCCUAGCCAAGCAGUGGCUUCUUAGACACCCAACAUUUUGCACAACCAAACAUGACCACAACUUUUAAACCUACAUGUUGAGGUUGCUACACACAAGUCCCUUCCUUUUUUUAGUUUAUGUGCUAUGUGAUGAUUGUGUUUUAAAAUUUAACUUGUUUUAGUUCCUUACAUUCUUAUACGAUUCACACUCAAGGAGCUAGAUUUGGAGCUUAAACUGUCACUGUAAUCAGUAAUUUUUUUUUUGCUUCUUUAAAUGCAUGCUCAUGGAACUACAUCUUAUGCUUUCCUAGAAUUGUAAGUUCAAAUAAGGUGUUGAUCUGCAAUUUAUACAUACAACUUGAGCAAGUUGAUAUGAACUAGUUUCAAUUUUUUUUUUUAAAUGAAAGGAAUGUUAUGUAAUCAAAGGCAAUUUGACUUGUUGCAUGAGAUAUAGUGAAAAACAUUUAUCUUCUUAUUCAUGAAUUUCCAUUUUAAUACGUCUUCAAAUUAAAUUAUACAUUUUUUAAUUGGUAGAAUCUCACUUUUGCUGUUGCUGCAAUCUUUAACCAAAGAAUGGAGUGAUGUAUGUACUGAUAACAGUUCUAAAGGAUUUGUUUAAGCAAGUAAAGAGAUUGGCGUUUUUAUAAUAAUUUAGGAUAGGAAUGGAGCAAAUCCAAAGAAUGGAGUGGCAUUUUUAUAAUAAAUUUUUUUAUUUUUCGUGACCUUUACUAGCGUUUUUGGAGAAAGCGCCGCUAAAGGUCUUGUUUUUUAGCGGCAUUUUUGGGAAAAGUGCCGCUAAAGGUCUUAGUCUUUAGCGGUGUUUGUGGUAAAAGCGCCACUAAAGGUCUUGGUCUUUAGUAGUUUUUGUGGGAAAAGUGUCGCUAAAGGUCCUGGUUUUUAGCGGCGUUUGUGGGAAAAGCGUCGCUAAAGGUCUUGGUCUUUAGUGGCGUUUGGGGGAAAAGCGCUGCUAAAGGUCUUAGUCUUUAGCGGUGUUUGUGGGAAAAGCGCCGCUAAAGGUCUUGGUCUUUAGCGGCGUUUGGGGGAAAGCACCGCUAAAGGUCCUGGUUUUGAGCGGCGUUUGUGGGAGAAGUGCCGCUAAAGGUCAUGGUCUUUAGCUGCGUUUUUUCCGGCUAAAAAAGUGCCGCUAAAAGCCUGUUUUGGUGUAGUGAAUAUAAAAAUAAUAUAUAAUCUCAUUUAUUAUUUUUAAAUCGCAAUACAUAUUUAAUGUGCUAAAAUAUCAUUAGUGAAUCAAAUAAUUUAAUUAUUCUACAAAAAAAUAGAAGUAAUAAAUAACUUGAAAAUUAUAUUUUGCAUAAAUAUAAUAUUCAAAUAUUAACAAACAUACCCUAAAUCAAAUUUCAUGUAUAAUUUUAAAAUUUACCCCAAAGAUUUAGUGUACUUCUUGACCUGAACUUGACAAUUAAGUUUAUUUUAGUACUUGUAUAUUUUUUGUCCACUUUAAUAAUUGAACUUGACAAUUAGAUAUAUUUUAAUCUUUGAACUUGAAAUAUAUAAAAUUUUAUUGACAUAACACUUUAAGAUUGUCUCACAUCAUUAAAUUUGGACGGAAUAUAAAUUCAUAGUCAAAAUAGACCUACUUGUAAAGUUAGAUACUAAAGUAGACCCCAACAACAUAUAUAAGUAUCAAAAUGAAACUAGCUUACAAAGCAAAACUUCGUAUAAAAGAAGAUAAACAAAUUGUGCUACUUGAAGGGAACAACACUGGCACUGGAAAAACAUUCCGUGUUUGAGGACAUAAAAUCUCUUAAGCACUGCGUCCAGGUUAUGAGCUACUCACAGCAACACAGAUCGCUGGGAAAUAGUGUGCCAAAUUACCUUUUGUAUCUCUUCUUGGAACCACAUGGACAGGGAGCAUUACGGCUCAUUUCUCCACUCUUUACCAUAUUAAACUUGGUAAGAUCCAAUGGUGUUAAACCCGUUAGCUUUUGCACCUGCAAAAGAUAAAAAAAAACUAAUGACAUUUCCAAUGGAGAAAGAGAGAGAUGCAUAAACUAAUACUUGUCAUUGAUGUUUUAAACUGUGGGAGAAACAUUCAUCCGAACUCAAAUGCGAAUUUCAGCAACUGAAGAUGAAUGAAGGCAGACAUCUCAGUCUUUUAAGCAAUCUGGCAUUGAACCAAAAAAGCAUAACGCAGAUCAGCAGACCAAACAUCUGUAACUCUAUGUUAGUUCGACUCUUUCUUUUCCUUUAUGCAUCCAUGUUUGAUGCAAGUCUGGGACCAGAAUGAAUAUAGGGAGAUAAUCCUUUAAAAAUCCUCCAAAUACAUUAAAAAACUUGGACAAAAAAUGAACACAACACACCCGUGUCAAACAUAUAUAUCAGACACUCAAACUAUAGUCUGAACAACAAGAUAUACAAUCAUCAUUUUGACUCAGAUAAUAUGCAUAACUAACUCCCCUACCUUCUUAGACAAAUAUCUUACUUAUCUUUCAAAUAGCUCAUCCUACAUUCAACAUCAUAUUCACCGAGCAGCAGCCAAAAGACAAAAAUACAUUAACUUAGAGAAUUUAAGAUCAGACAAAUUGAGCAAUAGGCAUAAAGACACUAGCUCAUACGUUUUAAUCAUUCAACAUAUUAUCAGCAAAAACAUAACUGAAAAAAACCAGUGGUGAACCUACCACAGCAAAGUUCUUUGGCAUCGGUUUGCCUUCCUCUUUCAGCUUAACCAUCUUCUUAUGAACUUCUUUAGCCCAUGUGAACUUCGCAAGCGCAUUCUCAACAUAUAAUAAGGUACAAUCACACUGUUUUGCAGCUUCUUUCUUUUGACUCAGUUGGAGAUUCUAAAAAAAAAGUCAAAAUCUAAAUCCACAAUCAGCGAAUUCACCUACAGGGCUCCAACCAUGUUUUAUAGUUUGGACGAGAAAAGGCAGCACCUUCUUACAUGCAAUGUCAGUGGUCAACAGGACUGGAAUGCUCGCCUGUUUAUCAUGGUGGAAAUCAAAUUCUUAUAUAAAACAUAGUUAACAUUUCUCAGCAUAAAGCCUUCAUCUUUUGUGCAAACAAAUUUUAAAUUAACAGAACUCAACUAGUCGAAAUCACAAGCCAUUCAAAAAACAAUAGAAUCAGACAAACAUGUAAUAGAAUAAAAAUUUUCAUCUGUUCAAUCUGUUCAAUCGAACAAACAUUGAAAACAUUGAAAGAAUUUUCAUCUGUUCAAUCGAACAUGCAAUACAAAGAAAAGCUGAAUGGAAAACGCUAGAAACGAAUCAAAAUUAGGAGAACAAAAACAAAUAUUCCAGAUUUGAGCAAAAGCAAAACUAAAUCGAUUUUACAGAAAAGAGAAGAAAAGAAAAACAGGGAAAGAGUGUGAGAAUUUUUCGUUGUUGAUAAAAUGGAGAAAAGAAAAAAAACGAGAGAAGAAAAGAAAUGUACGAGAAUAAAAGAAGCAGAAAUCGAUGGAAGGGAAAAAAUUACCUUGCAAAACGUCGGAGAGGAUGAGCGCAGAAAACGAAAAAGAUGGUAACAAAUUGGGAGGGAAUCCCUAUUCCGCGCUUAAACAUCAGAAUGGCUAUUACAGCCAACGUGGGUAAUAGAUGCGGAACGGAACCAAACAUCCGUUUGGUGGUGGGCCUAGGGAAUUGGGGGGAAUGCAUACCGAUUCCCCCCAACCAAACAUACCUUGAGUUUGUUCUCUUAAGAGGAAAUGGUAAUGAGGUGUAAAAGCCAAGAGGAAAUGAUUAUCUUUACCGCUAGAAAUGAACAAGGUAUGUUAUUCAUAUUUUUCUCCGGAUGCAGGUUUUAAUUGGGCAAUAGUUUUACUUUUGUUAUAGCUAGAGGUUUUACUUGUCAUGCAUCUUACUGCAUUUGGUUAGUUUUAUGUUUUAUUGUUUUAUCUUUCUGGCAUUUUAUAUUUAGUUCUCCUAUUUUUUUAGACAAUUUCUGCAACAUUGGUUUCCUAUGACGUGAUAGUAUUUUUUUGUUGUAGUAGUGAUAACAUUUGUGGUUGGCAAGAUUCCUUUAACACGGUUUAUCUGGAAAGGUCUAUCUUUGGGUUGCUGAUAGUGUCACCGAGUGAAAUAAAUGCUAGUUGUGGCUCUUAUGAUUACAAACUAUUAGCUUAUUGGUAAAUUGAAUGUUCAGAUGUCAUGACUGAUGUAAAUUCACAUACUUUUAAACAUUGUGCAUCUUCUAAUUUUAUGAAUUUUAACAACAAAAAGUUUUCUAUACAUAAUGAUUAUUUGAUUACUGUAUGUUUGAUCUUGGAUUUCUGUUGCUAAACAUGAAUUGGAAUAAAAUGAAUGCUAGUUGUUCAUUUGAAUAACAAGAAUGAAAUAAAUGCUAGUCAAGGCCUCUAAAAGACUAAUUUAGUAAUUUGGCUGAAUUGAACCCUUAUAUCAUUAGGGAAUAUAACAGAAGAACUACUAAUAGUUUGAAUAGAACAUAAUGAACUGAUUAAUAAUACAUUUAAGAGGUAUGUUAGUAGCUGCUAGUCUCUAGUUCCUUGAGAGUUUGGUUGUUCAGAGUGUCGUCUAGGAUUGUAUUCUGUGCUGUCCAUGCAAGUGUAAUAAGAUUGACUAAGGUCUUUUCCCUUUGAAAUUGUUGAUCACUCAAUUAAGCUCAGUUGACCGGCUAUCAUGUCCUUGCUCAAUUAAGCUCUGCCAUAACUGCACGAAAGAACAACAAUUCCAUACACUCAUUACAAAGAAUACAAGUAGUGGAGUUCACGGACUAGACAAUUAAAGAGAACUUUACACAUGUAACCAAAUUCACCAAUAUGAGCAUUGAUAUCUCAUUUUUAUGAGAUCUUAUUAGAUUAUUGAUUAUGAAUAUGUUUACUCGAUCAUUUCAAGAUCAUGGUUUCAUUACAUGGAGUUGUUUGAUGGUGAAGGCAAUAAUACAUUUUUAAGAUUACUGCAGCCAAAAGAGUUGUUGCAAAGGAGACCAAAGUCCAGAACUCUUUUUCUUUUGUGCUUCCACAACUGAGUUCUCCAUUACCUCAACUUUCAGCUUCAAAUCUUGAGCUACUUGUCUCUUUCUGUCAUUGAUUGUUACUUUUAUGUGGUCUAAUAUUAGUUAUGCACUUGGACAAUGUUGUUGUUAUUAUGUGGUGUACUACUAAUUAUGCAUUUGGAUAAUAUUAUUAAUUUCUAGUAUUAAUUGUGGUUUGGAAGCUAAUUUAUAAUUAUUCAAUCCUUAUUUUUUAUUUUUUAACACAAUUAUAAAUAAUUUAUUUGACUUUGGUUGUUUUCAAUUUAUGACGGUUAAUAUUGUAGCUUAAUAAUUGAGUAUUUUGAUUUAUUUAUUUAUAAAUAAAUCAUUUCAAUAUAUGUAAAAAUAAUUUAAAAUAUAAAAAUUUAUUAAUAUGUAUAUAAAUUUAUUAAUAUAUGUAAAAACAACUUUUUCGGAAAAUAUUUUCAGGAAAUCUACCAAACAACAAAAAAUAUUUUACACAGAUUCAUCCAAACACUAGAAAAUAUUUUCAGUAAAUCAUUUUCCAGAAAAGUAAAUCAUUUUCAGGAAAUCAUUUUUCGAAAAACAUUUUACUGGCAAACAAACGAACCCUUAUUGCUCAUGGUCAUCAACCUAUAAACCCAAGAGCAUUAUUAGCUUCUAAAUCCAAAACACUAAUAUCAGCAUCCAACCCAACAAUGAUAGUCUUAUUGACUCAUUUAAACAAGUUUCCUUUGUCAAUCUAUAUUCUGUAUUUGGUAAUCUCCAAUAUGAUUUCAGAACAUACGAUAGUUGGAAGAAGAAUAGCAGCAAAGAUGCAAAGGGAAAUGACUUAUACGAGGAGGAAGAACCAUCUUUUGGGUGCAAACCUGUAUACCAUAUAAUAGGAUGUCCUGUAUAAUGUCACGAGAGCUAGUACCGUUGCCAAGCAGUAAUUACUAAUGCUAAUAUGAUGAACAGAAAAGGAUCCAGCCGUAAGAUAGUAUGGAUACUGAAAUGCGAGUGUCCGUAUGGAAACAGCAACUAAAAGCAUGUAACAGGUCCCAAAACAGGUCCCAAACAAGGAAAGUGUUAUGAGAAUCACUACACCAAAAUAGGCUUUUAGCGGCGCUUUUUUAGGCCUUUAGCAGCGCUUUUUAGCGCCACUAGCGCCGCUAAAAACGCCGCUAAUGACAGUGUCGCUAACUUUAGCGGCGCUUUUUCCACAAACGCCACUAAAGACCAAGACCUUUAGCGGCGCUUUUACCACAAACAUCACUAAAGACCAAGACCUUUAGCGACGCUUUUCCCACAAACGCCGCUAAAAACCAUGACCUUUAGUGGCACUUUUACCACAAACGCCGCUAAAGACCAUAGCUUUUAGCGGCGCUUUUCAAACAAACGCCACUAAAAAUAUAUCUUUUAAAAAAAUUAAUUUUUUUCAAAUAAUAUUUAUUUCUAUAAUAAAUAUUAUAUUAUGUUUUAAGGAUAAAUAAAAAAUAUUAUUUAAAUUAAAUUUUCUACAAAAAUUUUAACUUUAAAACUAAAUAUAAAUAUAAAAAUUAAUGAAUUUAAAUUUAGAAUUUAAAAUAAUAAAUUAAUAACACAAUUAAAAUCCAAAAGUUAGAACACUUAAGUAAAAAUAAAAAUUUAGAAUCAAAACUAAAAUAAAUGAUACAUAUGCAAGGUAAUAAAAUAUACAAUGCAUUUUCUUAAUCAAGUAAAUCUUGGUUACAAAACUAACACAGAAAAUAACACAGUAUACAGUAUGUUUUGUCUUUCACAUUUUAAAAAUAAUAAUAAUAGCAUGUUUGUUUGCAUGCUACCAUGAUCAAAACACAAAAAUGAAGUUCUCCACCUAAUACAAAUUUCUCCUACGAAUGUGCAGAAUCAGAUCUCUAGAUUCUCGGAGUUCUUCAUCUGGUGCUGUCUCGAUGGUUUUGAUUAUUGUGUCAUCUAGCUGGAUUCAAAAAAAAGAAUAGAAUGCAAAGCAUGUUAUACAUUUGGACUCCAAAUUUUUAGCAACUCAAAAGAAUGCUAAGAAUGUUGUCCAACCUUCCAGUACUCACAAGGAUCUUGAAUAAAAAUGAAAUCAGACCUCACCACUUCAUAUAAGAAGCCUACACAACUAAUUACACAAAAGAAAAAGAUGAGAAAAAAUAACAAUGUAAAAAAGACGUUUGAAUGAGAUAAUAUAGAACCCAGAGUUAACUCUGUGAAUACCUUCACUUUAGAGUGGGUGUACACAGUUCGAUAAAGAUCAGCACGAGUAGCAAAUAACUUGUGGAUACUAAGAUCUAGCAAGAGCACCCAUUACCAUUAUUAAGGAGUAAAAAAACACUAAAAGAACUAAACAUGUAUUUUGCAAGUAAAUGAAUUAGAUGAUACUAACAGUCUUUAGCACGAUAGCAGAUCUCAUCACCCAAAACUCGCAGUCUCCAUGAACCUGCAGGUGGUGUAGUAUGUAUAUUAAGUUUCACUUACUUAUCCACAUCAAUUCCAUUCUAACCAUUUGCAACAAUAUCAUAUAAGAAUUGCUUCUCCUUUGCACUCUUCAAAGUAAGCACAAAAUAGUGUAUGUGUUAGAUAAAGAAAAGAAACAAAGAAUGUUUGUACUUCAUACUGGAGCAAAAUAUAAAAAAUCCAGUGAUCAACAUGUGCCUACACUUAAAAUAUAAAAAAUCUAGUGAUCUACCGAAAUUAAACUAUUCAUCAAAAUGAUUGCAAUUAACUGAGUUAAAACAUGAUUUUUUUUCUUUUCUUGCAAAUAUCUAAAGUUUUUUAUACCUUCCCAAAUGGUGAAACAAGCUGGUGAAGUGCUGUAAUUCUGUCUCCUAAUUUUUCUUUCCUCACCUGCCAUAUAACAUAUAUAUGUAUAUAUACAAGUCAGAAAAAAAGAAAAAGUAGGUGAUUAAUUUACUAUUUUACUUUCACUUAAACUAUAUUCUCUUUUUCAUACAUUAAUAGAAUAUGAUAGUUACAGCAAAAAAAAAAGAAAAAGAAUCAUCCCUCUAGAAAUCGACAACCAAACAAGGACAACAGUUUUUACCACCCCACAUGUAUUUUGUGUAUGUGUAUAUAUAUAUAUGCUUGUGAGUGUGCGUGUGCGUGUGCGUGUGCGUGCAAUCUGUAUUGAGAUAAAAAAAAACAUAUAUUUAAUUAUAUAAAAAUUAUGAUAAAAGUAUCAUGGAAGUCCCUGUACUAAAAGGUGGAUUACAUUUUGCCCUUUUACUCAAAUGGUUUAAUUUAAACACUCAUUCAACAGCUAUUACCUAAAAUGCUACCACUUUUGAGGUAUAAAAUCAGUGGAAGUCUAAAUGAACAAAGUCCUAAGCCAAUCAAAACAAAGUCACCAAGAAAUGAAAAAACAAUCUGUUCUUAUCCUUUCGAAACAGUGACCAAAUACAAUGAAUUCAAAAGGUUGUCCUUUUCAUAUCUGCUUAUCAACCAAAUACGCAAUGAGAAAAAAAAAUCAUGAUCCGCCAGCAGAAAAGCUUGAAAUUUGAAUGGAUCAAAUGAAACAUAAAUCUAAUGUAAAACACACCUGGAGAAAGCUUAAAAGAAGAGCUUUGAUGAGAUUUUCUGGUGUGAGCUCUGGCUGACGCUGCUGAUAUCUUCCUUCUAACUUCCCCAUUAUCGUCCCUCAAAACCCAAUAAUCUGUAAAACGAAGACUCCCCCAAAUUACUUCAGAUGUCUCUCUUAAAUUCUAUUUAAAAAAAUUAAAAAUCUAUAAAAAAAAUCAGUUACUAUAAAAAAAAGAGAUAAGUGUGAAUUAAAAAUAUAAUCCCAAAUACUGAUUCAAUUGCAGACUGGGAUUUAUUUCUUACCUCAAAGGUACAGCAAUGGUUGUAACCUCUGUAACCUGUUUGUGAAACCUCUGUAACCUGUUUUACUAGUAAAGCCGAUAAUAAUCCAGAAACUGGUUGUAACCUCUUUGUAUUUGCCUGGGAAACCAGAAAUCUUCUCAUUAUCAGCAUAUGUUGAUUUUUUUUAUAAUGUCGCAGGGAGGGAGGGAGGGACAGAAAGCAAGAGAGACGGCGAAGAGUUUUAGGAGGGAAAAUUAGGGGUUUCGGGGAAAUUUGGGGCUAAAAUGGGGGGAGAAUUUUUAAAAGUGAAAUUAGGGUUUUUAGAGGGAAAUUUUGGGAUAAAACGGCGCCAAGUGAAAUUAUUUUUGCGACGUUUUAAAAAAAAAGCCGGGAAUGUACCUUUUGUGGAUUUUUUUUGAAAACGUCACUAACAAAUUUAAAUUCUUUUAUUGAAAUGACGUCGUUUUGAGAAAUAUUAAUACAUAGUAACGGCGUUUUUUGCUAAAAACGCCGCUAAAGCUCUCAUAUUUUUUAUAUUCAAUUAUUGUAUCUUUCAUAUAAAUUAUACAUAAAAGAAUUAUUAAAAUUUUAAGUAAUAUUUAAAAGAAUUAAAUAAUAUUAUAAAUUUAGUUUUCUUAUUUCAUUUUUAUUUUUGUAUUUUUUUCUUAUAAUUUGGUCCUAUCUAAAUUAAAUAAUUACCUAUAUAUCCAUAUCAAAUAUAUCAAAUGGUUUAAAUUAAAUAUUUUUAAAUAUAAAAGCAGUAAUUAAUUGUAUAAAAUUGUAUCAUUUAACAAAUCUCAAAUAAACCUUAAACCCUAAAUUAACCAUUCAAUAUACAUAAAGUCUAUCUAUUAUAUAUCUCUUACAUAAUAUAAACUAUACUCAUAAUUUCAAUAUAUUAAAUUUAUUAUUAUCUCUUUUACAAUUAUAUAAGAACAUAUUUAAUAUAUAAAUUAAAAAAUCAAUUAAUCUAAACCCUAAACCUUAACCCGACCCUUGAAACCCUAAAUCCCUAACUCCUAACCCCUAACUCUUAACCCCUAAACCUUAAAUCCCAACCCUUAAACCAUAAUCCCUAAAUCUAUAUAUAAUCCCCGAACCUUAAAAUAGUAACUCCUAAACUGGCUUUAAAUAUUAAAUUAACCAUAUACCGUAAACCAUAUAAACCCUAAACUAUAAUGAUAAUUAAUUAAAUAUUUUAAAAUUAAUACUAUCUUAUCUUUUUCAAUUAUAUAUGAAAUUAUUUAAUAUAUAAAUUAAAAAACAUCAAUAAAAUAUAAAUUAAAAUGCUUUUUUUUGGAUAAUUUAAUGAAUAUGGCAGGAUUAACUCUAAACCCCUAACCCCUAAAUUCUAAACUUAGCCCUAAACCUUAAACCCCAACCCUUAAACCAUAAACCAUAAACAAUAAUCCCUAAACUAUAAUGAUAAUUAAUUCAAUAUUUUAAAAUUAAUACUAUCUCUUUUACGAUUAUAUAAGAUAUUUUUAAUAUAUAAAUAUCAAACACGUCAUAGACACUUAAAACUUUGAGAUAGUUAUACUAUUUUUUAUUUCACUUAUAGGAACCUCAUACACUCAAGCACUGCAAGUCUUUUGUGAAUUAACCAAUGGUUAUGAAGAUCUACUACUUACGGUUAUCAAUGCCAGCUGGAAUCACAAAUAUUAACAAGAAUCAGACAUAGAUAGCAAAAUUAAUCAAGCACUUUCAAGGGACAUUCUAGCAGUUCUUUAAAGAAAUGGAUUUCAAUCCAAAAUUCAACAGUUCUGUAACUAGCCUAGCAGACAGAUGGAAAAAUAAUAUUUAUUUUAGAGAUCAGUCUACCUCUUAAGUGGAAUAACUUUCUAUAAACUUUAACCUUGUGAACUUUUUUAUUAAUAUAUUUCUUCUAAUACUUCUUAGAGAUAAUCACAGUCAAGAGAUUCAACCAUUAAGAUUCAAUGGAUGGUUAAUAUAAGACCAAACAAAGACAAUGCAUCUAAUUUAAUAAGCUCAGCAGUGCUCACGAAUAAAGCAAAACAGUGUAUAAGAAAUUAUUUAGUAUGUAAAUUAAAAAACACUCAGUAAUGUACCCAAAAAACUUAAAAACUAUUUUAAAUAAUAGUAUUUUAAAUCAUGUACCCAAAAAACUUAAAAAUAUUUUUUGCGGCGCUUUUUAAAAAACGCCGCUAAAAAUAGAGCAUUAGCGGCGCUUUAUCAAAAACGCCGCUAAAGACCAGAGCAUUAGCGGCGCUUCUUCAAAAAUGCCGCUAAAGACCCGAGCAUUAGCGGCGCUUCUCCAAAAACGCCGCUAAAGACCCGAGCAUUAGUGGCGCUUAUUCAAAAACGCCGCUAAAGACUCGAGCAUUAGCGACACUUCUUCAAAAACGCCGCUAAAGACCCGAGCAUUAGCGGCACUUCUUCAAAAAUGCCGCUAAAGACCCGAGCAUUAGCAGCGCUUUUCGAAAAAUGCCGCUAAAGCCCUGAAAAAUCAAAAAACGAUGUCGUUGUGCUUGGGUUUUUUGCGACGCUUUUUGAAAAAUGCCACUAAUGUUCAUUUUUAGCGGCGUUUUCCAAAAAACGCCGCUAAUACUGGAUCUUUAGCGGCGUUUUUCCUAAAGCGCCGCUAAUGCUUGAUUUUUAGCGGCGUUUUUUGUUCAAACGCCACUAAAAACGCCGCUAAAAGCCUAUUUUGGUGUAGUGAAUAAACAAGUAGAUUGAACGGCUGGGUAGGAGAUAGGCUGUUAAAACAGUUGUUGCCCAAAAGGUUAAAGUGUUGUAUAACCAAAACAUUGUGCACACGUUUAGUAUAGGUUCUAUUUUUUUUUCUUCAGCGGGUGGAGGACUUGGUACGGGUCCAGUGCUGGUUAAACCUAAAGAUGCGUCAUACUUGAGUUGGAAAUUCUGGGAAUUUGAAAUGGUACCAGGCUGCUUUGGAGGGUUCAAAGUGGCAGUGUAUGUGGCUGUUAUAAUUAGCACUGUGACUACUAAAAAUGUGUUACGCAUCUCAUGUGGGAUUCCCUUUGUUGACACCAUUUUUUUUAUAAAACAAGGUCGACUUGGGUUUUAAAAAUGAAAACAAACACGAGAGUCGCCACCAAUCCUUUUUGAUAAGGUGUGAUCGGGCCACCUUAAAAGUGGUUAUUUUUAAUAAACAAUUUAAUUUUAUUAAAACAACGAUUUCGGUCCACGAAAUUCAAAAAAUCGGUUCAGGAGUCGUUUACGUACGAGGAAUGAUUAGCACUCUCGUAACGCCCAAAAUUGGUACCUAGUUGAUUAAUUAACGUCUUAAUGUUGAAGGUCGAAAGAUUUUAAAAUACGAUCCUUAUAUUAAAAACUUGGAUAAAUCAAAUUAGCCGUUAGGACCCUCUCAUUUCAGAGAGAGAAAAUAUUAUACCCAAUGAGUUAGGGCAUGAUAUUUCACCUCUUCAAAAAUGUGCUUGUCUAAACAACUCGUACAGUAAAAUUUAAAAGGAUAUUCAAUUGUUUAAGUCAGGUGAAAAAAUUGUAGCCCAAUACGUUAGGGCACAAUUUCUCAAAAUUCUAAACAUUGAAUAUUGCCUUUAUUUAUUUUUUAGAAAAAUUCACGUCUCGAGAAAACAACGUGUCAUAUCCAAUGCGUUAGGAUUCAACGUAUUGAAUUCCCGAUAAUGAGUUUUUAUUUAUGUUUUUGAUUAAAGAGCAUUCUCGAUUAUUUAGAUUCAACGAAGAAAAUUAGAACCCAAUACGUUAGGGCUCAAUCCUCUCGAAAAUCCCAGAUAUUGAGUAUUGCUAUUAUUUUAGAAAUUUUCCUUUUUUCCAAAUCUGAGUAAAAAUUGAUGUAAUGGAAUAACAAUUAUGAUAAUAUAAGUAAAAAUAAUAAGAGCAAAAACAAAAAGAUAAAUAAAUAAGAAGACAAAUAUUAAUAUAUAAAAAAAUCAUUCAUGUAUACACAAUAAACAAGUAAUAAGCAAAUAAAAGUGAAACAUUCUUUUAAAAUAAUAAUGAAAGCGUAAAUAGAUAAAUAAAUAAAGAAAAUGAAUAAAAUUAUAAGAAUGUAAAAAGAUAUAUGUAUGUACAUAUAUAUAUAAAUUAUAAGAUAUAAUAAGAAAUAUAUAUAAGCAUGUAUAUAUAUAUUUAUAAAAAUUAAAAAAUAUGUAUAUAGAUAUAUAUAUGCAUAAAAAUUAUAAAUUAUAAAAUAUAAAAAAAAUAUAAGAAUGUAUAUAUAUGUAUAAAUUAUAAAUAAGUUAUAAAAAUAUGUACGGGUAUAGGUAUAUAUAUAUUAUAAAAAUGUAUGUAUGUGUAUAUAUAACAAUAUAUGCAUGUGUAUAUAGAUAACAAAAUUUGAAGUUUAAAAAGUAUAGAUAAUAAUAUUAAUGAUGUAAUAUAAUAAUAAUAAUAUAUUAAAAUGAUCAAUUUAAUAAUAAAUAACUAAAAUACCAAGCAGAGGACUAAAUCGAAACUAAACAAAACUUUAGGGCCGAAAUCAAAAAUGAAGAGUAGAGAAAAGGACUAAAUCAUAACGCGUCUGAAAGGAAAAGGACCAAAAAAGAAAUAAACCAAGUCACCCAAAACGCAGCGUUGCAAUGGACUAAAAUGAAAUCAGUGAGAAAUUAUGCAGUCCAAUUUGAAGAAUAAAAAAAAUCAAAUUAAAACAAAGUGCAAAGGUGGAGGGCUUAAUGCGCAAAUAUCCCUCCAAAGUAAAAAAACACGCGGAUCCUUCUCAGGGUCGGGUCACUGCGCGGGUCAGGGCUAAAACGGCAUCAUUUUGGCUCCUGACCCUAAACAGCAAAACGCCGCCGUUUAAUAACCUUUAUUUAAAACAUAUUUUUUCUUAGAAAAAAAAUCAUUUUUUAGGGUUUUAGAAUAAAAUUGCAGAGGAAGAAACUCUCCUGUCGUCAGCCGAAUGGGCCACCAUCGGCCCCGCCGUGGGCGGUGGGCAGAAGGCCAAAAGUUGGGUUUUUUAAACCCCGCUUCAAGGGCCGUCUGAAGAUCGAGUUUUCAUGACCCUAAGGCCAUAGGAAGAAACCCCAAACGUCGCCUUCCCCAUCCGCUUUCGGUGACUCGAAGGACUCCGGUGACGACACUUACACGGCGAUUCAGGUAUGUUUUCCUUUCUCUUUUUAUUCUAUUUAUUUCGUAUGUAAAAAAAAAGAAGAAAUGGACCGAGAGAAAAAGCCAAUCGGAAAAUGUAAAAGGAAUCACCUUUAAAACUGUUUUCUUUUUUUAUUUCUUGAAUGUUCGUGGAAAAAAAAAGAAAAAAGACCCCCUUACAGAUGUAAAGAUCGGUUUUUAAAUCGAUUCUCCCCCCAAAAAAAUACAAAAAGUUUUUUUUUUAUUUCUUUCUAUUCUUCCUGUCACUGCUUCGGUUGCUUUGCAAGUACUUGAUGGUGGCAAGUGGCGGUGGGUAGGUGACAGAGGGCAAGUGAGCGGCGAUGUGACAAUGGCGGCUAAUCAGGGCAAGUGGGCGACAGAGGCUGCGACGCUAGGCUAGGGUUUCAGAAAAUUGAAACCCUAGUUUGACUGGGUUUGUUGGGCUGGUUUUUGGUCUGUAUUUGGGUUGUUUGUUUGGGCCAAGUUUGGGUUGAUAUGGUUAUAAUGGGCCCUUUGUAAUUUUUUGGGUUUGCCUGGGCAAAAUUCGGCUGUACACCCUUCUUUCCACGACUUGCUAUUGUUGCAAAUUUUUGAAGACUGACACCUUUCCUUUUAAAGAUUCGAUGUGGAAUGAAGAGAUGGAGGCUUUGGGAAGCGAGGAAGAGGAACCACUCAAACCUCCUGCUUUGCUUAUCAUGUCUUUAAUGGACUCCUUAUCGUCCACUCUCCCUUCAUCCAAUGGGUAUUGUGAUGGGAUAUCAAGUGCAGUCAAUCCCUUAGCAUUUUUGCAUUGAUAUGGUCAGCACACAAGCGUUUCAACAGUAAUUUUACCACCUGUUAAUUAGAAUAUUCAUACAAGUAACCUUUGAGUAUAUAUAUACAUAAAUAAUUUCACUUGCAAAAUUAUCAUACCUUAGGUCUGUUUCUGAUAGCAGCAACAUGUAAAACAAUGUUGCCAUCAAUGUCUGCCCAACUCAGAAGUUCUUUCUCCCAACAGUUGGCAGCUUUAUGGCGGCUCCUUAUAAGCCACCCCACCAAGACUUGGAAAGCUUCAAACCUGUCAUUUUUUACAUGAUUCUUUACAUGUUUUUGGUUCCACUGCAUAUUAUCAUGUAAAAGAAUCUAAGUUAGACCCAAGAGCAAAGAAAGCAUUAUUCAUGGGUAUAACUGGUGGAGUAAAAGGAUACCGUCUCUGGUGUCCUGAUACAAGGAAAAUUAUUUUCAGUAGAGAUGUGACUUUUGAUGAAUCAACCAUGAUGAAGAACAAUGAUUCACAAAAGGAUAACACAACCAAUGGCACUUUGCAGCAGGUGGAGCUUGAAAAGGUUAAUGAUGAUCCAGCUAAUAUUGAAGGAACAAAUGAUGAAGAAGUUUCGACCCAAGAACUUCUACAGCAACAUGAUUCAAUUGCAUAUAGAAGGCCAAGAAGAGAGAUUUGUAUGCCUGCUCGCUUUAAUGAUAUGGUGGCCUAUGCACUUCCAAUUACAGAUGAUGAUGUUCCUUCUACUUACACAGAAGCAAGAAGUAACCCUGAUGGUGUAAAGUGGAAGCAAGCUAUGAAUGAAGAAAUGCAGUCUCUUCAUAAAAAUAGGACUUGGGAGUUGGUGACACUACCCAAAGGAAAGAAGGCAAUUGGAUGCAAAUGGGUAUAUUCAAAGAAGGAAAGAUUUCCUGAUAAAAAUGAAGUUCGAUACAAGGCUAGAUUGGUAGUAAAGGGUUACGCUCAGAAAGAAGGAAUAGACUACAAUGAAGUAUUUUCUCCAGUUGUGAAGCAUUCGUCUAUUCAGAUUUUGCUAGCCUUGGUUGCGUAAUAUGAUCUUGAACUAGUUCAGCUCGAUGUGAAGACCACAUUUUUACACGGUGAUUUGGAAGAGGAAAUCUAUAUGACUCAGCCAGAUGGAUUCAAGGUUACUGAUAAAAAAAAUUGGGUUUGCAAACUGACAAAGUCACUUUAUGGAUUGAAACAAUCUCCGAGGCAGUGGUACAAGAGAUUUGAUCAGUUCAUGAAAGGGCAAAGGUAUACAAGAAGUAAAUUUGAUCAUUGCGUGUAUUUUUAGAAGCUACAAGAAGGAUUUUUCGUAUACUUGCUCUUAUAUGUUGAUGAUAUGUUGAUAGCAUCUAAGAGUAAAGUUGAAAUUGAGAGAUUGAAGACUCAACUCAACCUUGAGUUUGAGAUGAAAGAUCUAGGUGAAGCUAAGAAGAUCCUUGGCAUGGAAAUAUGUAGGGAUAGAGCUCAUGACAGAGUUAGUUUGUCUUAGAAGCAAUAUUUAAAGAAGAUACUACAGAAGUUUGGCAUGAACGAGCAGACUAAAGUUGUAAGUACCCCGUUGGCUUCUCAUUUCAAGCUUUCUACACAACUCUCUCCUUCGACAAAUAUGGAACAAGAAUACAUGUUACAAGUUCCGUAUUCUAAUAUGCAAUUGUGUGUACAAGACCCGACAUUUCACAGGCAGUUAGUAUAGUGAGCAGGUAUAUGCAUAAUCCUGGAAAAGGACAUUGGCAAGCUGUGAAAUGGAUUCUACGGUAUAUUCAUAAGACCAUGGAUAUUGGAUUACUGUUCAAGCAGGAUACUACACUUGGUAAAGGUGUUGUUGGGUACGUUGAUUCUGAUUAUGCCGGUGAUUUGGACAAACGGAGAUCAACCAUUGGUUAUGUGUUUACUCUUGCUGGAGGACCAAUAAGUUGGAAGUCUACACUGCAGUCUACAGUUGCGUUGUCAACCACAUAAGCUGAAUACAUGGCUGUAACAGAGGUUGUAAAGGAAGCUAUUUAGUUACAAGGUAUGGUUAAAACCUUGGGUUGGUUCAGGAGCAUAUUAAUGUGUAUUGUGAUAGUCAAAGUGCUAUUCAUUUAGCAAAGAAUCAAGUCUAUCAGGCACGUACAAAGCAUAUCGACGUACGUUUCCAUUUUGUGCGGGAAAUUAUUGAUAACGGGAAAAUUCACCUUCAGAAGAUUAAGACUGCAGAUAAUCCUGCAGAUAUGAUGACCAAGGUGGUAACAACAAUCAAGUUCGAACAUUGUUUGAACUUGAUCAAUAUUCUGCAUGUUUAACACUUGAAGAAUCCACUAUCAAGUGUUGUUGACAAAGGCAGAGAGAAUUGUGUGAAGAUAAGAUUACUCGAAUCAAAUCUUCAAGGUGGAGAUUAUUGGGAAUUAUCCAUAUUUAUGGAAAAUCAAAGAUAUGGGUAUCAAAUAAUAGAAAUUCAAAGAUAUGGGUAUUAAAUAUUGGAAAGUCAAAGAUAUGGGUAUCGAGAUAUUGGCAUCAUAAAAUUUGAGAUAUUUGCAAUAUAUGGUCUCUAAUUGUAAAGUGACUUUGCAAGUUGAUCCCUGAACCUCAACUAUAAAUAAGCAUGACCAUCUCUCAUUCUGUAUCUCAAACUUGCCAUUCUUUACUUAAGGCAUUGUUUUCUCUCUCUCUCUCUUUGUAAAUUCUCACUUGUAUUUUGGAGUGAAAUAUAUUUGGUAGUGGCCGAGGAUGUAGGCAAAAUUUGCUGAACCUCGUUAAAUUAUUGUGUUCUUUAUUGUAUUAUUCUGCAUGAAUUGUGUGUGUGAUUGUAGUGAUUUAUUGUGCCAUUAAAUUACGAUUGAGGGAUAUUCUGGCUAAGGAAGACCUGGUACUUAAGCGAUCCUUGUGAUCCACCUCUCUUUCCUGGGAAUUGAACUUAGUGUGAUUUUUUAGUACAAAAAUUUUACUCUUUUACACGCUUCCGCACAACAUCUUUAAUGAUAAAAGCUUAAAGAAUAAUCUUUAAAAUUUGGUUGUUGGUAGCUUUAUUUGGGUAGAAUUUGAGAUUUAGUUCAUAUAUUUUAAAUGUUAAAAUUUUAAUUUUUUUUACUUUUUCAAUUUAAUAUUGUAAAAUAAAACCAUAAAAAAAAUUGUGUACAAAUAGUAUUGAAUUUACAUAAAAAUAUAUAAAAAAUGCAGCAUAAAUUUGAAUAAUAAUACAUGAACACUUAAAAUGAUAAUAUAUGAAAAAAAACUUAAGAUAAUAAUAUACGAUAAAUUUAAACAAUAUUAAUAAUGAAUUUAAAAUAAUAUUAAGCAUAAAUAUUAAAAUAAGGUUAGAUUUAAAAAUAUAUAAAAAUAAUGGAAUAAUAAAUACUUAAAUAAAUUAGAAAAAUAAGCAAAUUAAAUCAAGCUAAUAAGGAUUAAAUUGGAUUUAAAACAAAAUUAGAAGGCAAAAACGUAAAUAAAAUAAAAUAAAGGACCCAAUUGAAAGGCGCGAAUAACUCAAAGGGACCAAAUGGGGAAAUAUCCCCGCCUUUUGAAAUGCAUCGUUUCACCAGGACCAAAUCAGAAACCAAAUAAAAUUUAAAGUAUCAAUUGAAGAAAAUAAAAAAAAUUGAAUUAAAAUAAUAAAAAAUACGGAGGGGGCAAAUGCAUAAAUAUCCUUACCAAGACCAGAACAGGCAGAUCUAGCUGCCUCUGGGUCGAGUCAUCGGGUAUAGUCAAUACGGCACCGUUUUGGAGCCAUUGAAACAGACUUUAAAUGGUGCCGUUGCAUGGCCUUUAUAAAACAAAAAAAAAAAGAAAAAUAAACAAGUUUUUAGCCAUUUCGAAUCAGAUAAAAACCUUAGCCACACGCCGUUUAGAAGCCUGGCCAUUCAAAGGCCAAUCGAUCCCUGUCUGAACUUCGAUUGCGACAGAGUGAGCAAGGAUUCGACACCACCAAGUAAUUUUCUCACCUUAAAUCGUUUUUUUCUUUUUUUACACAUGAUGAGUAAACAAAUAGAUGAGUCUAGAACAGAAAAGAAAAACAACGAAAAGAAAAAAAAAGGUUUCAAAUCACCUUUAGAAAAUUCUGAUUCUUUGAUUUUUCGUCCCCUUUUAUAGAUUUUUAAUUGGCUUUUUAUAGCCGAAACGAAAAAAAGAAAAUAUGUAAAAAAGAAAUCUAUUAUGUUAUCUAGCUAUUUUCAUUUGCUGGCAUAUUGUUGCUCGCUUUUUACUGUUAUUCGUUUCUGUUUCAGGUGUACGAAGGAGCGAUGACGUGGAGGUGCAACACGCGUGGAGGCCUGGUUCCCAGCUGCGGCGUGGACUGUUCCAAAAACCCUAGGGGUUUCUGGAGAUUUCAAAUUGGGCCACUUCAAAUCGGGCUAGGGUUUAAUUAAGUCUAGGAUUGUAUUAGGUCUAGGAUUGGGUUAGAUUUUGGGUUUAGGCCUCAAUCCGAAUUUGGCCUAUUGUAACUGAACUUUUGGACUUAUUAAUGGUUAUUUUGGGUAUUGGGCUAUUAGGGUUUGUUGGGUUUGGGUUUUAGAUAUUUGGGCUGAUUUGUGUUUGUUUAUUUUGGGUUGUUUGUGUAAUUCUGGAAUUUUUAUUUUAUUGGACUUUUAUUUUUUGAUUUGGUUUUUUUUUUGUGUGGGCUCGAGCAGAUUGGGCCUGCUACAAUAUUGAUGCAAAACUUUGUCACUAAAGUGCAAAUUGUAACAAUAGUUAAGUAGUCUUUUGUUCGAAUAACAUUAGAAGCACAUCAAAGUCAAAGCACAUAGACUUUAAGUUCAUUGUUGUUAAAAUAAAAGUUUAGGGUGGUUAGAUGUCUAUAAAGUAUAUUGAGACAAACUCCAUGGUUGUGGAUUCGCUUAUUAAGGGACUACCACCCAAAGCUUUUUUCCUGAGCACACUGUUGAUAUGUGUGUAAUGUCAUUCAAGGAUAUUUGAUUUUAGUAGGAGUUUGUACUUUUAAACGUUUUUAUGUUAUAAAUACAUUUUCAAUUAUUUUAGUUUACAAAUAUUAAGUUUUUUUUUUGUAGAAAGAAAGUUUAUUUGGUAAAGUUUGAUCUCACUAAGAUUAAUGUGGACCGGUUAGAAUAUGCAUGUUUGAAUCAUAUUACAUGUAAUUUUCAUGUUACACAUCCAUACUUAAUCUAUGUCAUUUGGUUGUGCUAAUAUAUGUGAUUAAGGCUGGAUUUAGUUAUGAUAUAUGUAACAAAGUUGCAUUCUUUCUAUGUUAACAUAAUUAAUGGACAGAUUGUUCGAAAUGCCUUUUAGAUACGAUAGUAAAAUUUUGAGCUCAUAAGGUUAUAUAAUGACAUGUAAUUAUAAGGUAAUCGGUAUAUAUAUAUAUGUCAUCCAAGUGGUAUAUAUGGACAUCACAUAUAUAAUAAGCAUGUUACAUGUUAUUAUUUACUAUCAUAAAAGAUUAACUCAAAUUAAAAGUGACCUAAUUUGGUUAAGAUUUAUUGGAUUUUAGUUAUUAAAUAAAAUAUAGGUCAAUAAUAUGUGUAGAUACUCUAGUAACUAAUUUCUAAUUUAUGAUGGGCUGAUUAGAAAUUAGGUUAAUGUGAAAAUGUUAUAUAUUAGGAUUUUAGUCUCCAAGUUACGCAUAUGUAACUUUUCUAAUAUCCCAUCUUGAGAAAAGAGAGAGUCACCUUCUUUAGAUUACUUGUGAGCUAAUUUGGAAGAUCAAAACCUUAAAAUUCGUAGAUUUCAAGAAAUCGGUAAAUUCAAAUACGCUUCUGCAUUUAGUUUUGUUCUUAAUUAUUUGACAUGAUAGAUUCUGAUUUAUUAAGUUUUGUAAAAGAGUUUUACGGUUUUAAUAGGAUAAUUACGAAUCCCAAAUAUAAACUGUAAAACGGACAUGAAGAAUAUAAAAGAAAUAUUACAAGAAUUUUGAAAGAGAAAAUUAAAUUGAAAAUUUUAAUGUUAUUUUUAUCUUUCAUAAUUAUUUUUAUUUAUAUUUUAUUUACAAGAACAUUUUAUUAAGAGUUUAUUAGGAUUAAGUUUAUUUUUACUUUUAUUAAAUAAAUGUUAGACUAAAAAUAAACUUUUUUUUCCACUGUUGGUAUAAUGGAUAGUAGGCUAGGUUGUCCUUUUUUAUUUGUUUAGGCACCCGUGUAUGAGAAUAAUUUAUAUUAGAAUAGUCCUAAAGGUUAAAGAUUUUAAUAUUAAUAAAAUUUUGUCACAUCAUUAAAUUUUAAAAAUAUAAAAUUAUUAUUAUACAUUCGUUCAUAUUAAAUUUACUUUUUAACUUUCGUUCUUCUUAAACAUAAAUAAUUAAAAUAAAAAUAGAAAAAUAGAAUAUUUAAAAUUUAUACAAUCCUUAAAGAUUUAAUCCAAUAUUUUUUUUUGUUUUAAAAAAUGUAUAAUAUGAAAUAGAAAAAAAAAUUAAAAUGGAAAAACUCCAUUGCCUAUAAACUAAUUUUUUUUAAAAAAUUGGUUACAAAAAUUAAAAAUAUUAACUUCUGAAAAAAAACUAAAAAUGAUUAAAAUUUAUAAAAGAAGAAAAGAUGUUUAUUUAUAAUUUAAAAAAAUUAAUUAUUUUAAGUAAUUUAAUUAAAGUUAAAUUAAGUUAAGAAAAAGGAGAAAUGGAUAAGUAUAUAAUAAUACAUAAUUUGUUAAAUAUAUAAAGAAAUUUAUUUGAUUUAGUACCUAAAUAUUAAUAUUCGAAACUCUCGAUUUUUCACAAUUUAUUCAAUCAAAUUUAGAUCCAACUUUAAUUAUAUUACAAAGACAUUCUAUUUUAUUAUUUUAUUAACGGGUGAAAAAACUUAGUUCAACCCAUAAACAUUGACCACAAAGGGAAAUUUGAAACACUUACCACCAAUCCCCUAUCAGAAAGUCUUUCCCACAUUCAACUAGAAAUCAGAGCUCACCAAAAUGUUUAUUCUUUUCAAUCUGAACCGACUCUACAAUCACUUAUUGCUCAUGGUCUUCAGCCUAUAAACCCAGAAGCAUUAUUAACUUCUAAAUCCAAAACACUAAUAUCAGCAUCCAACCCUACAAUGGUAGUCUUAUUGACUCAUUUAAACAAGUUUCCUUUGUCAAUCUAUAUUCCAUAUUGGGUAAUCUCCAAUAUUAAUUCAGAAUUUAGGAUAGCUGGAACAAGAAUAACAGCAAAGAUGCAAAGCGAAACGACUUGUAGGAGGAGGAAGAACCUUCUUUUGGGUACAAACCUGUAUAGCAUAUAAUAGGAUGUCCUGUAUAAUGUCACGAGAGCUAGUACCGUUGCCAAGCAGUAAUUAGUAGUGCUGAGUUUAGAAUAGGAAACGGAUCCAGGAGUCGAAAGAUAGAAAAAAUACUGAAGUGCGAGUGUCCGUAUGGAAACAGCAACCAAAAGCAUGUAACAGGUCCCAAACAAGGAAAGUGUUAUGAGAAUAAACAAGGACAUUGAACGGCUGGGUAGGAGAUACGCUGUUAAAACAGUUGUUGCCCAAAAGGUUAAAGUGUUGUAUAACCAAAACAUUGUGGACACGUCUAGUAUAUUUUCUAUUUUUUUUUCUUCAGCGGGUGGAGGACUUGGUACGGGUCCAGUGCUGGUUGAACCUAAAGAUAUGUCAUACGUGAGAUGGAAAUUCUGGGAAUUUGAAAUGGUAUCAGGCUGCUUUGGAGGGUUCAAAGUGGCAGUGUAUGUGGCUGUUAUAAUUAGCACUGUGACUACUAAAAAUGUGUUACGCGUCUCAUGUGGGAUUCCCUUCUUUCCACGACUUGCUACUGUUGCAAAUUUUUGAAGAACUGACACCUUUCCUUUUAAAGAUUCGAUGGGGAUUGAAGAGAUGGAGGCUUUGGGAAGCGAGGAAGAGGAACCACGCAAACCUCCUGCUUUGCUUAUCAUAUCUUUAAUGGACUCCUUAUAGUCCACUCUCUCUUCAUCCAAUGGGUAUUGUGAUGGGAUAUCAAGUGCAGUCAAUCCCUCCGCAUUUUUGGCAUUGAUAUGGUCUCCACACAAGCGUUUCAGCAGUACUUUUACCACCUGUUAAUUAGAAUAUUCAUACAAGUAACCUUUGAGUAUAUAUAUACAUAAAUAAUUUUACUAGCAAAAUUAUCAUACCUGAGGUCUGUUUCUGAUAGCAGCAACAUGUAAAACAGUGUUGCCAUCAAUGUCUGCCCAACUCAGUAGUUCUUUCUCCCAACGGUUGGCAGCUUUAUGGCGGCUCCUUAUAAGCCACCCCACCAAGACUUGGAAAGCUUCAAACCUGUCAUUUUUUACGGCAAGAUGGAAAACCGUCUCAUCUCGAACAGUCACAUCUUCAAUAGCCUCGGGGCAAACCUCAAGGAACUUGAUCAAAAAAUCAACAUUUCCAUUUUGAACCACAUGAUGCAAAGGAGUGAAGCCCUCCCGCCCUUUGACACGAACAAGGCCUUCAUCAAACCUGAGGAGUCGAAGCACUGCUUGAGUGUGUUGAUUUUGCAGAGCCAAGUGCAUGGGGCUAAACCCAGCUUGGUUUAGCUUUCUUGCAAACGAUGGCUUUAAGUUGAUCAUCUCCAUCAUAAAAUCAAUAUGCCCUGCAGAGGCUGCUACAUGCAAAGGAGUAUGGAAAAAAGGUACAUCAUCGAUACGCUGUAAAACAUAUGGAUCAUUCAGAAUUAACUCGUACAAGAUGUUUAUGUCUCCUGUUUGUGCAGCACCUAUCAUCCUCUCAUCCAUAGCAAGGUGCGGAAAUUUGCAGAAUAUAGAAAUGGAGUGAAGAAAAAACGCUUUAGCAGAGGAUAUGAUUAUGUUAAGG